rnacentral:lncRNA from 1 species
UGAGAGAGAGAGGUGGGGGAGGGUGUUGGAAGAGGACACCAACCUUCAACCUGACCCCCCGAACUUGCACCGGCACCUGAAUUUGUUGGGGAGUUACUAGUCAUCAUUGCAGGUGGCCUAGAACCAGGGGAACCACUCAAAGGCUGGUGACUCAUAAUUCCUCCAUGAUAUGCCAUAGGAUACUGAAGACCUGGCAAUGCAGGAUAAGCCGAGCCCAUAUAACUAGCAGAAGGCACAGCAUAAUUUCUAGGGGCCACAGCACGAGCAAGAUCAGGAGCAAUUGCACGCAUGGCACUUCCUUGGUUUACUUGAGGAAUCAUAUUAUGGAAAGCAGCCUGACUCUGCAUGGGUGGCAUGCGAUAUUGCAUAAGUCCAUAAGCACCAGGAGCCUACAAAGAGAAUGAAAUGAAAAUCAAACGAUAAACUCCAUUACGAUAAGGAAUAUUAGAAAUGACAAAGUGUGACACAAUAAAAAGAGAAAAGAGUGAAACAGGGAUUAGAGGAGUUCAGUUCAUGGCAAUGGCAAUGGCAGAUCCCAGAAAUUUGGUUCCAGGGGGCAAUAUUUAAGAUUUAAUAAGAUAAAAAAAUAAAAAAACCAGAUAUAAAAAUUUAAAUAUUAAUUGUAAUUCUUAUGAUCAAUACAGUUACAAUUAUUUCGUAUGGAUUUUCAGACUCUUUGAAGUGUUAUAUGAUAGUUUUAUAACAAAUGCUAUUAAAUAUAUGUUUCUUCUUAUACAAAAUCAAGUAUUUUUUUCAUCUAUUAUUUGAUUGUUUUCCAAACAUACAAGAUAUAUCAAAUUGGGCUAUCAAAUUAAACAAUUCAGAAAAGAUUUGAGUAAUCAAUUCCACAAGUAUAAGAUAUAUCAAUCUAAGUAAUUUCAAUAAUAUAUAACAGAAAAAGUUUAAUGAAAUAUCUAGAUUAUCAAACUGUACACAUGAUUAUUAGCAAAUUCAGCAAUUUUAUUAAAGAAAUAUCAGUAUGAAAGUUCAAAAGAAUUUCACACACACACACACACAAAAAAAAAAAGUAAAAAGAAAAGACAUAAUAGGCAUAAGAUAAAAAGAAGUAAUAACACAUUUUGGUAAAAAUUUUGAAAAUUUACAUAUAAAAAAACUUAAAGAUAGAUUUUUUGUGGGGGCAAAAAAUAUUAAAUGCACUUACCAAAAAGCUGCAAAAAAUAGGAUAAAUUGGGCUCUUAAUCUUGAGUUAGAAAAUGAUGUGUAUCAUUCUAUUUUUCUUUUUCUCUUUUUUUUUUUUUAUAAGCCAUUUUUUCCUGGAAAAAUCUGACAAAAAGGCUAUAUUAGAGUAAGAAGGGGUAAAUGAAUAUGCAGCAGUUGUUGCAUUAUUACGAUAUGGUAACCGUCCCAAGAUGUUCCAACACAUUGGCUAAAGCAUUGCAUUAUAUCAAACAACUGCAUAUAGUAAUAAACAAUGAGACUAACCUGAUAACCAUAUCCAUUGUAUGGGGGAACAUAACCAAGAGGCAAGGCUCCAAAUAAUGAAGGAUGCUGUCCUGAAUCAGCACUUGGCAAAUUAGAUGCCUGAGAUUGAGCUUUCUGAGCCUUCCGAGCUUGUCUUUCCUUUUCAGUAUCAGCCCAUUUGACAACUAGAGGAACACUUGAACCCUAAUGCAACAGAAACUAAUGGUCAGAUAACCAAUCAUCGAAUCAACUUCUCCAUUUUUAUAAGGCAGAAAUCCACUAUCCCACUUCACAGAACUGGGGAAACCAUAUAUACAUGACCCUUCCCCCAGAAACUGUGUAGUGGAUGAGCCUGGGACUGAACUUGGGACCUCUUAAUUUGGGAGGGAGAGCAUCUACCAUUUUAGUUACCCAUAGGAGCAAAAUCAAGUUUUCCACAUUAUACCAAAUUGAGAUUUUCUGCCUCAAUUUGCUCUUUUUUCAUGAUGGCUGGGUUGGGUUUGGUUUGGUUAACUUUCCCAAGUUGCCCCCCCAAUAUCCAAGGUCUAAGUUUCUUUCAUGUCAAUAUACCAUUACGAUAAAAUAGAGAAUAACUUAGACUGUUUAUGUUAAGAAUUCUAUUUCCUAUUAAAUCAAGAGAAGUCCAAGCAUCCUCUAGUUUGACAGUGCAAACCAGAAGUUCGAUGCAUCUAUUUACCAACAACUAUUUUUUAAAGAGCCAUAGCACAUAAGAAAGGGAUCUUCUAGCAGUUAGUAUAAGUUCUAAAACAAUGAUAAUGAAGAAUUUCCAGCUGAAGCAACUGAGUUAUGAAGACAAACCUCCAUUUUAUGCUUCCCAUUGAUCGCCUCCAGGGCUGCAAGGGCCUGUUCUUUGGUCUCAUACUUCAAAAAAGCACAACCUGCCAUAAAUAGAAUAAAUAGAGGUACAAAUACAAACCAUGUCAAGUUUGAGGUCACAAUAGUCUACAAAUAAACAAUUCACAAAAGGAAUAGGAUUAUGAAACAAUACCUUUGCUUGUCUGCUGAGAACCUCUCAGAAUUUGUAAGUCUUUUAUAGUUCCAUAUUUAGAAAAUAAAGAAGAAACUUCAGCUUCAGAAACAUUCUUCGGAAGCAUACCAACAAAAAGUUUGUGCUCUGGAUAGCAAGGAUGGCAAAAAGUUAUUUAUUGAAAUAUAUAAAACUAUAAUAUAGCACAAGGACAUCAUUUACAAAAGCAGCAUUAGAUAAAGAAUAAGAACUGGCGCUGCUACAUCCAAAAAGGAACAAGAUUAAGGAUGAAAUAUGUAAUUAAACAAUGAAAAUAUAUUACACCUAGCCUUUCCAACUCGCCAUCUGCAUACUUCACUUGCAACGGGCUAGAUGCCUGAAUUAGACAGAAAGAGCAGAAUACCUUUUAAUCAGACAAAGAAUAACAUGAAUGCAUCACAACCUAACAAAGUAUGCAGCAAAUUUUUAGGCAACGAAUAUAGGUGACUGAAAUAUCUUACCACUUGAUUUUAAAUUUGCCAUUGAAUUUACAUACACUUUAACUGUCCAUAUCAUAGGAUCUAUAAUCAACUAUAGGCAUAGGAUCUAUAUUUAUCCCUAAUUUUCCUGUCAAAAAAUGAAACCCAACUGAGAAUCUAGCCUAGGCACUCAUUACUGAGGUCUGGAACAUACCUAGUUUUGUAAGCACACGUCUUUUUGACAACAGCCCAUAGCAGACAAGAAGGAAUCCAGCAACCAUGAGUCUCAGCGUUAAAACACGGUUAAUUGAAACUUAACUAGAACAUGAAUUAAUUGUACACUUUGUCAGGAUUAUAUCAAAGAACUCAGAAUGCUCCACAUCUACCUUACCAUACUAAUAACCUUGUCAUAGAAUUUUUGUAUCAAACACUAACAGACACUUGGAAAGCAAGCCGCAAGCCAAAGUUGGUAUGCUCUCGAGUACAUUUCUUUCUUUGUUGGUUUUCAUUGGCAACAAUUGUUGCCUUUAUCUUCCCUGAGUGGUAAUUCAAGUGAGAUGGUUAUGUAGCAUGUCAAACAUCCUUUUCUUUAUUGGAUAGGAAUCAAGCAAAUAAGGCAAGUACAGAACAGAAAAAUGGAUGCAAUCAAACAAGGGAAGUAUAAAUUAUAAAGUCACCCCAGAAAAGGAGCAUAAUAAAGGAAAAUAGGAAGAACCCACGGUCCCCUGAAACUGGAGAACAUCCCAUUGACUUUGCAAUCACUUAGGAUAAACAACUGUAAUGGCUAAUGAAGGCUCCACAUCACUGACAUGGAAACCUAGGCACUAUGGUAGAGAAUUUCUAAUUAGGCCAAGGUAGAAGAUUUCUAACUUGUUGCUUUGAACAGAAUUUCAUGGGCAAGAGAGGAGAAAUUACGGCAGCAUGCUGUGGUUUGGUCUACUUUUUUAUUUUGCUUAUUAUGUUUGCACAGUUUUUUAAUCAUUUUUUAAAACUUUUUAUCUUUGCCGCUUUUAUUUCAUAAGCCUUUUCUUUUUUGCUUUCACCUCACUUUCUAGAAAUAUGGUUUGAACUACAAAACAUGAUUUAAAAUUUUUACAUAAAGCAUUUGGAAGUUUCAAAAUGUUCCUCCUUUUGGGAUGGACCAAAAUGAAAUGGCAAAGAACUUGAGACCACUAAAACUACAUGUUUCUAUCUUUUCAAGUGGAAUGAUUUGCAGAUCAUGAUAUAUUUCAUUUGAAAUAUUUGUGAUUUUGGGUUUUACACUAACAAGGUAAGGUAGAAAUCCUAUAUGUAUGACAAAAUUGAAAUUAAAAAACCCUAACUUGGUAAAGUAGAAAUAACCAUAUAUGAUGAAAUUGAAAUUAUUUUUUUCCUUAAUUUUCAUGAUAAUGUUUUAUAAAUUAGAUAAAUUGGUAAUCAUCAAAUUCUAACUGAUAAUAUAUCAUAUUUAUGGAUUUACAUUGUCUUUACUAAUCAAAAAAAAUUUUUUUUUAUGGAUUUACAUUAUUUAACAGAAAUUCUGCUUCCUUCCUUUUUUUGGGUUACAAUUUAAUAACGUCCACAAAGCAUUUUGGAGAGACUUGGCCUUAUUUUAAGUCAUGAACAGAAACCAUGUAAAGUACACAUGCAAGGCCACCCAUAUCCAUUGUAAUAUUUCUGAUGGUGCACUGUUCAUAAUGAUGAAAUAAGUUUUUCUAAUGACAUUUUCACAAGGAAGGUGUCUUGACAGCAUCCAUGAAAAAUCUUAAGUUUGAAAUUUGUUUUUUUCUUUACUUUUAAUUUUGUGAUAGUGGCAUGAUUCAGGGCAGGCUCCAAUGCCCCAUUACAAUCAAACUGCCCCAAUUUUCUUACACUUUUUCAUCACAGGAGUAAAAUAAAAUGGAGGCAUUCAAUUUUCUUGCCCUUAAUCCUCGGUCCUUCGAUCAACUAAAUAUUUGGAUCCUGUCUCCAACAGUUCAGAGAAAAGUCCAUUUUCAUAUUUGGACAGAGUCCCCGCCUGGGUCACAGGCCUAACGAAGCAUGUUAGGGUUACAUAACUUGAUCACAAUGAAGUCUAUGUACCGAAAAUAAACAAGUUUAUACAUGCAUCUGCAGCAGCAUCAUGCCACAUGAAACCAAUAUGGGAAAUGUUUACAUGUUUCUGAAAAGUACAUUAACAAACUUAUCGGUAGUUAUUGGUAGUUAAGAUCAACAAUUUCCACGAUAAUGCACAAGUUUGAGAAAUUUAAUGACAAUGUUUUACAUCAGCACAAACAAACAAAACAAUAGAAAGAGAUCAGAAUUCAACUAACCCCGGGGAGAGUUCGCUUAUUAUGACACGCAUUUACUGCCUUGUCUGCUUCCUGUCUGGAAGGACAUAUAACAAAACAGCAACCUGAAAAACCAAACGGAAAAAGCAAAUUAGGGUUUCAAACACCACCAGACACAUUCAAACCACUCAAAUCUGACACCAGAUCGAAGAAGGAGCGCGAAUCACGCAUUCUCGAUCUGGCAAAAACUCCAUAGGAAAAUCGAAAAUGCGGCUAGAAUUGGAGGAAACCGAGAGAAGACGAGAUUUGGCGAGUGCAUAAGGUUGCUGAAAACCUCUUGAAGCACGCGUGGCUUUGUCCUUGAUGAUGUUGACCUCGUCCACUAGAGCGAACUCUUUGAACAUUGCCAGAAGCUGAGCUUCGGUCAUGUUCUUGGGCACUUGCCCUACGAAGAGCUUGACGCUGUCUUCGCUGGCUUUUCGCGGUUUAGGAGCUUCCGCCAUAAAUGCCGGCGCUUUCUCUCUCUACUUUCUUGGACUUUCUCUCUCUAUUUUCUCUCACUUUCCCGAGCUUUUAUUUAUUUUUUCCCCUGAGAGAGUCGUCGCUCGUUGAGACCAGCUUGGGGGAAAUGGGGGACUUCUGGAUGGCAAAGUUGGAUCUUCAUAGAUAUAUUGUAAUUAAAUGCCUGCAAAUGCCCCUAAUGUUGAUUAUAUCCACGAAACUGCCAUUACAUAUGUCUCGACUUCAAUCUUCCUUCCAAAUUGUAUGUUGUAAGGAGCGAAGAUUUCAAACGAGUUGGGAUUUCCAUUGACCUUAUUGCCCUUCCCUCUCUUCCUUUCUUUUCUCUCUUUAUUUAUUCACAUAUAAUCCAAUAUUAAAAUAAUAAAUAUUCAUAUUUAAUAUAUUUAUAAAUAACUAGACAAACAUUUUGGUUCAAUUUUAAAAAAUAUGUUAUGAAAUUGUGUAUGAUUCUAGAAGCUCAAUUAUUGAAAGUAAAAAAUUUAUAGCCUUUUUAAAAUUAAAAAUGAGCAUUAAAAAAAUUAAAAAAAAUACAUAUCAAACAUGUUUUCUGAAUUUUAAAACUAUUUUUUGUUUGUAUUUUUAAGAAUAAUUUUCAAAUAAAAUUUAAAGUUUUUAAUUUUAAAUUAUCCUUUAUCAAUAUUAAUGAGAUAAGACUGCAUCACAAUAGAAUUGAAAUUGAAAAAAGUUUGUAAUUGUUUUAUAAUGAAGAAAAAGAAUUCAGUAUUCAACUUAAUCUCUAACUUAACGAGACAAUCUAAUUAAGGAGACAAAGUAACAAUGACUUUUUGAGAUUUUUGCACAAUAAAAAAUAUCAAAAAACUUGAGCCUAAGUGGUAAUGUUUUUAUUCAAAUAAUUUUUAAUAAAAACAUUUUUAAGAUAAUCAUUUAUUAAGUGUUGUUUUUACCAAAUAUUACAAAUAAUAUUUUAAUACUAUAAAUGUUUUAAAAAAGUCUUUCAUAAAUUUUGUUAAAUACUUUACUUUUUUUCAAAAAUACUAUCAGAUAGACUCUAACAUUGUCGUAGCUCAUAUCAUAUAAUUUUUUCUAGAGAAGGAAAAAAAAAACCAACUUUUUGUGGCAUAAAUUAGAAGCUUAAGACCAAUUUGGAAAUGACCCAAAUGAUAAAAAUGGGGAUGAAACCUCCUAUAUGACCCACAAUAAUAACUAAAUUUUGUAGCAAUAGCCCAAUAGACAAACGAUUGUAAGGGUUUUGGAUAAUGGUAGCUUCCUUUAUCCCUUGAGUUGGGUCAUGAUUAGAAAUGUUGGGAGCCAAUAUUAAUUAUAGAAAGUGGUGAGGUACCAAACUCAUUUCUAUUGGUUUUCUUGCUUAUCCACUAAUGUUGACUGCCGAGAGUUAGAUUUUAUGUCAAAUUCCUAGUCUUUAUCGGUUACCUAUUCAUUACAAAGAUGAUUGUUGGGGAUUACGAUACUUGCCCAUGAAAAGACCUUACUAUUAUUGUCUAAGUUGUCACCUAGUAAAGUAAUGACUUUUGAAUAGAAUAAUAAUAAUAUUAAUUUUAUUAAAUAUAAAAUAAAAUAAUUAUCAUAUGUCAAAAGGGAAUUAUUUUUUCUUAAAUUCAAAAUAUUAAACAAAAUAAAUUAAAACUUAUGACCAUUAAGAUGGGUAUAUAUAUGGGAAGAAUUUUGGUAUGGAUAUAAUUAUAAUAUAAUAUAAUCUCCAAAAAGACACGUGACAAACACGUUUGUUAAAAUUAGGUUCGAAAUUUGACUAUUUUGGCUUGGAUAAUGGGUUUGUAGAGAAGAGGACAGGGAUGUAAAUAUAUAUAUAGAAGGGUACAAUGGUAGUUUAGCGUGAAAAUCGAGGUACAAAGAUAAGUACGCCAGACUGUCCCGCCAAGCCUCCUCCAGUACUAAAUAUACUGCUCACUGCAAGUUGCGCCUUCGGCCAUAUAAGCUAUAGCUAUAUUCACGGAACGGUAAAAAAAUUUAUUUAUUUAUUUUUUCAAUAAAAUAAAAAGAGUUUUUUUAGCUCAUUAACCUUUCUAAGUAAAAAUGAUAAAAAAAAAGAGGCUAUCUUGUUCGCUUAUUAAUAUUUAGUAUAUAUAUAUUUAUAUAAAAGAAUAUUAUAGACAAUAGACAAUAAUUUUCUCACAUUUAAUUUAUCAUAAAGAUAAAAAAUAAAAAAUAAUUAAAAUUUAUUUUAAUUAUUUAAUUUUUAAAUAAAACAUAUAAAAUAAUUUAUUAAUUUAUUUUUUUGUCUCUAUUUCUUCCCUUAUGCAUGUAUAAAUUUUUUUAUUGUUUUAAAAUAAUUAUCAAUAUAGGUAAGGAAUUUUUUUUUUUUUAAAAAAAAAAAAAAGCUUCACGGUCUUGAAAAAAAAAUUCUCUUAAAAGUCUUUUUCAAUAAGUUACUUAACGUUUAAUAAAAUUAUCAAUAUAGGUAAGGAAUUUUAUUUAAAAAAAAAAAAAAAAAGCUUCACGGUCUUGAAAAAAAAUUUAAUAUUAAAAAAAAAUUAUCUUAAAAGUCCUAUUCCUUAUACGAUAAGUUACUUAACGUUUAAUAAAAUUUUAUAAUGGGUCUUGGCCACCAACUUCCAUGAGAUGGAUAAAAAGUGGAUUUAACAGUAUAUUUUUUGUUCAUAAUUUACAAGGAAAGUACCCAAUAGCGUAGAACUAAGAAGUCAAUUAAUACCCCAUUCAGAUAGAAAAUUGUCCAAUUGAAAAGUAUUUGAAGUCAGGAUGGUUUAAAAAGAAAAGAACAAAAACAUGGAAGUGGUAUAUUUUAAUGCGUGUCAUUAUAUGAGCUAAAGUAUGUUCUAAGCAACUGUUAUGAAAGUCAAAUUAGGGUUUGUUGUACCUAAAUCUCUAGUUGAAGGCGUACCAGUCAGAUCCCGAUCAAGCAGCAGCCAUUGAAGUUUCAUGGUGUUCCCACUGAGCUUCCACGCUUGCUGGGUCAACCUCUCUAUCUGGGGUCAACCUGUGUGAUUUCUCAAACAGUGUCAAAGCAUAACCAGAGAGAAAUGGCAAUGGAAAUACAAAACAGGCUGGUAGAAAAGGGAAAGAAAAGACGGAAACAAAAAAGUCACAAAUCCUUUUAUUGUUAGGUUGAUGACAACAACAAUAGCAUAACAGGCACAACAAUUGCCGAUAAUUCCGCUCAAUGGGAUACAGCUACACCCUCAAGAAAAGUGGGGGUGAUGAAGAAAGAAUACGGUGCCCCUUAAGUAAGGGUGGUGCUAUCUAAACCUUUUUAGGAAGAACCCAUUAAAGUUUGGGUCUCCUCGUGAGAGAUGUUAAUCCAAAUCACCCAAAAAAUGGAAGGGGAAAAUUAUAACCAGGCGAAUUUUCUCAACCCGGACUUCAAAUAAGAGAGGUAUAUGUAAUGACAUGGAUAGUUGCAGAUGCACAAUAUCAUGGGCUAGAUGGCAUUCAGUCCAGCAAACUCUCUCAGCUUCUCCAGGAGGAUAAAGGUGAUUGUAGUCUGCGGACCCAAUCUUGCAAAGGUUGCAAAGCCCCUGCAAAAGAUUUUGAUAUUGUUAGCAAGUGCGAAGGGAGAUUCUCUGCACAAAUUUUGAGUCUGAUUCCUUAUUUUCAUUUGGUUUGUCCAACUGCCCAAGCGGACUAGUGCCAGAUGAUUAACGUUUAAGGCAUAUAACUAGCAUGUAAAAGAGCUCACCCUUUGUAAAGUGCCCUGGGGCCUUCAGUAAGUAUUACCUGAAACAAAACAGUAUUAAUACAUUAUACAAUAAGUCGAGGUGUACAUAUAAAUCUUAAAAGUUUCUUUUAUCUAUAUCUUAAAGUGCUGAAUAUGGCCAAUUUCAGUCUCGGUAGUGUAACUAACAUUUGGUGCAAAACAGCACACACAUCCCCCCUCCUCAUGCGUGCACAGACAGGGAAAAGAAAGAAAACGAAAGACAAAUAUGUGAAGAAAAAAACAUCAGCAAUAUUACACAACCAAUCUGCUCUGCCAAAGAUGAACUAUUACAUAGCCAGCAAGACCUAAUUCAGUGGCCAUUUGCAUAGCGAUUUUUUUUUUUUUAUCAAAUCAGACCAUAGAAACAACAGGAAAGAAGUGGAGAAGUAGCAAAGAAGCAGACAAAGUAGUUUCCAAGAAAAAGUGCAUCAAAUAUUCAAUCAUCCAAAUACACGGAUCAAAUUUUAUACCACCCCAUAUGUAUAAUGGUUAGGAAAGCAAAGCAGAAUAAGGGUCAUGGUUGCAGCUGCAGUGCAGUCAUGAAAUGGUCCAUUCAAUCCACCAGAUUAGCCAAAAGAACAAUGAUCAUGUAAAGGACAAAAACAAUCAUUGAGCGAAAGGAGAGAAGUGCUGCCAAAACAUUGCUUCAGUUCCAACGCUCAACCAAUUUAGGCUGCUAAACCCUUCUUUAAAACUGAUCCUAAGUACAUUAUUCCCUUCCAUAUUAAAAUAGGAGUAUAGGACACCCCCUCAAUAAAAAUCAGAAAAAUGACGAGAGAAUUAAAACUCUGUGAUAACCAAAACAUAAUUCUGUGAAUGUAAACAUUAAAGUUGAAAUUUAGAGAGGAAUAACAAAAACAAAGGUGAUACCUGGUAUGCGCAAUGAAAUCCAUUUUUAUAGUUCCCAGCUACUUUAGAUUCUCGUUGCAACAUGAGACGGGUUUUAAUCAUGUCCAUGGGUGCAGUAAUAAGGGUACUCAAUCCUCCAGCAACUGUGCUUGAGCUUCAUAAGUUAAAAAAAAUACAGUUAGCUAUUGUCCCUGGGAAAUAACAAUGCAAAUGCUAUAACAUAGUUGUUGCAUAAAAAUGUUAUACAAAGGCCUGUCACUACUUCAUACAUGACAAAGAUUUGUUUCACAUCCAUGUCAAAUGUCAAGUCAAGUCAACAGUCAUUGGCUAAGGUUUUUGUGUUUCAGACUACCAACUUCUGUCAUUGAUAUGAAAAGUUCAGGUUCAAAACACUCAAAUUACUAGGCUCGUUUUGCAACAGUCACAGCUCUAAAGAAGAAAAAGAAAUUCGGAGUGGAGUUAUACAUGAGAUGCAGAUGAAAUCCUUCUUCAAGAGGUGUCCACCUCAUUAAAAUCUGCAUCAAACUAAAGUCAAGAAAAGUUUAAUGAAUCCAUACAGGAAAUGGAAAAUAAAAAGAGACUCAUUUUAGAUUACCAAUCAACAAAAAGGCAAACCAUUCAAAAAUCAUUGAAAUUACUUCUGUAUAUUCAAAGUGAAAAUAGCAUGCUUAGAACUUGACCUGCUUGGUUUCAUCAUAUGUUGCUAGCUGUGAUGCAGUCAAAGCACCAGCCCUGACCAUAGCAGGGCCAACUCCCUUCCAAAGAGCUUUUAUUCCCUCUUCUGAUAUAAUUUUGCACAUUUCACCAAUUGCUCCUCUUCUCAAGUUUGACUUCAUCUGCAAGCGCACCUGGAAAAAAGAAAUAUGAUUUCUAAGACAGUUUUAAGAUGAAAAAUCCAAAAAAGCCUGACAUGGUAGUGUAACCUUUAGAACUUCCAUUGGAUUGGUCAGCGCAGUAGCUAGGGCACCAGAGAAUACUCCAGAUGCAAUCUUAAGCAAUAGAUUAGUUGACCCAAAAGCCCACUUGCACACAUAUUUUGAAGGUUCAUACAACCCUAAACGGAGACCUCCAUACAGAACCGACCUUGUCAAUGCUGGCAUCAAUCCCAGAUACAAAGACUUAGGUCCUUCUUUCUUCACCACUUCAACAAAAAUCCGUCCCUGUUCACAUCAAAAGUUGAGAAAACUAACUGCAACUUGAUUCAAUAAACCAUAUUAUCAAAAUAAAAGAUACAUUAAAAAGCUUCAUUCAGUUACCAUUCCAUUCAAGGGACCUCUUCCACCAACAAGUUGCAUCUGCAACCUAACUUUAAGAACAUCUGCAUAUCAAGCAGAGAAAAAUUACAGAACAAUAGAUCCAAUGGUGUAGGAAUUUUCCCUGUAGUACUUUAUUCUUAUAAUAUUUCCUUCAAGAAAGUUUAAGGAUUCACUUCCAGUUCACAUUGCAUAAACAAGCAGGUAACCCAUUCAUCAAGAAUCAUGACCUGUACAUUUCAGCUUCAAAUCCUUAUCAUCAUGUGAUAUGCCAAUUUCUGUCAGUACCCUGAUUCUACCCCCAACUUCCAGAUCUAAUGUACUUAUCCAUUAAUACUCUAGAUAGAUUAUGCUAAGCUGCAACCACAAAGUGAAUCUGGUGAAAAUAUGAAAUAUUUUUCUUGGGGUUGGAUGGUUGACAGACCUAAGCCUAAUUUAUAUGGCUUCAUUAGAUUUUUCAAUAUCUUACAAGUUUAACACCUCUCUUUGUCCUCUGUUGUGGCUUGAGUAACUAGCCAUCAUCCAACCUAAUUCAACUUACAAUAGACAAACUGAAAUUCAUGAUAAGCUAGAUGUGGUACCCAUUUGGUAAUCUGGAUGUGGUAUACAUUUGCCAUUAGCAAAUGUUGUGUAUUACACAGCAACCUCAUACUGUAACUCUCAGGACUUUCUCUACCUAAGAAUUGCAAGCCCAGGGAAGAUUUAAGAUUAUGCAACUUGAGUUGACACUGAGCAAUUGUUUGGAAGCAAUAGUGAUAAUACACACAUCAAGAAUUCACUUAGGAUUUGAUGUUUGAGAUAUGCAAGAAAUUCCACUUUUCUUUCAAAGGCAUCACCAAUUUAUUUGUUCAUUGAUGAUAAAUACAAAAUCAAAUCAAUCUACUGAAAUCACGGAAGAGAAACAACCUAAAGGAUGAGUGAUAGCAGUUGCAGUUGCAACUGAAAUUCCACUAGCACCAAAGUGAUAAACAGCAUUGGAUGGUGACAACGCCCAAUUCCGACUUUUAUUCUCUUUCAUAGAACCUGAAUAUUUCAAUUAUCAGAACUCAAAUUUGCACUCUAAUGAACAAAAACAAUCAUGGAUACAGAUUAUUAAACAGAAUAGAACAUAGAUACAAAAACCAAAAAUCUUUAAUGUUCCGUUUGGUUGCUUAAGAGGCGUCAUAAUGAAACAAACUAUGUUUUCUUUUUAAUGAUCCGAGAAAAUAGAAACCACCAAGCAAAUGUGACUAAUCAACCUACAACUUAACAUGAAACUCCAAAUUUCUCUUUACUUUUCUUGUUCCUCGACUAUUCAGCGACCAAACAAAUGUUAAAGAUUGAAACAAGUUUUCGGAUCUAGCGACUAGUUGCAAGUAUAUUUAAAGCCUAAGAACCUUUUGAAUGUCAUGUUUCGUUUGAUUGCUGAGAAAACUGUAGGCAAAUAAAAGAAGAUACAGUUUUGAACCUCAAAUUUCACGUUAUUUAGGAUUCAACACAAUGACCUCCACUCCAUUGAGUCUAAUCACCAUUAUCAGUUGAGCGUUUGCUUUAUUUCUUUUUUUUCUUUUUCUUUUUCUUUUUUCUCAAAAUAUAUCUUAAAAUUGAAGAUUUAUUCAUUUUUCUUUUCUCAGUGGCCAAACAGAAAGUUAUUUUAGCGAGAAAAUAUGAAGAGAACCUGAAAGUGAAGAUUUCUCCGACCCGCUCUCCAUCUUUGCAUCCCCGCAAGUUUGUUCUCCGAGGAAUCGGUAGCGCACAAUAGUCCGGUUUGCUAACUUGCGCCUUCGGCGUUCGUUGUUUAGCGGUAAACGCCAACAGUGUCGUUGGAAACUAAACCAAACGACAUCGUUUGGGUACUUUUCUUUCAAUUUUAACCUUUUUAAAAAUAAAAAAAUAAAAUGGAAGUAAAAUAAAACAAAACCCCUUCCAAAACAACUAUAUAUAUAUAUAUAUAUAUUUUUUUUUAUAAAUUAAAAAUCAUUCCACUUGAUAAAUAAUAUAUUGAUUAGCAUAAAUAAUAUUAACCAAUUUAAAAAACACUUUAUAAUUAUAAACAUGGAGUGUACAUAUAUAAUAUUAAAAAUUUAUUCUCAUAUUUAAUAUAAAAAAAUCACAAUAGUCUCGUUAAAAUGUGUUCACUUAGUUAAGAUAAAAUCAAGAUAUUCAAAUCAGAUAAAUAAAUUCAUUGUAAUAUUCUAAGUACAAGAAAUAAGUUUCGUAACAUUAUAUCAUAUAAAUACAUUUUAUAGUCGUAAUAACCUAUUGAGUUUGGAACAAGGGUGACAAUGAGACAUGUUUUUUCAAGUAUCCACUUUGCCGUGCUCCUUAUUGGACGAAUUUAAUAUAAAUAUAAGUGGGGUUGAGUAAGUUUGGGAAAAUUUUUAAAACUUGAAUUUGACUUUAUGCUCUUUUGCCCGAUUAUAUAUAAUAUUAAAUAAAAAAAUACUUUAAUUGAUUUUUUUUUUCAUUUUUCAACUUUUAAGAUAUAUAUAAAAUAUUAUUUUUCUUAAAUGUAAAUUAUAAAUAUUUAUAAUAUUUAUUCAUUUAUAAAUUUUAUUUAUUUUUUAAAUGAUUUAAAAAUCCAAAAGUAAAAAAAUUAAAGUAAAAAAAGGUUAAAUAGAGUAAGGAUAUGUAGAUAAUUUCCUACACCUUCGUUGUCCCACCCUACUUGUAACUUUUUACGUUUUUUUGGCAAUAACGAUAAAAAUAUAUAUAAAUAAGAAAGAUUGAUUAGAAUGGGUUAAACCAUGCCAAAUCUGUUACGUGGUCCUCUUUAGAUUAUAAUAAACAAUAUUCACAUAAAAAAAGGGUUAUAAAAAGAUGAUAUCAGAACAAAUGAUUAAUCUUGAUGCGAUACCUUAAGUGAAUGUUCUUUCACAAUCCCACGUGAUAACGAUGACAUUAUGUUUACAUACGAGGUGAUUUUGAUAUUGAUUAUGAGAAAAAGUCCCUAAUAACAUAGUAGUGGGUCAGAUAUGAGUCAUUUAAAAUUGUGUGAAAUAAUUGUGAGAUAAUUAUAAUAAUUGAAAUAAUCUAUAAAAACAAUAUAAAAAUUACAAACACUUUUUAAAUUGAAAAAUAGUAUUAUAUUCAAUUACAACAAACCUUUCAAAUUAUUAAAAAUGUUUAUAUAUAUAUAUAUAUAUAUAUAUAUAUAUAUAUAUAUAUAUAUAUAUAUAUAUAUAUAUAUAUAUUUAAAAAUUAUGAACGCUUUUAAAAUUAAUUUUUAAAAAAUUUUAUAAAUAAUAUCGCGAGAUGCUUUUGAAAAUAGUUUAGGGUUGGAAAAUAUUUUUGAAAGGUCUUUAAAUUAUAAAGGGGGUGUUUGGUACACGAGAAUAGGGAGUGGGAAUAAACAUCUCAUUCAUUUUCUCCCUUAUUCCUAUGUUUGGAUAAAUGUUAAGAAGGCGAAAAUUAAAUAAAAAAUUAUUCCGGGAGAAAUCAAAUCCAACUUAUGAGUCGGAUUUGCAUUCGUUAAAAGUAGGUGGUAUUCUGAUUCAUUAAACCUAUUUGAUAAUAUAAAAUAACCUAAAUUACUAUUUUAUCCUCUUAUCUUGUUCUUCAAACCCGAUGUUUAUCUUAUUUGUAAAGGUAGAGAUCCAUUUAUCAUUCACUUCUUAUCUUUUUUGCAAAGCUAGAGACACACUCAUCAUCCAAUUUUCUGCAACAAGUGAUUCUUCCAAAUUGAAUCAAUUAAACCUUCCACUAUAUAAUUCUAUAACUUUUUUUGCAUGACAAAUUAUUUAAAAUUUUGAUAAAAAAAAACGAAUAUUUAAAUUUUUUUAAGGUUAUGGAUUUUAUCGGAUAUGAUACUUGUUGAAAAUUAGAAUACAUUAGAAUUCUUUUAUUUCCUCUUUUGAAAAUAGGAAAAACAUUUGCUAUCUUUGAGAAUUUAAAUAUUAUAAUAAAUAAUUUUUUUUGAAAAAUAUAAUUUUAUAACUACUUAAGCAUGACAAAUUAUUCAAAAUUUUAAUAAAAAUAAUAAUUGAAUAUUUGUGCAUUAAGGUUAUACGAUUUUUUAUGGUUAAUUUUUUAUUUAUUGAGUACAUAUAUAUAUUUUUUAGUCUUAUUAUUUAAUAACAAAAAACCUCUCAAAUUUUAUUUUUUUAAAAUAAAAGUAAAAAUAAAAAAAUAUUUUAAAUUAUAUGUAAGGAUAUUAUUAUAAAUUUAUUUUUUUUUCAUUUCCAUUCUUAUUAUUAUCAAACAUCGGAAUGAAAACAAAUAAUCAUUUCAAUCUUGCAUUCCUAAGUUCAUCCAAAUGCUAGAAAUGGAAUCAUCAAAUUCAUUCAAUUCCACUGAGAAAUAGGAAAGGAAACAAAAUAUUAUUUUCAUUCCUUAUUCCGACUUACCAAACACCUCCUAGGUGCAAUCCAUUUCCUUGUUAAAAAAAAGAUAGAACGCAGGCAAAAAUUUAUUUUAUCAGCCGUUGAUCGAAAGGACCCGUGCAGCGAUUUUGGCCGUUCGAUUAUGAGACCAAGGUCCUAGGAUUUACAUCAGUAGAGGAGCCUGGAGAGUAAAGAAUGAAGGAUUAACGGGGUGUCCCACUCAAGUUUCGUAGACCUUCUCUCUAACUAGGGUUUCUUUGAUCCGUAUUCAGUUUCGAUUCGAGCCAUCGUAAGUUCAUAAGUUUCUACGCAUUUUAUUAUGGUUUUUCUUUUUCUUUUUCCUGCGUGCUGUUUGGUUGCACAGAAAAUGCAGGAAAGGGAGAAGCAAGUUUUUGAAUAUAGCAUUUUCAUCGUUUGGGAGCCGAGAAAGCGAAACUCUGAAUUCAAUUCGGCUUAGCACAUCUAUUUGGUUUAGUUUAAGCGAUCCUUGGUUUGCCUAAAACCUAAAAACAACACAACACACAACACACAGCAUUCAAAUAUUUAUUUAUUUUUCUUUUGUUUUUCAUCAGUUUUCUCGGCAACCAAAUGGACAGUCGAUGAUUUUGGACAAAAUUGAUGUUGUUGACGGCAAAAGUUAAACUAGGAAUUCGUAAUUGUUUUGUCUAAUUUCGUUGAAAUUGGAUUUUUUGCAGGCCUUUCACGUUGGGUGUAGACAACCAUGCCCCGGUACAAUCCAUAUUUUUCCAUCGAUUCUGAAAGUUUACAUUGAUUGCGUUUUUUCUUGUUUUUUUUAUUGUGUUGUUCUUUGUUUAACAUUUCAGGUAUUACUGUGAUUACUGUGAUACCUACUUGACGCAUGAUUCUGUAAGCUACAUCUUCAUUUCAGCCCCUAUCUAUUUUUACUUUGUUAUUUAUUACCUAGCAGAUUUCUAGAACUGUAUAUAUCUAGUACUUACUAAUUCACAUCUUUCUUAAUCCCUUUUGGAAUAACUGUCUUGAAUCUGAAGUUCAGGAUUUUAUGGACCUAUUGUAUGUUCUUUUUAGUUUUUCUUUGCAUUAUAGUUUUUUACAAUUUCCCAGCGUUUUUUCUUCCCUUUUGGUUAAGGACUAAGGAUUGAGGAUCUAAAGACAGUGUUCUUUCUAUUCAAUACUGAAUAUUGCCUCAUUUUUUCUAGUUUAUGUGACCUUUCUUUGGGGGUUGGGUACUAGGUACAUAUUUUUGGGACUUGCAUAAAGACUAGAUCAUAUUUUUCAGGCUUAGGGCUUAGGCAUAUAGUUGCUGCAUUUGCAGAAAAGCUAUUUAUGCACAAAUUACUUUGAUUUUGUGUUUGUUUGCAUGGAAUUAAUUGGGUUUCAAAAUCAGAAACAAGGGCCCUAAUCAAGUUCCAUAUCAGCUGUAUAUGCAAGUGUAUUUGAAACUAAAAUUGAAUUCCAUAGGCCUUGUGAGGUUAUAUUCUUGAUGCAUAGAAACUACUUAGGAGGAGGAAAAGGGGAAGGAAGGAUGUUGGUUUGAUUCAAUUAUGCCUUUUAGAUUAGUUUUGUGUGAAUUUAUUUGGGUCUUGAUUAGUCAAGAAGUAUCCAAUCAUGCAUACAACAUUAGAUAUACAUGGAAAAUCACUUACAAAGAUUGUCUCAACCUUUGUAGAUGCAAAAACAAGGGGCUGUCAACCACAAUAAAAAUCCUCUAAACCCGAAAGAAUCGUGCAUAGUUUUACCUAGCAUGGAUGCCUCUUACCGCAAUUCUUAUACCGACCAGUAUCAAAACAUAUUCUUCAAAUCUGUGAUGUAGCACCCUCCCAUGCUCUUUGGUGGAUCACCUCAAAACCGUAUUGAGGAGUGGUGGCCCAAAUUCUUGACCUCUACAUUUCCUUCCCAACAAGUUUCAAGAUUUUCUGGUUAAAAUCUUGAUUUCAAGAGUUUAGGAUCAAUGGUGAAGUUAUGAGAAAAUAAUUUUUUUUUCUCUUGGUAUGUCCCCCUUGUUAGGGUUAUGAAAAAUAAUUUUCUUUGUAAGUAUAAACCCUGAUAAAAGAAAAUAGGAAGUCUAAUAAAAUUGGAAAGUGGAAACCAAAGAGAAAACGAUAUUCUAAACUGCCUUGCAUUUUUUAGACCUUUUUUUCUAACAUAAAAUUUAAUUAUUAAUUUUGCCAUUACUUUACCAAAUCCAAAGGUACAUAUUUACCUUAGCUUCUAUUUUUGUGUUUUCAAUUCAAACAUGUUAGUAUAAGAUCCGGUGGUAGUGAAGUAGUCUCAAACUAGUUAUCUUUAGUGCAAAAUUGCCAACCCAAACUAAUACACUAAUGAACCUUGAAUCCAUGCGAAAAAAUUUCUGUAAAAUAAACAUAUUAUUUUGACCCCUCAUGACCUUUUUUAUCCUUUUUCUUUUUGGUUUCUUUUUGUGGUAAUCCAUUAUAGUUCUUUGUCCAUCAGAAGCACUCCAGUAUUGUUGUCUGCCAUAUUGUUGACUACCUUCUUUUCUUCUUUUUGUGUCAUUUCAGCCAUCUGUUAGAAAGCAGCAUAAUGCAGGUUACAAGCACAAGGUAUGUCUUUAUGGACACUCCUGUUGGUGUUUCUUAAUUGUAGUGGAUGCUGUGAAUUUUUGGUUACUGAUGUCCUGACUGUUUGUAUUCCAGGCAAAUGUCAGAUCCUAUUAUCAGCAAUUUGAGGAGCAACAAACCCAAAGUUUGAUUGACCAAAGGAUCAAGGAACAUCUUGGGCAAACUGCAGCAUUCCAGCAAGUUGGUGCUGCUUACAACCAACAUCUAGUUUCUUUCCCAGGAAAUCCUCCAAGGCCUCGUCUUCCUGUUCUUCCGACACCUGGAAUGCCGGUUGCAGGGAGUGCGCCUUUACCCAUGAAUUCACCACUUGUCCCAGGGAUGAGGCCUCCUGUUCUGCCAAGACCAGUUCCUGGUGCACCAGGUAAAUUUUGAUGUUCAUAUGCAGGUUUUUCUGUCCAUUGUUGCCAGUGGUCUCUUUUGCCUAUUGUUUUUGUUAUUGUUUACUGACGAUGAUUCUCAGCCCAAAAUUCAGUUUAUGUUCUAGUGUGAAUGGGUAAUUAUUUAGUCCAUAAACAUAAUAAAAAAUUGGAAUGCAUUCAGUUAUCGGUACUAGUUGGUUUACCCGCUUCAGUUUGAAUCCUUCCAUGUUUGAAAUGCCCAAAGGGGUAGAAGUGAAAAUGUCACAGGAUAUAUUACAUCUUAAGAAAGUGAUGAAUUGCAUAGUACCAUAUAUUGAUCAUGGUUACUGGAGACUCCUCCAGGUGAUUUUGCCUCCCGUAUUUUCUGCUUUCUAAUACCUUACAAAUUCAGGGAAAUCCACUUCCAGAAUAACUUGAUCAGAAAAAGUGAAAUCUUAAUGUUUAUUAUAUAUUUCACAAAUGUAACCACUUAGUUUGACAGUGUAUUAUAUGUUCUUUGAUUGUUUCAAUGGAAGGAAACUUAAAUCUGGAGGCUUGUUUUGUGCCCUUAAAUAACUGUAGUACACUCUGCCCAAAUACACACAAUCUAUCAUGUUUCAGUUAUAAUGUAUUAUGUCUAAGGAAUCUGUCGGUUUUGGCAGGUUAUAUGCCUGCUCCAGGCAUGCCAUCUAUGAUGGCUCCACCAGGUGCUCCUUCCAUGCCUAUGCCCCCAUUAAAUAGUCUUCCAAGGCCUCCAACAAUGAAUGUUCCACCAGCAGUUCCUGGGAGCACAUCAACACCUACUUCUGGUGGUGCCCCCUCUAUGAUGACACAACCAAUGUAUCAGGCCAAUCCAGCUGGACCAACAAGUGGAGGUUUUGACAGUUUCAACAUCAAUGCCCAAGGUCCUGAGGCCAAUCAUUAGUAUUAAACUGGUAAGGUUUGCUUCUGUAUCUGAACAAACAAAGGGAGACUCUAGAAAGAACUCUAUAAUGCUGUAGUUAAGUGAUUUUAAGAGCAUGCUUUGGUCUUGGCUGGGGAAUUGUUCUUAUAGAUAUCUCAUCCGGAAAUUCUGUGAGAAGAUAUGUAGUCAUAUUCGAGAAUACCAACUGAACAACACCUUUUCCUUUUGUCUAGUGAAUGCCAUAGAUAAUGGUUUUAUUCCUUGUCUAAUCUCUGCUAAGUGUGUUAUGCAUCAUGAUUACCACCUUUUUCUCAUAUUUGUACUGUCAGUGGUAUUCAUAUAUGAUUUCUCACAAUAAUACUGUUCUUACAGGCAGCCAGAUGAAACCAGAGACACCACCGGAGGCAACUUCAGCCUUAGAUCUUUGCAAGUUAUUCAGUUAGUGACGGGCAUGAAGAGCUUUUGCUGAACUGAGAGCAUAGUUUUGUAUGAUUCUGUUAGGUUUUUGAUAUCACCGAAUACCUCUAAAACCAAUCUAGCUUCUUCUAGAAAGGGAGCUAGUUUCCUAAACUUUGAAAACAGGGGAUUUGCUCUCUGUCUGAAAUGUACAAUUGGGAACCAAUUUAAAGCAGGUGCACCUGAGUCAAGAUUAUAAGAACAUACUUUUGGCAUGUAUCUCUGUACUGAAGUUAAUUGGAUGGAACUUGACUUGAUUAAUUGAUGUAUUUUAUGUUUUCCUGUGAGGGAGUUGGGGAGUUGGGAGGGGAAUCUAUUUUCAGUUUCUGCUUCUUGCAUUCUAUGAGGUACUGCCUGAAUUAUUUUCAACAGCACCACUGAGAACCUUUAAGAUAAAUGAUACCCGUUGAAUGCAUGGUGAUAGCAGCAAUAUAGCAUGAGGAAGAUUAAAUAUAUUUCUCAGAAUUGAUGGUCCCACUGGGUACAACAGAGGAUAUACAAUUCAUCUUUAUGUGAUAUUGUCAAAAUUAAAUGUCUAAUUUACAAAAUACAGUUUUCAUCAACUGUUCCAACAGUGAGGAUUUUCACAAACCCAGUCUUAAAUUUUUGCCCUGGGACAUUGCUCGCGUUCCUUUUGCAGUUUGGGUUCAUCCGUGGCUCGAUAUGUGGGAAGAGGCGAGGCACAGGAGGAAAAGAAUAGUCACUGCUCAGCUGUAAGUAAAAGGACCAGCAAAGGAAUAUCAACAUGAAACUGGUAUGUAUGCAGGUUCAGACAUGAUGGCUUUUCUGGUCGUCUGGUUGAUCCCCCAGAUUGUCGCUUUUCUGAUUAUAACCUGAAGGAACAGGGGAAGCACUGGCUGCCUAUAAUCUUUUUGGUUUAUUGUGAAACCCACUUUGUGAAAAAAUGCUUGUGUUACUCCUAAAGAGAUUGGAAUCCCUUAUACACAAGUUUAUCUCCUUGUGAUGAAAGAGUAAGAUUCUGAAGGGGUCGCCACCGUCCUAGGUAGUCCUGGGUAUGGAUCAGAAGAGGAGGUGAUGCUAUGAUCACCCUGAUAUGGGUCUUUCCUGUAACAGUGUAAAGCAGUAUAAGUUUAUGUUGGGGUUGUUGCAGAGGGGGUUAAAUCUGGUGGAAAGCCAAGACCCUGAGCUUGAUGCUCCCUUUCACUGAGAAAGAGCGGAUCAAGAUGAGCAGCCUCAUUCUGCACACCUGCCCCGUCAUUUACAGGGGAAGGGUGCCUCGAAGGUGCUUCCAUUCCUUACCCACUUCUGUAAGGAUCUAGAGUGGCAGCAGGAAUGCACAUAUGCUGAUCCUGUGGAAAAGCUGGACUAAGACUCCCUAUGGGUCCUCCACCAUUGUAGUGUUCUCUAAGGAAUUGUCCCGUCUGUGCUUCCCCUGCUAGUAUAGCUGCCGCAGGUGGGGUUUGGAGGACUGGAGCAAGCAGAUGUUCCUGAAAGAAAGAAUGUUCAUUUGGGACAGGCUGAAAUAGCUCCAAGAGUUCUUCUACCUGAAAGGGCCAUGAUGUGAGUCAUGCGACAUUGUCAAAUCAAAUAUUAUGAGGAAACGAUGAUUUUUUUUAGAAACUUUAAAAGUAGCAAAGAAAACGUGUUUCUCACUUGCUGGACGGUUAGCUCAGUUUUGAACUUCUGUUUUUCGUUGUAGUUGUCCAGGAUUGCUUUCCUAAAAACACUUUCAGGUAGUGGAAGGCAGUCCCUGUGAACCUUGAAUCACACCUGCAGAGUGAGGAAUUGUUAAGAGCACACAACACGAACUGCUCCAAUAUGCCAAACAAUCAAAGCCAGAAGAAAGCAAGAGGAGACAAAUAAGGGAUGGACCUGAACAGGAAAGGCUCCAUUAAAAGCAGUUGGUUCAAGUUUUAUUCCACCAGAAGAAGAUGCCUCAUAGAUACCAUACAUAAGCUUGAGAUCAAAAUCAUAAAGAAAAAGCUUCAGACCAGGUUUGAUGCGCAUCACAAGCUUUAGCCUGUUCAGUGGGAGACCCAUGAUUUGAUAGCAGAAACAAUCUGGUUUAGUUUUUGAGUUGCACAUGAAUAUAAUUCCACCAAUGUUUUCCUCAGCCCUUAGAUCAUUUUUGCCUUUUUCUUUUUGAUUUUCACUCUCUUUUGUUGCUCCCUCCAAUAUUCUUCUCAUCCUCAUUUCCUCCCUCAAUCUCCAAUCCAGCUUCUGCAUUUUUGACAAUGUGAUUUGAAGACUUUUUCAUAAUGUUAGAGUUAGGCUUCAAAGACACUGGAGUUUUCUUGUCAACUCGUGAAGGUUUCAAGGAGGAUUCAGCAGUGGUCCAGGAUUUCUUCUUGCUCUCCUGCGCCAUCAUCUUUCCCACUGGUCCACCUUCAGAAGUCAAGUGUAAUACUGCAACAAGCACAUUGUCAAUAAGAUUGAUCCUUUUAUUCUACAAAGAAUGAAGCAAGCAUUCGAACAGCAAGCGUCUUAUUAAAAAAAACAGUAAACAUGAAAAUUAAAUCCAGGAAAGUGACAAAUUGUACUUGGGGAGUAUGGUUGCUGGGGAAGAUGUUGUACGGUGGUUGUGGGGGAAGGAGAUACAACAUCAAGUAAUUUGUAAGGGCUCAACUAACUAUCCUUACUUGGCCAGAAAGCCUGACCUCUUGGCUCCUUAAUAAGGAACAUCCAACUAAUGACAUGCUAUAAUUUUUCCUAGUCUUGAAUGCAAAUUAGAUGUACAGAAUCGAUCCAUCUGAAGGUUCUUUAGAUAUUACAAUAACAAUCUUUUAGAAGCAUUAGGCCUUGAGUCUACAUCACUUCUGGAUCACAUAAUAGUUCCCAAUGCUGUUACAGCAUUCACUUGGCUCCUAAUGCUUGGUAAAAACCUAUCAACAACAGUAGACUUCAAACUCUCUCAGUAUAACAGAGGGAAUCACUUGAUUCACUUUCCUUUCACUUGGUGUUUCAACCAAAACCUUUAACACAAAUAAAUGGCAUAUAAAAAAUAAAUGUUACCUCUAAAGGCAUCACAACCAUCCAAGGUUUUCCAACCAUCUUUUCGCCUCUUAGUUGAUGAAUAGCUUGUCUAAGCUUCUUCCAGCUUUAGCCUUUUAAUCUCCUUCUCAAUAGUAAUCAAUCCAUGUUUAAUGCAAGAAGGGAGUUCCUUACCCAACAAUCUGUCACACGAUAAACUUGGUUAAUGUAGAGUUACUUUUACUCCCAAAAAGUUUGAGACUCUUGCUCAAGUUUCCCAGCAAGUUUUGGCUCAAAAGAUAGUGAAACACCCCAAAAGCAACAAGUUAAAUAGCCUUCCAAUGACUAUAGAACAGAAUACUCAAGGCUCUAUCCAACAAAAGAAUGGUCAACCCUACAACAACCAAAUAACAAAUGUCCUGAUAGCUAGUCCAAGAGCUAUAAAAUGGACAAAAGAACAGUGUCUAGUCUGAGAAUUGAGGUAACUUGGCCCCACUGGAUUGGGUAGACUUGGUGCUUCUGCUCUCGAUCCAGGUUUGGGUUGAUCCCCCUAUAAGCCAGGUCUACCAAACCAGGUAAAGUAUCAGAAAAAGCAUACUUUUAUGCUUCCAAGGGCACUACCUAGGAUCAAAACCUUUGCCUACACCAUUUUGAACACUAAGCUACUCUUAACUAACAAAGGAAAUACAGUAAAAGGACAAAUUAAAUGCAGUAUGACAAAUUAACUAAGCUAAGCAAGCAAACAGAACUUGGGGCUUGUUUGGAAACCGUUCUAAUAACAGUUUUUUGUUUUCUAGAAUAAAAAUUAAUUUUCCCACUUCAAAAAAAUGUUUGGUAAAAUUGGGAUAAAAGCUUUCUUUUUUCUUUUUUUCUUUUUUUCUUUUUUAAAUUUGUUCUGAAAGCAAGAUGAUUUUCAAGAACAAAUUUAGGCGUUUUCAGGUGUUUUUAUGGUGUGUUAUAAGAAUCAAUUGAAAACACAGAAAAUAGGCUAGAAAGUUUUACAUUAUACAUAAGUGCACAAUGCCUUCACUGAACAUAGUUCAAGAAAACUGGUUUUCAUAUUUGAAUUUCUGAACAAAAUUCUGAUCUUGAAAACAACUGAGAAUUGUUAAGAACUAUUCUCAAAAACUAAUUUUGGAUGAUUGUUUUUGAAAACGUUAGUUUCUUCAAUGAACUCCACUAACUAAUCAACCCUUAGGGCCUGCAUCUUGGGUAACCAUCAAAAUUCUUCUAAAAUCAGGCCCCACACUUGGGUAGAGCUUUUGAGGCAAGCAACACAAGCACACUUAGCCUUACACAAGACUUUACAAAGAACUCAUAAAAUUGUCAAUACAUAAUGGACCACUUGACCUUCACAAAACUUUAACAGAAACAAAUAAGAAAGUCAUCUUCCUCUGUCAUUCUAAACAAUAUAAGCUCUUACUUAAUUAUCAAUAGAUUUCUAUUUAGGAGGAGGCCCUAACAAUGGCAUACAAAUACCAUAGCCAAAAGUUCUUCUUUUUUUGGUAGGCAAACAUAAACUGUGACAAAACUCACCCAAAAAAAGUGGGGACACCCUAUGUACACAGGGGUGUUCAAGAGCCACCAAAAAAAGAGCAUAAAUCUCCCUAAAAACCAGCAGACCUAAACUAGCUAUCUACAGUUUGGACUAUCAAUAUCAUCUCCAAGGGGACUUUAGAUCAUUUCCAACAGGAUUUAAUGAAGGUCUACUAUAGCUUUCAUUUGAGUGUUCUUCAACAUUAAAAUUUUGAUCAUUUCACUUUCUCUGGAUACACUAAAAUAAACAUAAAGGAGCCAAUCACCACACCUUCUUUUGCCACUUAUCAAACCUUUCAAAACUUUUAACUGAACAAAAGAUCUUCAACUGAGAAAGAAAAUACUCAUUGCAGUCCAAAAAUAGCCAGAAACAUAUCCCACUACUGUUUUGGAUCUACUGCAGUGACUUUGGAUAUGCUAGGCUGAUUACUUACUAGGUUCACCACAAAGGUUGCACUUGUUAACAUGCAUGCUCCCUCCUUAGGUGCAUAUUUAUGAUUAUGAUUUUCCCUAACACUGUUCCUCACACACAAAAAAGAAAAAAAGAAAAAAAAAAGGUUAUCUCAAAGGGGUACCAAAACCUCAAACUACUUGUGUGGAAAACAAAAUGCUCACCUCAGCACAAGGAAGAAUAAAAGGAUUUCACUUGGAAUCUCCCUUGGUUUUCUCAGGGGUACCAAAACCUCAAACUUCUUGUGUAGGAAACAAAAUCCUCUCCUCAGCACAUCAGGAAGAAUAAAAGCAUUUCACUAGGAAUCUCCCUUUUUUUUUCUCUUUCCAGAGAAAAAAAAGAAAAAAGAAUCCUCUGCUGCUUGAACUCUCAUAGGAUUUGUAAGCUCCAAAAGCUGACAUACUUCCUGUAUUUCUCAACCAUGGUAGUUUCUUUGAAAAUUUAAGGACUAGGCUUAAAAACAUGAGAAAAGUUCCUUUCAAGGAUCACUCCCUGACCCAGUUAUCCAACCAGAAUUUAGUCUAUCUGUUGAAUAUAAUGUAUUUAUAGUAUAUUAUUUUUCCUUGUUAAUAUAGGUGACAUGUAUGGUAGUUAGGACUCCUAGCCUUGUAUAUAUAUAUCUCCAACUGUAAGUAGAAAACAUAUGAAUGAGAAUAAGGUUUUUCUCCUUUCUUUCUCUCUCUCAACAUGGUAUCAGAGCCAAAGGAGAAAACCUAAUUUUUUUUCGGUUUAGCCGUGUAAUCAAUUCCAGCGAACCGUCCAGUGACCGUGUUUCACUCCGGUCCCCUCAUUUUCUUCCCGACCCACUCCGGACAACCUCAUCGCCGUCGGAUCUCCACCACGCCGGCAACCUUUUCCGGCGAAAUUUCCGGUGAACUUUUUCGGCGACGUCUUUUUCCGACACCGACCACACCAAGAGGAGCGCCUGGAGGAGAUCUCCAACUUCUUUAAAAGCAUCGGAGCCAGAAAACCCUCCACGCGCCGGCGCGUGAGGGCGCGUGAGACAUUUUCCGGCAACGCGCCUCCUCCUCCAGCCUUGCCUGACGCCGACCAGCAUCCCUACCUACCUGGUUCUCCCAUCCGAGCCCUGCACGUACCUCUUUUAGGGAUUUUUGUCUCCGUCAGCCCUCCAAACAGCCUUUCCGGCGAAGUUCCGACUACUUUUUCUCCACCCCAAUCCCUGCACGUGCCUUGGGAAGUGUUCUUCUACCCUUCUGGUGGUACCACGUCGCGAUCUGAGGCCGUCUCCCUUUUUCGGUGGUGCCACGCCGCAAUCUGAAGCCGUAUUAGGGCUCUCUUCGAUCCAAAUACGUGAAUAUGACCACCAAAAAUCAGAUCUUUACCUCUGUUAUCUCUGGAUCUCCUAUGAUUACCUCAGAGAAAUUGGUUGGCAGUGAGAAUUAUCGCUCCUGGUCUGCCUCUAUUGAACUUUGGUUUAUGGGUCAAGGAUAUGAGGAUCACUUGGUUACCCAGGAGGCAGAUAUCCCUGAGGUUGACCGCGUACAGUGGAGGAAGAUAGAUGCACAGUUAUGUAGUGUAUUAUGGCAAUCGGUUGAUCCCAGGAUUCUUCUUCAUCUUUAGGCCUAUAAAACUUGUUUUAAAUUUUGGACUCAGGCCAAAGGAUUAUACACGAAUGAUAUCCAGCGUCUUUAUAAGGUGGCUUCUGCUAUUGUCCAUCUCAGCCAACAGGACUUGGAUCUAUCUACUUAUAUUGGUCAGAUUGCCUCUCUUAAGGAGGAGUUCUUGACUGUGAUGCCUCUUACUCCUGAUGUUGGGGCUCAACAAACACAGCUUGACAAGUUCUUCAUGGUCCUUACUCUUAUUGGCCUCCGUCCGGAUCUUGAGUCUAUUCGUGAUCAGAUUCUUGGAAGUUCAUCAGUUCCGUCCUUGGAUGAUGUGUUUGCUCGCCUCCUCCGUAUCUCGUCCACUCAAACUUUGCCAUCUGAUAGCGCUUCAGAUUCUUCUGUGUUAGUUUCUCAAACUACCUCUCGAGGAGGACGCAGUGGUACCCGAGGUAGAGGCCAACGUCCUCAUUGCACCUAUUGCAAUAAACUUGGCCACAUUCGCGAUCGUUGCUAUCAGUUACAUGGAAGACCUCCUCGCACUGCCCAUAUGGCCCAGUCCUCUGAUUCUCCGCUGCCUCAGCCUCCGAGCUCCUCCGCAUCUCAGACAUCUCAGGCUUCUAUUGCCUCUGUUGCCCAGCCUGGUAAUGCCUCUGCCUGCCUUACCCACACAUCUUCUCUUGGACCCUGGAUUCUAGAUUCUGGAGCAUCUGAUCACCUAUCUGGUAAUAAGGAUCUUUUCUCCUCUAUUACUACUACCUCUGAUUUACCUAUUGUUACCUUAGCUAAUGGUUCUCAAACUGUGGCUAAAGGUAUUGGUUUGGCCCUUCCUCUGCCUUCUCUACCUCUCACUUCUGUCCUUUAUACUCCUGAAUGUCCUUUUAAUCUUAUUUUCAUCAGCAAAAUCACUCGUACUCUUAAUUGCUCUAUUACCUUUUUUGAUAAAUUUGUGACCUUGCAGGACCGGAGUACGGGGAAGACGAUUGGCAUAGGACGUGAGUCUCAAGGCCUCUAUCACCUCACCUCAGAUUCAUCUCCUGCAGUUUGCAUUUCCACUGAUGCUCCUCUCCUCAUUCACAAUCGUCUGGGCUACCCUAGUCUCUCCAAGUUCCAGAAGAUGGUUCCUCGUUUUUCCACUUUGUCGUCGCUUCCGUGUGAGUCAUGUCAGCUUGGGAAACAUACUCGUGUCUCGUUCCCAAAGCGUUUGAAUAAUCGGGCAAAGUCUCCUUUUGAGCUUGUCCACACUGAUGUUUGGGGUCCUUGUCGGACUGCGUCUACUUUAGGAUUUCAGUAUUUUGUCACUUUCAUUGAUGACUAUUCUCGAUGUACUUGGUUAUUUUUAAUGAAAAAUCGAGCUGAGUUAUUCUCUAUUUUCCAGAAAUUUUAUACUGAAAUCCAAACCCAGUUCAAUAUUUCUAUUCGUGUGUUACGCAGUGACAAUGCCAGGGAAUAUUUUUCAGCCCAAUUUACUUCGUUUAUGUCUCAUCAUGGAAUUCUUCAUCAGUCUUCUUGUGCUCAUACUCCUCAACAAAAUAGGGUAGUUGAACGCAAGAAUCGACAUCUUGUUGAAACAGCUCGUACUCUCCUCCUCCAUAGUCACGUUCCUUUUCGUUUUUGGGGGGACGCUGUUCUUACCGCUUGUUAUUUGAUUAAUCGUAUGCCCUCCUCUGUCUUACACGAUCAGAUUCCUCACUCCCUUCUCUUCCCUGACCAACCACUUUAUUUCCUUCCUCCUCGUGUCUUUGGUUGUACUUGCUUUGUUCAUAUUCUCACUCCUGGACAGGACAAGCUUUCCGCCAAAGCCAUGAAGUGCCUCUUCUUGGGAUAUUCCAGACUUCAGAAGGGUUAUCGUUGUUAUUCCCUUGAGACUCAUAGAUACUUUAUCUCCGCUGAUGUCACCUUCUUUGAGGACUCACCAUUCUUUUCCACCACUUCUGAGUCUCUUCCUGUUUCUGAAGUUUUGUCCAUUCCCAUUGUCUCCCCACCUGAUGCUAUGCCCCCUCGACCACUUCAGGUUUAUCAUCGUCGCCCUCGUGUCGUUGCUCCUCUCCCUUUUCCUAAGGCACCUGCUGACUCACUUCCUAUCCCUUCGGCUUCACCUGCCCCGGCUCUGUCUUCUCCUAAUGACUUACCCAUUGCUGUUCGGAAAGGUACUCGCUCUACUCGUAAUCCUCAUCCUAUUUACAAUUUUUUGAGUUAUCAUCGCUUAUCUUCACCCUAUUCUGCUUUUGUUUCUGCUAUAUCCUCUGUUUCUCUUCCAAAGAGCACCCAUGAAGCUCUUUCCCAUCCAGGCUGGCGACAGGCAAUGGUGGAUGAAAUGGCUGCUCUGCACUCUAAUGGCACUUGGGAUCUUGUUGUUUUACCCUCUGGUAAAUCUACAGUUGGUUGUCGUUGGGUCUAUGCCGUUUAGGUUGGUCCUGAUGGUAAGGUUGAUCGCCUUAAGGCCCGCUUAGUUGCUAAAGGCUAUACUCAAGUUCAUGGUUCUGAUUAUGGUGACACAUUCUCCCCUGUUGCCAAGAUUGCUUCUGUCCGCUUGCUUCUCUCCAUGGCUGCUAUGUGUUCUUGGCCUCUUUAUCAGUUGGAUAUUAAAAAUGCCUUCCUUCAUGGUGAUCUUGCCGAGGAAGUUUAUAUGGAGCAACCUCCUGGUUUUGUUGCUCAGGGGGAGUCUGGUUUAGUGUGCAGGUUACGCCGUUCUCUAUAUGGCUUGAAACAAUCUCCUCGAGGAUGGUUUAGCCGUUUUAGUUCUGUUGUUCAAGAGUUUGGCAUGCUUCACAGUAUAGCAGACCAUUCAGUUUUUUAUCAUCAUAACUCCUUGGGGCAGUGUAUUUAUCUGGUUGUUUAUGUGGACGACAUCGUCAUUACAGACAGUGAUCAGGAUGGUAUUCAGAAACUAAAGCAACAUCUUUUUACCCACUUUCAGACCAAAGACUUGGGGAAACUCAAGUAUUUCUUGGGAAUUGAGAUAGCUCAAUCCAGUUCUGGUGUGGUCCUUUCCUAAAGGAAGUAUGCUUUAGACAUCCUGGAAGAAACCGGUAUGUUAGACUGUAAACCAGUAGACACACCUAUGGAUCCGAAUGUCAAACUUGUACCAGGACAGGGGGAGCCUUUAGGAGACCCUGGGAGAUAUCGACGGCUCGUAGGUAAAUUGAACUAUCUCACCAUUACUCGUCCAGACAUUUCUUUUCCUGUGAGUGUUGUUAGUCAAUUCCUACAGUCACCAUGUGAUAGCCAUUGGGAUGCCGUAAUCUGUAUUCUUCGAUAUAUCAAAAGUACACCAGGCCAAGGUGUAUUGUACGAGAACAGAGGUCAUACUCAAGUUGUUGGUUACACAGAUGCAGAUUGGGCUAGCUCACCCACAGAUAGACGUUCCACUUCAGGGUACUGUGUUUUUAUUGGAGGUAAUCUAAUAUCUUGGAAGAGUAAGAAACAAGAUGUAGUGGCCAGAUCUAGCGCUGAAGCCGAGUAUUGAGCUAUGGCUUUGGCAACAUGUGAACUCAUAUGGUUGAGACAUCUUCUUCAGGAGUUGAGAUUUGGAAAGGAUGAACAGAUGAAACUCAUCUGUGAUAACCAGGCCGCAUUACAUAUUGCAUCCAAUCCAGUCUUUCAUGAAAGGACCAAGCAUAUUGAAGUCGACUGUCAUUUCAUUAGAGAGAAGAUCGCAUCAGGAUGUGUUGCUACAAGUUUUGUUAAUUCAAAUGAUCAACUAGCAGACAUCUUCACUAAAUCUCUCAGAGGUCCUAGGAUUAAAUAUAUUUGUAACAAGCUUGGUGCAUAUGACAUAUAUGCUCUAGCUUGAGGGGGAGUGUUGAAUAUAAUGUAUUUAUAGUAUAUUAUUUUUCCUUGUUAAUAUAGGUCACAUGUAUGGUAGUUAGGACUCCUAGCCUUGUAUAUAUAUAUCUCCAACUGUAAGUAGAAAACAUAUGAAUGAGAAUAAGGUUUUUCUCCUUUCUCUCUCUCUCUCAACACUAUCUAUCAUUCUUGGCCAAAAUUGAAGUUUUAAGGCUGAAUUCUGCCAAGCAUCUACUAAUUUCUUUCCAUAUCCCCACAUUAAAUGGUCUCUCUCACCUCUGUAAUGCAUCAACCUCCAUCCACCUCUCAACACUUUCCAUGGAUGAUUCUCCUCGACAAGCUAUCAUGCUCAUGAGCAUAUCUCUAGAAUUAUUUGCUUAGCAGAACUUAAUUCAAAUGAUUCAGCCUCCUAAUUCUCAAUCUUCCAUUCUUUUAUCCUUGCAGAUCGUUGCCAAAUUCACAAGAGUGCAUAUUCUUUCCCUUCAAAUGAUUUCCCCAUAAGAAAUCUCUUUGAAUUUUUUCCAGUCUAACCUCACUUUUUCUGGGAACUAAAAAUAAGACAUAAAGUGAACUGGAAGAAUGAAAGGGUGCUCUUGAUGAAAUCUUCCCCAAUUUGAUAAGUAGUGCCUCUCCUAUAGGCUAAUCUUUUUUCAAAUCUUUCUUCCAUUGAAUCCCACAUAUACAAGAUCUAUGAGAUGAUCCCAAAGGUAAUCCAAGAUAUGUAGAGGGAAAACAACCAACCAAGCAUGCCCUCCAGUACCUUGACAACAAGGAUCAAUUCAUUCUCUUGAAGAUUGAUUUUCAGGCUUGAGAACCUUCGUAACAAGAACAAAAGGAUAAAGGAAAAGAGAGUCCCCUUUUCUUAAUUCCCUAAAGCACUAGAAAACUUUGUAUUAUUGAUCAAAACCAAAUUUGCACUCUAGACGUAUAAAAUAGCAUCUAUUUCAACAAUUUUUUCCCCAAAACCCUCAUUUUCCAUGGUUGAAAGGAGAAAGUUCCCAUUCACAUGAACAUAGGUUUUUCUUAUAUUGAGCUUGCUCAGUAUGCUCACCUUAGAGCAUUCUUUCCUUGGUUUAUAGCCUCAUUAGAGAGAUCAAUGCUGCACUAAAAUUUGUCUUCACUCCUCCCAUCAACCAUCCCCUCACAAAAGCAGUUUGGUAACCUAAAUGCUACCUUCCCAAUCACCUCCUCCGCCACAAAAGAAGAGCACUCCUACAUCAGGUCUUCUAAUCUGGGGAUUCUCAAACAGAGACCCAAAAAAGGAGGAAGAAGAAAUCUCACCCUGUAAGUCUUCUUCCUCAAUCAACCACUUCCCAUUCACCUUAAUUAUGAUAAUAGAGUUUCCUAUUCCAUAAGCAUUAGCCCUUUGACAGAAAAUUUUCAUGUUUUGGUCCUCUUCCUUAAGCUACAAGGCCUUAAAUUCUGUUUCCACAAAUUUCUUCCAUGAUGGCUAAAUUGUUAAAUUCUUCCAUGACCAGUCUUUGGUUCUCAUUAUCCUCCUUUGAACAAAAACUCUUCACUUUCUUUAAUGUACCAUCUUCUUAUUUUGUGCAAGGUCAGCUCUCUCCAAAAAGAUACAUUGCCAAAUACCUCAUUGCUCCAUUUUUUUAUGUCCUUUUCCAAGGAUUUUAAAUUUUUUGGCAACCACAUAAUUAUGAUUGCCCAAAUCUCAUAAUUUUGCUACCAAGAUUUGAUCAACUCACCAAAACCGUCCACUUUCAGGUUUCAUCACAUAUUUUCAAAUUCAAAUGGCGUCUUUCCUUUUCUAAUCAGCCCAUAAUCCAAUAAAAGGGACAAAUAAUCUAAUACAGGCCAAAAAAGAGAAAGCAGUCCAGAUGGGAUAUGGAAAGGCCAUCCUGACCUCUUCUCCGAGUAUAACCACCUCCUAAUAAAGGUGGAUCCACCAGCUCAACCUCCACAAUGAAUUUAGAAAAUUCCCUAAUUGAUGAUCAAUGGACUGUUGGCAUCUUAGAUAUAGUAAUAAAAGCAAUACCAAUUUUUCAAAAAAUUGAUCUUUAGGGUUAAAGUACUAACCUUUAGGUUUAGAUGUUCCCAAACCUUAAACUCCAAGUGUUGAAGAAUCAAAUCGAUGUUUUCAAAAGUCUUGUAGACCAGAGAUCUUCCGCCCAAUGACUCUUCCUUGAUCUUGGCACACGUUCGAUGGAGGGAAGAGAGGGUGGAGACUAUGACUCUUUUUCUCUUUGGAACUGGAAGACAACUUUAUGGAAAAAACUAUGAAAACCCUAACCCCUAUGGGGAUAUUUGUAUGGUUCCCCAAUGGGCUUAAGUGACUUGAGUUAAACUAGCCCAAAACGAGUCUUAAUUGAUUAAUUAACCCAACAGGGUAUAUUAAUUAAUCAAUUAGCCUAAUCCAAAAACCUUAUUCACUUAUCCCUAUGCAAUCUUGCGUAAUUAUCAAAAUGCUCUUAUGCACAAAAGUGAACCUAGAGUCAAUCCAACUCUCACAAACUGUGCCAACAAGGUAUAUGAGCUCAAGAGAGGACCACCGGGACCCAUAGGACAGUGUUGGCUCCCUCAUAAUCCAAUUUUAAAGUUAAUUCAAUAUCCCAUUAUAGAGAAUCAAUUGAACUUCAAUACCCUAUGUAAAUAACAAUGAGACACUAAGUGCUCCUAUUCGUGACUUGCUAUUCAUUGCGUUUAGUUUCCCCAUGAACUGGUGUCCAUAGUUUAACAAGGUGAAAACUAUCAGCUUUUCAAGAUUACCUCUAAUAUCCUUGAGUUACAAAUCCUCCUAUUGUGUAACCAUACACACUAGUGACUUACCAUGGGAAACCUAUCCCAAUAGCCAAGACCGGUCAUCCCUCCAAUUAUGAGGUAAUGCACUACAACUUCUAAUGGAUUGCCUAAGUCUAUGAAUCGACUAUGACCGAGUCAUUUACUUGUAAGGAAGCCAUGACUUGGAUCUUUCGUACAACUCCUAAUACACUUAAGUCAUGUACAAUGCAAGAGAUGUUAAGCGAGAAUGCUCAUAAAGAACAAUGCAUGGAAUAAGGAUAAAUAAAAGUAAAACUGGAAUAUCAUUUAAAUAAUAACUUCCAAAUUUAUUAUAUCAUAUCAUGCUUUUAAGGGUUUUAUCCUAACAAGGACUGUCAUUUAUGUUGUAGCUUAGAAAAUGAAUCACAUUGAAAUCCCUUGAAAACACCAAGGCUUGUCCCAAAGGCCUCCGGUUGCAGCCAACUCCUCCCACCUCUCCUCUCCACCCUUGAAUGGGCAAUAAAUCCAUGUGAACAUCUAGGAAAAACCAUCAUUCUUGAAUCAACAAUAAAUGCAAUAAGCCCCUACCUCCAUAUCAAGGCAUUUCAAAACUCUCAAAUCCCAUAAUAAAAAAAUACCUUCUGCUGUCCCCCUAGCAUCCAAAGAACUCCACCCUAAAGUCCAACCAAUUCCUAGGCUCCUAAUCAUCCUGAGAGUCAUAGAACUGGUUUUUGUUUCACGUAAGCAAACGAAACUUGGAUUCUUAGCAAGCAAACAGGAUUUAAUUACUCUCCCUUUAUCUGGAUCAUGAAGACCUCUAACAUUCCAUGAUAUAAUUUGCAUCCUCAUUCAGAAACCUUUUUCCAAAGACCAACCAUCAUCGUCACUGUUAGCCUCCUUUCCUGCUCCUCCAUCAUAUCAUAGAUGACAUUGCUAAUUAUCUUUUGGAUCUUCCCAUCCUUAGUCCUAAAAUUAUUUGAGAUCAUGUGACCCUUUCAUGCUUCAUUCUGCAUUAGGAUUUUCAGAACAUCAAUUCUCAUUCCCUUCUAGAGAAACUCCCAUAUUUCUACAAAAUUAGAGGAACUGCUUAUUUACCAAAGGGUAAAGCUUUCUUCAAGACUCCCUUUCCACUUUCAUAAUGUCCAUAGGUGUAGUGGAAUCCUCCAAAUUGUUGAGAUCCUGAAAGAGCGAAUUUGACAUUUUCUUAAAAAAUGCCUAUCAAAAAAAUAAAAAUUCUGAAAAAGGGUUAUAGAUGAAUUUUGAUUUUUGAUGGAAUUUUCACAGAUUUUAUUUCAGUAGUCUCAGAUGUGAUUGCCAGUUACCCAAACAUGAGCUCCAGCAUUUGCUUUCUUCCUGUUUUAUUCUGCUUGUAUUUCCAUUUAAUGCAAUACACAUUGCAUCAAGAUGCUCGCAAUAGGGAUAUCUAUGAUUUAAAGGGAAAAAACGUACAUGAUACUAGUGGAAUUAUUCACUUCACCAGUCCUUCUCCCUGUGUUGUUUCACUUUUAAUUGCAUUGAGUGCAACAGGUAUAUAUUUCUUUGGUAAGUUACUCAAUGCACAAUAUCUUGGAUUGAGAUGGCUGCAAGGAAUGUCUAUGGGUUCUACACACACACACACACUCUCAUGCAUAUACAAAUAAAGUGGCUGAAGCAUAAACCUGAAUGGGGAACAUGAGGAAAAAGUUGUAGUGGAAUUGAUGUAGUAGUAAUGGUGUGAUGGUGGCAUGAUGUGGUUGGUACUAAUUGGGGAAAAAAAUCAUAGUUGGCCAUAAACAAAGAGCUCUUCAUAAUGGAUGUAUCAUUGGAAAAAAAUAUUAUCAUCCAUUUUGAUCUCAAAAAGUACCAUGGAAAGAGGGAAAAGAAAAUGAAGGACUCUGAAAUUCUCUUUUGAUUGUCAUCCAGAAUGAGAAGGAAAAUGAAAUAUAUUGAUGAUUAUUGAAAAAAUAAAAACCUAAAUUCUUCAUCCUCCACACAAAAAGAGGAAUAAAAAUGGAGAUGGAUUGGAGUACAGACAUUUUGAACUCUUAACUUAUUCUAUAUUUUCCUUUCAUUUUGAACUCCACACAUAAACCAACUGCUCAGUAGCCACUCCUUUCUCUCCCAAAAUUCAGAGACAACUCCAACACCAAUCUUCAAAACCUAUAUCUCUCUCAAAAAUUUCAAAACUCGCUCUAUAGGAUUCUGUAAAUUGGCGACCAAAGUGCAAAGAAAGGAAAAACUCAAAAACCUAUAAAAUUAUCAAUUUCAAAAUAACAUCAAAACAAUCAAAAUAAAAAAAUAUACAUUUCUCAAUAAAUCUACAAUUUCUUCACGACCAGUUCUUUCCAUACAAACAAACACCCCAACCAGAUGAUUCAACCUCCAACAACGCAACACAUAAAUUUAGUCAAGUAUAAAAAAUAGAAAGCCUCGGAAUUCUCAAAAAUUUUCGAUUUCUUGAUUUGGAAACUGACCUGAACAGGUAAACAGCUAACACAGAUUUUGUGAGGAACUCUGAGCUGAUCUCACCUUCUGUCUCCGUUCUCUGCCUUUCCUUACGGGCAAAUGAAAAUGCAUCAAAACGAUGUCGUUUCGUAUACAAUGUUGAUUUUUUCAAAAUUAAGCCGUUAAAAAUAAAUGUUUCAAUUUAAUUCUAAAAUGUACAAAAAAUGGUCAAUGUUGUAAAAUAAUUGCAAUAAAAGACGCAAAUCUAAAAUUAAAUGAAAAUAUAUCGAUGUUUUACACCAUGAUCGACAAAAAAAUAUCAAGACGAGUGAAAGAACACGAAGAAAUUCUAAAUUUUCUAAUUCAAAUUAGUUAAUUUUACAUAAAAAGUAAUAAAUUUGAUAUUUUUCUUUAUGCCCGAAAAGUAAUUAUUUCUUUUUUAUCAUAUUAUUCUUUCUUUAUUUAAAAGCAAAUAUACGAUAAGAGAUAAAAAUAAAGGUCUUGUUUAAUAAUAGAAUUGGUGAUUUUAUUCUUUAUUUAUUUUAAGUGAUUUUUUAUAUUGGUACAUAUUUUCAGGCUAGAUUUGGUUCCAAAAAAUUUGAGGGAAAUAAAAUAGAAAGGUAAAAUAAAAGAAAAGAAAAAACAUAAGAAAAUAAAAAAUAAAUUCAAAAUUAAUAAUUAUUUUUAUAUGUUUUCUAAAAUUUAUUUAACUUAUUUUUCUUUAUUAGAAUAAGAUUAAAUAAUUUUAAUUAUAUUUGAUUUUUAUUUAUAUUUUUCCAUAAUUAAACCUAUGAAAAAAAUCAUUUUAUUUAAUAUUUUUUUUUUAGUACUUUCCGUAAAUCUAAUAUAACCUAAAAAAUAUAGAAGAUAGGUUAAUAACAUUUCACGAGUUUUCAAAUAGAUUUUUUUUUACAAAAUAUCGUAAAACAAUUUUUGUCCAUCAUUUUUUUGCUCACAUUUUGUCAAAAAUAAUCUCAUUUUUUCUUGUAAAAACAUUUUUUUUAAUAAAAAAAAAAAACAUACAUAUAAAUACUUGAAAUAGUCAAAGCAUUUAUGUUAAAAAUUAGUUACUAUUUAUGAAAAUAUAUAUAUAUAUAUAUAUAUAUAUAUAUAUAUAUAUAUAUAUAUAUAUAUAUAUAUAUAUAAAGGUUAAAUUCAUAAAUAUAAUGGUUAUUUUAACCCUUUUAACCAAUUAAUUUUAUUUUAAAACUUAUUUUGAAUAUACUUCCCAAACAAAGCCAAAAUUCCUUGAUGAUUUUUGAACGAUUUUAAGUAACUCAAGCGAGUCCAAAAAUUUCUAAAGAAAAUCUAAAUUAAAACAAAUUUCCAUAAAAAAGGGGGCAUUCCGAGAAUCGAACUCGGGACCUCUCGCACCCAAAGCGAGAAUCAUACCACUAGACCAAAUGCCCACCAUGUUGAUACCUUUUUCAAUAGUUAGAUUCAUCUAACAAUUAUGUUUUUGCGUUAAAAAAAUCCAAAUAUAUAUAAAUAUAUAUAUUUUAAAUCAUAAAUAAAUGACAUGGGAUAUGGAAUGAAAUAAGUCAUGGGUGCAGAUCAAAAUUAAGACAUGCAUGCUUUAAAUGUUUUAAGGUUUUUUAUUUUAAUUUUAAUUUUCUAUUUAUCUAACUGAAAACAUAUUCAUAAUGCGGUAGGGAGGUUAGGAGAUGUUUGGAGCAUUUUUCAAGGGUUUUUUUUUUCAAUUAUUUUAAUGAACGGAAUUUUAUUUUAAAAUUUAAAUAUGAAAAAUAGUUUUCUUUUAUUUUUUAUAAAGGUGUUAUACACUUAUGCUACAGAAUUAAAGUUUUCUCUAUAUUUUCUAUUGUUUAAGAUACUUAAAAAAAUUGAAAAUAUAUCAUUAAAUAAAAAACAAAACUAUUUUCGAAACAAAAUUUCAAAAAAUGGUUUGAUAUUAAAAGUUUGUUGUUUGGAUGAAUGAACUUCAAGGACAAAAAGGUUAUUUAAAAGCCAUGACAAAUGUAUUCUAUAUUAACAUAUUUUUUCAUUAAAAAAAAUUAAAUUUUAGAUGUUUCCAGUUCAUCCAUUAAAAUUUUCUAAAUUUUAAUUAAAACCCGUUUAAUAACUAUUUUUUAAAACAGUUCAAAGAAAUAAUUUAUGAGUGAGAACUAUUCUCUAUUGUCAUAUAGAACAAAAAUUUGCUUAGUUUGUUUUUAAUAUUUUUAAAAAUAAAUUUUAUAUUUUAUGCUUUAUUUUUAAAAAAUAAUUAAAUUAUAUUAUUUAAAAAUAUCAUAUUUUUUAUUUUUAAAAAUAAAAAAAUAAAAAACAAUUUUCUUUAUUAUUAUUAUUAAACGUGUUUUCUUGUUUUUUAUUAUGAAAAGUAGAAAAACAUUUUAAAAAAUAGUUAUCACAUAUGAUCUAAAAUUUCUUUACUAUUAUGUUCCUUAAUUUAAUUAUCCAAUUUUAAUAAAAUAAUAAAUAAAUAAAAUAUAUAUAAACAUCAUCCCACAAGAGAAUGAUUAAUAUUAAUCAAAAUUGAAGAUCAAUUUCCCAGUGUACUAACACUUCUAUAGCAUCAAUUCAGCCAAUCUCAUAAGUCUUUUAUUAGACUAAUAAUAGUAAAAAUAAUUUGCUUAAAGAAAAAAUCAAAACGAAAUGAAUGAAUUUGUGUGAAGUUAAAAUUAAAAUAUAUUUAAUUAAAAGGAUAAAUAAUAUCAUAUUUGAGAAAAUAAUUUUUUGGAAAUUGCAUAUAUAAUCACAAUUUGACUUUUUAUCAAAAUGAAAAAUUUAAAGAUAUUUAUGUUAAAAUAUAUAUAUAUAUUUUGUCUUCACGAAAAGGGAUCGGGUUUUUAGCAAGACACGAAAUUUAUCGUCAAAUAUUCAAAUAUGAUUCCAUAAGAUGAGAACAUUCUUCCGAAUUUAGUUGAGUUUUGAACGACAGUACCCGCUAAUUAACUUUCACAGUGGGCCAGUGGAUACUCUCCUAAAAAAUCGACCUAGAGACCUAGAAAAUCAACAGAGCUAUCCCUCUCAACUUCCUCUGUGGGUAUAAAAUAACCUCCUAAGGUAUUCUCUUACUGUUAUUGAUCUUGUAUAUUUUCCAGUUUCCACCUUCCCUACAGGUUCAAUCUUCUGCCACCAUGGAUUCUCUUCCACCAUCCAAACGUAGAAGAAUAAUGGGGUGGGUGUUUUGUUCUUUGAUUUUAUGGCUUCACUACUUCACUGAUCGAUCAUAUUUACCUUAUAUAUUUUUUUGGUGUUUGAACUCGUAUUUUUUGUCAUGGGCUAGCAUGAAAUAGAAUAUGUAACCAUUUUCUGGACAAUAUAUACCUUCUUAAUUGAUUUAUAUGAUAAAAAGCUAUUUUUAGUAGAGAUAAUUUGUAAAUCUCUUAGGUUAUGAAUGAAAAAAGUUGUAAGACAAUGGUGGGCAUGUAAAAACUAUAUAUGAGAAAUAGUGAGAGCCAUCCCGCUUGCCUUUUUUAUGGUUUCAACUUUCAAGUGGAGUGACAUAUGAGUUAAUAAUAUGCAAUAGUUGUAUUUAUUUAUUUUUACUUUUAGUAAUAUUAUUUUUUAAAAAAAACUUAAACUAGCAGGAUUUGAGUUAAAUAUGUGUGGAAGGGUCUAUACUUGUACAUGAAAAGAUACACAUACUGCAAGUUAAGGGAGAGUUACAUAGAUAAAAAACUGCAAAUUGAGCAAAUUAGGGGAGAGAUACAUAGACAAAGAACGAUAAAUUGGGGAAGAAGAGAAAUCAUGGAGAGAUACACACUCCAAGUUGGUGAAGAAAAACAUAGGGAAAGAGCUGCAAAGCGGGCAAAUUGGGAGAAGAUCAAACAAUUGCAAAUUGAGUAAGAGGAAAAACAAAUAUGCAAAUUGUGAAGAGACAACUCAAAAAUAUAAAAAAUAUGACCUGCUGUCAAACCAGAUUUUGAUACCAUAUUAAACUGCCAAUUUUCAUAAUAACUGAAGUUUGUAGGAUUUAGGUUCAAUAUACCUAUUAUGUUCUCUUUAAAAUUAAAAUGUUCGAUAACUUUUCUAUGAUUUUGUUUUAUUCUUAUGUUUGAAUUUUUGUUUUUAUAAGUAGCUUGUCAAUGGACACAUCGUACCUUAUUUUCUAUCAAAAUUUAUGGCAUGGAAGUAGUAUUUUCUAAGCUUGAACUAAUAGAAAUAAAACGUUUAAAUUAGAUAUGUACCUAGGCAAAGAACUGCAAAUUGGGCAAAUUAGGGGAGAGAUACAUGGACAAAGAACACUGCAAAUUGGCGAAGGGGAGAAACAAAUGUGAAAAACAAAUAUGAAAAUUACAAAAAGACGACUCAAAAGUAUAACCUUUCAUUGAACCAAACGAAAGACCACUAAAAAUUAUAACCUCUCAUUGAACCAAACUGUGAUAUCAUGUUAAAUUAUUAAUUUUUCUAAUAACUUAAUCUUAUAAGAUUUAGGUUUUAUAUGCAUAUCAUACUCUCUUCUAACGGUUAAAAUGUCAUAUAAUGUUUCUAUGAUUUUGUUUUAUCCUGGUGUUUAUGUAUUUAACUUGUCAAUGGACACAUUGUACCUUAUUUUCUAUCAAAAUUUUCGGCAUGGAAGUAGUGCUAGCUUUCUAAGCUUGAACUAAUGGAAAUAAAAUGUUUUAAUCAGAGAUGUAUCUAGAAGUGUCAGCAUUAGCAUUUACAGAAGCAAAAUACUAUGUGUUUAGUCCCUUAAUCAAAUAAGGUCUUCAUCUAUUUAUAAGCACUAAGAAAACUCUCAGGAAGAGUUACUUAGUUCUCUAUAAGUCUCUAGAAUUCCUUAUACAAAUUCAUUCUAUGUACAAGAAAAAUAGUGGAACUCUUUAAAAAUCUCCACACUACUCUAUCUUCUUCCAUCUAUGUAUAGAGAUGUUUGGAUGUAUUUAACUUUCUCUAGAAUUCUUUACGCUUCUCUAUUUGUAGAGAUGUGUCCAAAAGCUUCUUGUUUUUUAUAAAAGAACAAGUGAGGGUGACACUUUGCUCUUAAAUGAAUGGACACAAUUAGUAGACAAAUUAUAAAUUUCUUCGUGUUAUCUAAAAGAUGAGAGUUAACCAUUACUGUAAAGAUUUGCUUCCAACCGUGUAGAUAUUAUUUAACCACUUCUCCUACUCCAACCAACACAAAUGUUUUCACUCUAAUAGUUGCAAUAUAAGAUACUUAAUAGAAAUCAAAGAACAUGCAUAAUAGUAGAGUUUCAAGUAGUGAAGAGAAUACUCGUACUAUUGCAAUAUAAAUAAGUACCUCUCGGUGCAUCCUCUAUAGUAGUUAUUGCAACUUCACAAUCUAUAAUAUAACCAACCAGCUUCCAGUCGGUGGUCCUUGUUAUAAUAGUGUUUAAAACUCCAAUGGACUGAUAAACAUAACACAACAAUUUAAGAAGCUUAUAUAUGUUAUUAUCAUAUUCCAAAAUCAUCAUUUUCAAAAAGUAAAUAUGAAUUUUUUUGUGUUAAAACAUAAAAGCUUUAAUUGACUGAUUGACCAAUGUUCAAUGUCUGAAUCUCCAUACCUCAUCAUAUUCAAUUGAUUUGUAUAUUAUACACAUUCUGUCAAAUUCCCAAGUGGAUAUAUGUUAUGGACAUGACAAGGUUGAAUAGAAUCUGGGUUUGGUUUUGAGUUAAAAGUUAAAAAUGUUUCCAAACCUUAGCGUAUGUGGAGAUAUGGCUUCCAAACAUAACUGUUAUGGAGAGGAAAAAUUAUGAGAAGAAGAUGAACAUCUAAAAAUUAUAUCAAGUGGACAGACAUAUGAUGAAAGGUAAAAAACAUCCGACAUUGAUUGAGUGGGACCUGGGAUUGAAUGAGUGAGACAUUUCUGCAAUAUAAGGAAGAAGUAAGAGACAUUUGACACUUGAGUGAGACAUUUUUGUAUUUAUUUUUUUUACUCUUAUCUAUAUAUAUAUAUAUAAAGCUUAAACUUGCAGGAUUUAGGUUCAAUAUGUGAGGAAGGGUUCAUACUUGUAUGUGAAAAGAUGUACAUACUGCAAGUUAAGGGAGAGAUACAUAGAUAAAGAACUGCAAAUUGAGCAAAUUAGGGGAGAGAUACAUAGACAAAUAAUGACAAAUUGGGGAAGAAGAGAAAUCAUGGAGAGAUACACACUCUAAGUUGGGGAAGAAAAAUAUAGGGAAAGAGUAGCAAAGUGGACAAAUUGGGGGAAGAUAGAUAGGCAAAUAACUGCAAAUUGAGUAAGAGGAAAAACAAAUAUGCAAAUUGUGAAGAGAAGACUCAAAAAUAUAAAAAAUAUGACCUGCUGCCAAACUAGAUUUUGAUACCAUAUUAAAUUGCCAAUUUUCAUAAUAACUGAAGUUUGUAGGAUUUAGGUUCAAUAUACAUAUUAUGUUCUCUUUAAAAUUAAAAUGUUCGAUAACUUUUCUAUGAUUUUGUUUUAUUCUUGUGUUUGAAUUUUUGUUUUUAUAAGUAGCUUGUCAAUGGACACAUCGUACCUUAUUUUCUAUCAAAAUUUAUGGCAUGGAAGUAUAUUUUCUAAGCUUGAAUUAAUAGAAAUAAAAUGUUUAAAUCAGAGAUUUACCUAGGCAAAGAACUGCAAAUUGGGGAAGGGGAGAAACAAAUGUGAAACCAAAUAUGAAAAUUACGAAAAGACGACUCAAAGUAUAACCUCUCAUCGAAUCAAACUGUGAUAUCAUGUUAAAUUAUUAAUUUUUCUUAUAACUUAAUCUUAUAAAAUUUGGGUUUUAUAUGCAUAUCGUACUCUCUUUAACUGCUAAAAUGUAAUAUAAUGUUUCUAUGAUUUUGUUUUAGGUGUUUAUGUAUUUAACUUGUCAAUGGACACACUGGACCCCAUUUUCUAUCAAAAUUUCUGCCUUGGAAGUAGUGCUUUCUAAGCUUGAACUAACGGAAAUAAAACGUUUUAAUCAGAGAUGCUAGAAGUGUCAGCAUCAGCAUUUACAGAAGCAAAGAGGCCAGACCAUGGUCUGAUCUUCCUUCAGACCUCUUGACCCUAAUCGCCCUCCGCCUAACCAUAAUCGAGCUUCUCUGCUUCCGCAGAAUCUGCAAACACUGGUAUGCUGCUUCCUUGACUGCUUCAGCUCAAAUCGAGUCUGCACCAAAUCAAAAACCGUGGCUACUCCUCCGUGGGAAUGGUUCAAAAUGCCUCCUAUACAAAGAAUCAAUAGGACACUACUACCUUGACAUUCCAGAAAUGAGUGGCGCCACCUGCAUUGCCUCCUACCAAGGCUGGCUUCUUCUCUUCAGAGCAGCCUCAAUCUUCUUCCUCUGCCCCUUCUCCUCCGCCAAAAUAGCACUCCCCCACUUCCUUCACCCCCAACUCUCUGAUCACGUCGCCGCCUUCUCAUCUCCACCCACUUCUCCAGACUGCAUCGUCUCUGUCAUCGGCCGAAGCGAUGCCAUGAACUUGGAGCUGCAUUUGCUUCAUCGUGGAGACAAAAAAUGGACCAAGUAUACGUUGAUGUAUCACAUUAAUCACUUCAAAACCAUUACUUGCGCCACUUAUCAUAAUGGAGACUUCUACUACCUGGACACGGGUACUGGGGCUUUAACGUUUAAUGUGAAGAACAAGAGCGGAACCAGGUACCAGGUGAUAAGGGCGAAGAAGGGAGGAAACUGGUUGGGUAGUGAGCGGUGUCUGCCAUUUUCGCCGUGUAGGGAUUAUUUUGAGCAGAAUAAGAUGAAGAAACUGUUGGGAUUGACGGAAAAUGUGUCGAUUAGUACUUGUGGGACACUGGUGGAGCUUGAUGAUUUGAACUGCUUUAUUAGGAACGAGAGCAUCCAGAGCAGCCAAAAAUCUGAGGACUGCAUCAAGCUUAGAGGCAUAUGGAUUCAUCCUCGAUUUUUUCAAAUCCCUUGUGAUCAGAGAUGGUAGUUUUGGGGACUCACGCACAUUUUUCAGAACUUUGUAUUAAGGGAAGGAAGUAAAUGAUAGGAAGCAGAAAGGACAAAGUUUGUCCGAUGGGCUCUUUUUCAUCUACCAUACUUUUCUAGUCAAUGCUCAUGAUUUAAGAUUUUCAUUAUUUCUUUCUUUCUAUAGUUCAUAAUACAUUCUUGUAUACAUUUCUAAAAAGAAAUAAUAAGACCCAUUAUUUUCAUUGCUAAAUUAUCAAAUUCUUCACUUAGAACCAUAUAUGCUUUUUAAAACUAUUUUCUGUUUUUGUUUUUAAAUAUAAUAAACAAGAUUUCAAUUGUUUUAUAAGGGUUGUUUAAAAAAUAAUUAUAUAAAUAUGAUUUUCAAUGAAUCUUUUAAUUGAUUUAAGUUGCUUUCAAUUGGUUUUUUAAUAAUCAUUUAAAAAAAUAAUUAUAUAAAUAUGAAGAAUGAUUUAAAAUAAAAUAAUAACAUAUAAAAUUAUUUUUAAAACAUAUUUUUAAAAAUAAAAAUUAUAUUAAAAACAUUUCAGGUUCGAAAAUAGAAUUUUGUUUUACAAAACAUAAAAUAGUUUUCAAAAAUAAUUCCCAAGCUUAAGUGAUUAUUUAUUUGAAUAAAUACUUGUUUAUUUUCUUUCUUAUAUUCUCACUUGAAGAUAUUGGUUUAUUUAGAUAGCAUUUUGUUCUUUUAACUUUAAUUAUUGACUAGAGAAAAAAAAAAGAAAAAAAAAAUUCCUUGCUUUGCAAAGUGGUACUUCAACACCAAACAUAACAAUCAAUACUCAUUAAAAUACGUCAUUUUUUUUAAUCUUUUAUCAUUGAAAAUCGAAUAAAUUUUUUUGAAUAUAUAAUUAAAUAGAAGUUUAAAUAUUAAAAAAUACACUUAAAAUUAAAAUUUGAUAGUUUUUAUUGAAUAUAUAAUUAAAUAGAAGUUUAAAUAUUAAAAUGAUGAUGGAAGAAAAAAAGAUAUCUUAUGAGAUAAGUAACCAUUAUAAUUAUCGACUAAAGAAGAUAACAUACAAUUUAAUAUUAUUUAUAUUCAUAAUUUGAAAUUUUUAUAACACUUACUAUUAACAUUUUACAAAAUAAAAUUUUCUAAGAAUACAUUAAAAUUAAGAAGAUUACACUAUUUAAAAAUUAAUAAAUUAAGUCUUAAAAAUUAUUUACAUAAAUAAUGUUAGAUGAUAAUUCAUAAAAAAUGAAUAUAUAUAUAUAUAUAUAUAUAAGAAAGAAAGGAAGAUAAGUGUACCUAAGAGAUGAGUUUUAUGUUUGGCUAAGAUUUUCUAAAACAUGGUUCUUUGAGUUUUACCUUGUAAUUUUAAUUAUCCAAAAAGAAUUGAAAUACGGCUAUAAAUAUCUCAAUUUGAAAAACUGAUAGAAGAAUGAGAUAUAGGAAAAUAUGAAGAUAGAAAAAGAUAAAUAAAAAUAUGUAUUGAAAGCCAAUAAUUAUGCUUUUACAUAGUUAGUUUUUAAUUUGGUUUUAAAUUUAAUUACGAGAUCUUCUAAUAAGAAAUGUUGUGGAUAUCACUUGACAAAAUGCUAUUGAACACUUGAUUACAGAAGAUUGUGAUUAGUAGCCAAUUAAUUGGAAGCUGAAGUCAUCAUUAAGCCAAAGUCAUCAUUCUUAUAUGAUAUUAUAAUUUUUUUAAUAAAUAUAAGACAAUUUCUUUUGAAUACAAAUGAUAGCUCAUCUUUUACAACCUUAUAAAGGUAGAUUCCAUAUGUAUUUACCAUAGUAGAAUUAAUGUUCAACAAAUACAAAUAGAUCUAUUCAAACAAGUAUUACCAUAUGUUACAUUGAAAAAUUUUAGACACGAUAUUGAAAUGCAAUGAAAAUUUAAAAAUAUUAAAGUUGAAGCACUAAAGCAUAAUAUUAAAGUAUUCUACCAUAGAUAUUAGUUCACUCUAUUAUUUUUUCUUUUAUCUAUGUUGUACAAAUCAUUUAAAGAAUAUUACUUAAGAGAGUUUGGACGAAUGAAACUUAUAUUGCACAAUUAUACUACGUGUUUAGUCCCUUAAUCAAAUAAGAUCAUCAUCUAUUUAUAAGCACUAAGGAAACUCUCAGGAAGAGUUACUUACAUCUCUACAAGUCUUUAGAAUUUCUUAUACAAAUUCAUUCUAUGUACAAGAAAAGUAGUGGAACUUUUUAAAAAUCUCCACACUACUCUAUCUUCUCACAUCUAUGUACAGAGAUGUUUGGAUGUUUUUAAACUUCUCUAGAAUUCUUUACGCUUGUCUAUUUGUAGAGAUGUGUCCAAAAGCUUCUUGUUCUUUAUAAAAGAACAAGUGAGGGUGACACUUUGCUCUCAAAUGAAUGGACACAAUCGGUAUACAAAUUAUAAAUUUCUUCGUGUCAUUUAAAAGAUGAGAGUUAACCAUUACUAUAAAAAUCCGCUUCCAACUGUGUAGAUAUUAUUUAACCACUUCUACUCCAAUCAACAUAAAUGUUUUCACCCUAAUAGUUGCAAUAUAAGAUACUUCCCCAUUGGUGACUUGUUUUUCUCUUUACUCCAUAUUGAUAACAGAAAUCAAAGAACAUGCAUAAUAGUAGAGUUUCAAGUAGUGAAGAAAAUACUCUUACUAUUGCAAUAUAAAUCAGUACCUCUCGGUGCCUCCUGGUUGCUUCCAGUCUGUGGUCCUUGUUAUAAUAGUUUAAAACUCCUAAGGACUGAUAAACAAAACACAACAAUUUAAGAAGCUUAUAUAUAUGUCAUUAUCAGAUUCCAAGAACAUCAUUUACAGAAAGUAAAUAUGAUUUUUUUUUGUGUUAAAACAUAAAAGCUUUAAUUGACUGAUUGACCAAUGUUCAAUGUCCGAAUCUCCAUACCUCAUCAUAUUCAAUUGAUUUGUACAUUAUACACAUUUUGUCAAAUUCUUAAUUGGAUAUAUGAGGAGAUAUGGACAUGACAAGGUUGAAUAGAAUCCAGGUUUGGUUUUGAGUUAAAAGUUAAAAAUGUUUCCAGACCUUAGCGUAUGUGGAGAUAUAUGGCUUCCAAACAUAACUGUUAUGGAGGGGAAAAGUUUUGAGAAGAAGAUGAACAUCUAAAAACUAUAUUGAGUGGACAGAGAUAUGAUGAAAGGCAAAAAAACAUCCUUGACAUUGAUUGAGACACCAAUUGAGUGAGACAUUCCUGAGAUAUGGGGAAGAAGUAAGAGCCAUCUGACACCUGAGUGAGAUAUGUUAAGGAGCAUGAUAUGCAUUAUGAGCCCAAAUUUUAUAAGCUUAAGCUUUUAAGAAAAUUCAUAAUUCAACAUGCUAUUAGAACUUGGUUUGACAUGAGGUCAUGGAUUCGAGUCACCUCUCCACAAUUUGCAUGUUCAUUUCCCAAUUUGUUUCUCCUUUCCCCCAAUUUGCAGUUCUUUGUUUGUGUUUGCUCUCCAUGUGAGGGUGAGCCCAAAUCACUCCUAAGUUCUCCAGCAAAAUGGACUAAUUUUACUAAAAAAUUUCAAGCGUUAGUAAUUUUCUUAUCAUAAAAAAAUAGAAGUUACAAAGAGCAUUGAAUUCUUAGUGUUCACAAAGGACAGUACAGUUAUUGCACAUAAAGAGAACCAACAAUAAAAAAGAUACCAGAAUCAGAAAAAGAAAAGAAAAGUCUCUCCAGUUAAAUAUCAGAGGAGCUUUAGGCUUACUUAGUCAAACAACUAAUCCUGUUCAAUCCGUUGGGCAAUUAGAUCAACUGCUGCAUUUGCUGAUGAGAAAGCUCCAUGGAAGCUUUCUUGAUAGGAAAUGGAUUCCAAUUCUCUGGCCAUCUUCAACAGAAUCUCACCCAGAUCAGUUUGUUUCUCUACUAAACUUCUGUAGUAUGAGUUGGCAGCAACCCUGCUGAUUUCAAUGUUGGUUGCCUCAGGACAGUACUCAUCAUCCAACCACUUAUGCAGAGUAACUCUAAGCCACUCUGAUUCCUGCCACCAAUGGUAGAAAUCACAUAGUUCAUUGCAGGUACAGAAUAAAAACUAUAAAUGAGGUUCAUAGAACUCAAGUUUCCUCAUAAACACAUACAGGAAUGGAACAAAAAGAUUUGUGUUGUGUUAGCGGAAGCUUUGAUACCAAGAGUCUUAGAUCAAGAACACAAAGAUAAAACAAUCACACAUACGGUACACAAGGUUUUAACGUGAUUCGACCAAUCAUGCCUACAUACACGGAUGAAAGAAAAUCUUUCCACUAAACAAUAGAGAAUAUUACAAAUGAUAGAAUCGGAUACAACCGAGAUAUCCCCUCCCUCGUUCCACCGGAUAUCUCAUUCUCCCUCAUAUCUCUAUUCACCUAGUAUAUUCUCUGUAGGCCCAUCUCCAUCUCAUGACUUUUUCCCCUCAUAACCUAUAAUAUUUAUAGAGAUAUUUUCAACAACUUUCUUUAGAAAGUCUAAUACUAUAAUCAUAUAUCGACUUAUAAAAUAUUUUAGAAUUUGCGACACUUCCCAACAAUUUGAAUACUAAAAAAAAAUCAAGCAGUUCAAAUGGAAACCAGGCGUGUGACAGCCUGAACUCUAAGGCUAGGAUUCAGCCAUUUCAGCUUGUUUGUUCACAUUCCUAUCAAUUGUGAUAUCACACACCAAAUAUGGGAAACGUACUUUAAAGCCAUGAAGGCACUUUGGAACAAGAUGGACAAUAUCUAUGCUAUCUGGAGCUGUAAUUCCGACAGCUCACAUGAUGGAAAAGUAGAAGCAAUAUUGAGUUGGAACCCCUUUCCCGUUCAGGUGAAAGGACACAAUUUUGCAGAAAGUAUUGUAUUAGGAGACUGAUCAAAAGGAAAUCAACCCAAAUUACAAACCCCCACAGCUCAAUUCACAAUAUAUCUUCACGUUCUAAAAUUGCCGGAUGAAACUGAACCAGAAACCCAAUUCUCCUCUACAUUUCGGCAUUUCCCAUAUACAAAUGAUUCUAUCCAUAAGGGGUUUCAAUAUCAUCACUUGAUAUCCAUAAGCUCAAAGAACUCCAACAAGAAUUGUUCGAUUACAUAGAAUUACCUUAUGAAUUCUCAAGAUUAAAACAUCCAUAGAACUAGAAUUAUACCUCCAAGGCCUUGGAAGGAUUCAACCAAUGGUCUGGCACCCUCAAGUCUUGAACUAGGGUUUCUUCAUCUCCUUCUUCGUAGCUUUGUGGGUCUGAAGAAGACUGAGAUCUUGGGACGGAUCGGUUUCGGAGAUGACCUUUCAGAGGGGGUGUUGGCUGAGAAUUGACCUUAAAAUUAAGGGCUGAUGUCCCAAUUGUAAGGGCACUAUGAAGCUUUGAGAAUUGAAGAUCGUUGGAAUUUGGGAUUGUUGUUCUUGUGUGAAAAAAUAGUGAAGACAGCAUGGCUUGGAAUUUUGAAUUGCUUUUUUUUUUUUAAUAAAAAAAAAAAAAAGGGUUCUUUCGUGAUUUUCUCGAGAAAGUUGAGUGGGAAAAUAGGUAAUGGCGGGAAAGCGAACGGAAAAUUCAGAUUUAGAUAUUAUCCGUUGGACUCAUGCAAUGUUUUGGAUAAGGGUCCAACACAGCACAAAUAAAGCGAUGUCGUUUUACCUUUACUGUCACAAACCACGAAAACGACAUCGUUUAUUAUUUCAACGGUAUCACAAAAGAAAAAUAAAAAGAAAAUGACUUAUUGGAUGAUCUCCUAAGAAACAUGAUAAUUUUUUUUUAUCAAAUUUUAGGAGAAUUUGACUUCAAAACAACCCCGAAUUCAAACAGAUAAGAGAAAAUUUCAAAUAUCACAUAUGCCUACAUGACACAUCAUGCUUAUGAAAUCAUUGAAAUGGAAACAAAAAAUCAACCCAUUUCCCAAACAUAAUUUAGAAAUUUGCCGUUUACAAAGAAGAAACACAACAACAUAGCUGUUCAAGCUCUCAACAAAGAGACCACAAACUCAAACAAGAUCACACAUAUUGUAUGUAAAAGAAAAAUAUAUAUGAAACAGAAGAUGAAAGCAGAAAGCAGUGAUCAUGAGGGUGUAGCUGAAUUCAGUCUCUCAGUCUCUUCCUUUGGACAUAUGAAGAUCCUCUGCACCAUAGACCGGAAUUCCCUGCAUUUAUAACAAUAAUAACAUCACCAAGUUAGCAGGAGUGUUCAAGCAUUGAUACAUCAAGAAAUAUGUUCAGAAUUGUUGUGUUUGAAUUGGUACUGAACUGCCAUGGGUAAUCUCCGAGCAGCAUCAUGUCACCCUCAUCAUCUGUGUAUGUUACAUGCCACCUGCAGCUGCCAUCCAUCAAACUUCCUCCGAAAUCAAACAUCUGGUCAAGCUCGAUGAUGAGCUCAUCAUACCCGUCAAAGCGUGCAAGAUCAAUUGAUCUUCCAAGGGCAGUUCCAUACUUGAGUACCUGAAAGAGAACCCGGAUAUAUGUCUUAAGAUUAGCUUUUCCAUUAGCAAACAGUCCAUCAAUCGUUAUGAAGAGAAACAAUCCACCCAAUCUCUUGGAAAUGGUUUUAUAUCAAAUUCUUUGAAGUUGCUGACCGUAACUCACUUAGCAGUGAUUCUAAACUACCUUUGUGCAGCUCCUGACCAUGACCGAGCAACAGUUCUUGCACUGUUUGUCUGAAAGGUCACCAGAAACACUCUUAGAUGGCUCUGAAGCUUGGAUAGAUUCAGAAAUGCUUGACUGAGAUGUUGGAGGAAUGGAACAAGGACUUUGCAGCUCACUGGAACUGGCAACUUGUGGUGAAGGGAGCUCCGCUGGACUAUUAAUUAAAUUUACACCAAAAAGCUUGAAUUUGUCAAUGCGGUUCUGUUGGGCAAAUGAAGCUUCAUUGCCCUUUGGCUCUAGAGCCCUCCAAUCCUGGAACUCACAAUUGCUGGAGUCGAGGUUUGCAAAAGACAAGUUUCUGCUCCCUCCAACAUUAUCACAGGCUCCACAAUAGGUAAAUGUUAGGGAGCAGCCAUUAGCAAUCCCAGAACUCAGAGGGUUUUCACCCUGGAACAAUAUUGUUUUGCCAGGACAUUGAUAGAAUGGGUCAUGCAUUGGGAAGUGCUGAGGACCCCAAUCGGAAUUUGGUGGAGGAACAACCAGCAAUGAUGGCAGUUUUGAUGUAUCUGGCUUGUGAGCACCUAUAUCGUCGUUUUCUUGACCUUGCAAGACCCCUGAUUGAAUUUUAGUGUGCUCAACUGAAUUUUGCAAUAAGCAUUGAGAAUAGGUAAAAAUCAUCCAAUUGGUUCAUUCACGAGAGAUACACAAUAUAAAUAUGGAGACCUAAGAAGACUUAUUUUCUUAAGGAGUUGUGGUCCAAAGUAUAAGAUAGAUAAAGAGUACUGACCAUCCCCAACCAAUAUAGGAAUAGCAGGACACAGUGGAUCAGUUGGGCGUGCCCUCUUUAGUUGGGGUAGAAUAGAAGUAUGCUUCUUCUUAAUGAAUUCUAUUGGCUCAAUGUUCCAUGCAGCCACCCUUUCAGGACAUGGAGUAAUAUCUGAUGUAUCCCAUUGCACCUAAAAUAAAGAAGUAGAUAAUCAACUACACACGCCAAGAACAACAACAUUUAACUACAGAAAAUAAAGCUAUUUACCUUGAAACGUCUCCAUUCUGAAUUGGGCCACCUAAUGGCAUCAACAUCUUCAAUGCCAACUAUAGUACCUGCACAUCUGGUUGAUACAAUGAAUAAAAUUCAGUUAAGAAACAAGACACAAGAAAUGCCUCUUUUUUUUUUCUUUUUACUUCUACUUACCUUUGUUUUUUGCAUUCAAUGAUCAUAGCAUGACUCACUGCAAUUUGGACCAUUUACUCAUACAACAGCAUUAUGCCAUUGCACAGUCAGCAAAUGCAAGAAUUACAGAAGAAAUAAAUCAUGCAUUAACCAAAUAGAUCCAUGAAGGCUUACCUUUGCUGUGAACAUUCUUCACCUUCAAACAGCAUUCUGAAUCUUGUUCCAACUGAGUAAUUGUUUUCAGCAGAUUUUAUGUAUUGGUCAUAAGGAAUAAUAAAUUCAGGACUAGUCCUGCAGAAAAGAUAUGUAAAUGACUUCCUAGAUCAGAACUAUUCUAAUGCUUGUUGUGCAUGGAGAAACUGCUAUAAGUACCAAAAAGACUAACUGGAGUCAAUUUGAUCGUUACUAUUUAUAACAUGGUAAUAGCUUACCAAGGACGGAAAUAUACAGUAAACAUGGUUCCCGUAGAAAUGGCAUGGAAGGCACUUGCAAGUAUGCCAUGUUGCAUGCUGUGGCCGGAUAGUACUGAUGCUGAUACAUUGUUUUGUAAUCUUGUAGCUCUCCGGACCCCAACACGAAGUUCACCAUUUGCUCCCCUAAAAACCAAAAAUAUUAUUAUUAUUAUUAUCAUCAGUUAAUCAUUCACUCUUCCAUUCAUUCAAAAGAUCAAUAUAUUACAUAAACAACUGGCAGCUGGUUAUUACAAACUUUUGCUAUGAAUCCAAAGUCUAAUUGUAAAUAUCAAAUAUGACAUACACAUAGUUCACAUAAUGCUUUGAAUAAAAGAGAAAAGGUACAGUACAACUACACAAAAAAACACAUAGGGAGGAAGAGAAAACCUAAGGAAAAUGCAGGCAUCUCCAGCAACAAGCUUCUUUGAAGUCACAAAUUGACUCCAACCACUAGUAAGCAAGUGCCGCUUUGGCUGACCUGCAUUUAUUAGGGGAAAACAUGCAGGUAAGAAAUAAGAUGGGGUCCAGAACAAUUAGAGACAGGAGGUCGAGGGAAAAAAAUUGCAUGAGUAAGAAAUGGUUGACAGUAAGUAAUGACAUAUGCAUUAUUAAUACACUAGCAGGGCAUUAUUAAUACACUAGCGGGGCUCCUGGAUGUUGGUCUGACAUGCUCUAAACGAGACUUGAAGUAGGUCCUCCUGACUUUGUUGUCAUCAAAAUGAGAAUGUUUUUUUUUUAGUACUCACUUAAAGAAAUGGUGCUUUAAGGAUCCAAAAAACAACUGCAUUUCUAAUUUAUCAUGGCAGUUAUGAUGUUGUCUUGCUGUUACUCCACCAACUUGUUUAGUUAAACGUCAUCUCAAACACAACAGGUUGAUUCAAAACAAAAUCCCCUUCAUCCAUGAGAUGCAAUGACAGACUAGUAGUAAUGCUUAAAAUGUUCUUUUUCCUUUUUGUUUUUGAGUCCAAAUUUUUAAUGACUGUGAAGUAUAUUGAAGAUACCUCGAAAUAUAUGGCGAAAGCGCCAUUCAGUCCCAUGCAAGUCCUUUGCAAUCAGUUCCUGUACUGGGGGUUGCUGGGUCAUGUCCUGCAAUAACAUCCACAAUAUGUAAAUUUGGCUCCUUAUCUAGAUCAUUUACUAUAAGCUUACAUGACAUAAAGGUGGAUCCACAAGGGAGAGAGUUUUAUACUAAGAUUUUGAAAGUACAAACACCUACAUAUUGUAAAGAAUCUCCCCUAUUAUUUUUAUUUGUCCUUAUUUUAACAAAUAACUCAUGUUACUUGUGAGUAAAGAUUAUCGUAUCCGCCAAAGUCUAUGAAUCUAUACAGUUUGCUAAAGCAAUAAGAGAAGCUUGAAUCCACUAGGUAAAAGUCUCUUGAGAUUUUUAAGAGGGCUAUUUAAAAAGAAAUCAUUGCAAGGAUACUGACCAGAGGUGGAAGACAUUCAUCAGCAUGUCGCUUCGGAACAGAGAACCCACCAUGUGUGUUUGUAUCAGACGGAGUGAGAGUCUUGCUAAAGGAGUAUGAAUGAGUUCUUCGAGGGAAAAACUGAGAAUUUCCAUGAUCUGGACUUUGCCACUCUUGCUGUCAAGGGCAAGAGCAUUAAACUUACAGUAUGAACUAGAGAAGCAUUUAAAGAUCAAAUGGAAACAAAAGGACUAAACUUCAAUUUGUAAAGGCACAAGUUUGCCAUGCAAACUUCCACAAUCACCAAAAUCCGAAAAUGAUAACUAUAAGGAAUACAAUUGAGGUUAAUUAUAUAAAUUCUGAAAUAGCAUCAUCAAAUGAGUUGCAAUACACAAUUUCAUUUUCCAGUUUCAGAAGACUUUCAUGCACAAACUAGUUAAUUAGUAAGAAUAUAAACGUCACAGUAGCGAACCUUUGCCUCUGGAAGCAAAGUAACUUGCGCAAACACCUCAUCUGUACAAGCUUCAGCCUGAAAUACCAUAUUGACAAACAAGAAAGCCAUCCAAAAAUAGGUAAAAAAUAUACAUACACGCCUCGACAGUUUUGCCAUCUAUAAAUUCCAAUCUAAAAACAUGCCUGCAGAGAGAUGUGAGGUACCUUUAGCUGAACGUAAACAACUUUGCAGAAAAUCUUAGAAGGUAAAUUGUAGAUUGGCAUUUCCAUUUGGCCAUCCUGGUUUGUAUAGGCCUCAACCUAUACCAAAUUCAAAUAGCCAUAUAUGGAUUCACAUCAGUAAGAAAACUGGCAAUUUUUUCCACUCAUAAGAAAAUUACAAAAACAUUCAUAUUCUUCCUGGCACGUACUACACUGGGGUGAAUCAGAAACAAAACCAAACCAUUUAGAUCUAAAUAGCAUUUGAAAUGGAUCAAUUUUGUGCACGCAGCAAGUAAGUCUUUUUUUAGAAUUACCAAUGGGAUCCCAAAGUAUGAGAUCAUUAAACCUUUUUUUAAAAAAAAAAAAAAUCUCACUUUUUCAGGGAAUUGCUCCAACUUUUGGAAAGAUUCCUUUUGUUUGUCUCCCAGUGACUCCCCAUUGUAAAUUAAUGGAUAUGUGCCCUCAAAUACUAUAGAAGAAAAACACCAUGUAUAGUUUCAUUCCCAAGGAAACACCCAAUUCUCUAUUAGACUUGGCAUCAUUUUAAUCCCAAAGCACAAAAAUUACUUGACCUCAGAAAUGUAGAUGGACGGGAGAGCAGAACCUGUUCUAUGUGACCUUGAGGGAAGUAGACAACCUUCUGGCCGGCACGCAGAAUGUUGACAAGAGGCCCAGCACAUCCAAGCCAUAGUUCAGUAUACAGAUCAUCAUUUUCAUCUAAGGUCACAACAUAUUAACAUUAACAUCUUAACCCGGCAAGUAAUAAGAAAGUAAUCAUGCUACACACAUUUUUGGAACCCGUUUGAUCAGAGAUUAAGAAACAGAUGAACAGAUUAUUUAAAAGAAAUACAGAAUACCAACCAGAAAUAUGGAUUUACAGUUUAUACUAAAAGUCUUAAAUCUAAAGCAUGUAGCCAUCAGAAAUUUCAUGGACAUGUCAACCGUAGCCAUUUUGACAGAAAUCACAAGUUGAAGAAUAGAAGGUACAUAAAACAAUCCAAUUAGUAUUCUAGAGAAAGACAGAUCAUAAUGGAACUUUUGACCACAUAUAAGGAAGCAUUUUCCCCUCAAUAUUCCAUGAUUAUCCCACGACAACUAGUUUUAGAGAGAGAAAGAGAGAGGGAAAAAAACCUCCAAGCUAGUGAAAAACAAAAUCAGAGACAUGGUCAUGCAAGACAUUUCCAUUGAAAUAUUUUUUUAAAUGAAAUGAAAAUAACAAAAUAUGAAAUUUCAGCCAUUAAUACGAGUCUUCCUGAGUUCCCCUUCAUAAGUUCAUGCAGAGAACCAUACAUGAAAACAUAUAGAAUAAGGAAAAAAAAAUAUAUAAACAAAUAUUAUAAGGAAAAGAACCGAGACGUCACCUUGGAUGUUUUUACUCUGCAACCCAUCUCCCUCGAGAUCAACCCUCAUCCUCUCACCAUCUCCACCACUACCCAUCUCUCCCUGUCUCUCCCAGACGAGAAUGCAACGGCUGAAAUGAAGAGAAACCCACAAAAGCUCCAACCCAGAAUACCACAGACAGAGAACCCCAGAUACAAAAACAGCCUCUGCAUCCACCCCACCGCUACCGACACUCUCAAAAACCAAAAAGAAAAAAGAAAAAAACGAAAAUGAAGGAUGACCCAGAAAAGCUCUCAACACGACUGUGUUCACAACACCAGCGCCCAGCGGUGCUUCCCUCUCUUAUCUCCCUCUGAAAAAGUGGAGCUUGGGGGUUGGUGCUUUAACUUUAACGUUUAAGAAGCAAUGUCACACACAACACACACCACCCACACAUAGAGCUGCAGAGGCUGCGGCUGCAAAGAAUGAGAGGGUGUUGGGUAAGUGUUGGACACCGUACACAACCACCCUUUGACACGAGUCAACUUCCCCAAUGCCAAGCUUCUCUUUCCUCCCCUCUGGCGAUAUUUGCAAAAUUUCCUCCCUCCCAAACGAUAUCUUCUAUGAUUUAUAUCUCAGACAUCUGGUCUUCUCCGCCACCUUCCAUUUUCUCUCGAUCUUUUUCAUGUUUUUCAAUUUUUUUAACAUUUUAUUUAUUUAAUGGAGAGGGUGGAGAAGCGUAGAGUGUGAGUACGUACUCGGGGGACUAUUUUCCAAUGACCGGCCAAUCGAAUAAAGGUAAUGCGGUGGGUCCCACAUUUGAUGACUUGAUCUGACGAUGGUGAAGGUGGGGGCCCUGUCACGGGCGUCUGUGAUGCUAGACUGGUCAUCUCCCUCCUGGGGCUGUACUUGUACUGCUGUGUUACCAUCUCAUUUCAAACUAAUUUCUUUUAUUUUUUAUUUUUUUUAGAAAUAAAUUAAUAAAUUAUAAUGGCAUUUUUGUAAUUGAUGGGAAAAAACAUAUUUUCCAUCUUUAUGUAUUUUUUAUUUUAAUUAAUGAGGAGAGAAAACGACAAAACAACAGGAUACAAUUACACCAGCGAAAACGACGCCUCUUCGGUACAUACCGGGGCAUUCAUGGAAAAAGGCGGCUCCGUCGCUGCAACCAACGCCGUUAACUCCACCGCGCGAGGCAAACGGCUGCUGUUGUCGUUCCCGUGAAACUUCUCCCGCGCUGCCUGCCGUCCACGACCGCCUUGCAGGCCCCCGACCACAAUGCCCACACCCGACAAAAUUUUAUCCAUCUGACGACACGUGGACUUGGCCCACGCCACGUGUCCGGCCAGGGCUUCGAGGGUUUAAAAGAUGGCGCCGUUACAUUUUUGUGGCGUGUUUGGCAGUACUAUUGAGGUGGUGUUGUUUACCACGCCAUUCAUGCUGCGGCUACUUUUUGUCUUGUUUUUUAAUCCGUUACGAGCCCCUCGUUGUAAUAUUGUAAAUGUGUGAGGACUAGUUUGUGAAAAUGUGUGAAAUUGGAUUUAAAUUAUUGGGGCCUUUGUGGGCUGGAUCAUGAGUGUUAUGGGCCCAAAUCAACAUCAACCUUUCAUCAUCGCUAUCAAACAAAUAAAUCAAAUCUUAAUUGAAAAAAGAUUCUCAAAGAAUUAAAAAAAAUAUAUAGUGUUUGAAUCCAAAUAUAACAUUCAAUAAUUUUUGCAUAAAAAAAAGGAGAAAAAUCCCUAGUUGUGUAAAAAAAAAUCGAAAAUAAAGGUCAUCUCAAUUAUAUAGAUUUUGUUUAAUAGUUAUUUUUUUAAAAUUGUUAUUUAAAAUAAAAAUAUAUAAAAAUUGUUUGACAGAUAACAUAUAUUAGUUAUUUUCACUUAUUUUUUAAUUAUUAUUUUUAAAAAUAAUUAUAUGAAUAUAAAUAAUGAGUAAAAAUAAAAUGAUACAUAUAUAAAAUAUUUUUAAAAAUAUGAAAAUAAAUUUAAAACAUUUUAAAUUCCUAAAUAGGUUUUUAUUGUACAAAACGUAUUUAUUCUAUAAAACUAUUUUUCAAAAUUGUUUUUAAAAACAUUUUUCAAAUAAAUUCAUAAUCAUUAUCGUCAUUUUGUCCCAGAUUAGAAAGGAAAUAAAAUCAUAUCCCAAUUUGUGAUAUAAAAAUUUUUAGCUACUAAGUACAAAAAUAGUGUUUCAAGUCCAAAGUAAAUUUUAAAUUCAUUCAUACUAGUUUAUCAAAGUUUUUUUUAUAAAAAAGACACUUAAAUUUGUUGGGAAAUUUUUAAAAAUAAAAUAAAUCAUCUUUGUUUUUUAUAAAAACAUAUUUAAAAGGGAAAAGUAGGUUUAAUUCACUAAUUUGAAGAAAUAUAAAAAGAGUGUCUCAACUUUUAUAAUCCCGUUUUAUAUUCAUCAAUUUAAAAAUAUAUAAUUAAAUAAUUAUUUUUCUAAAAUAUAAUUUUACUUGAUAAUAUUAAAUAAAAUAAAAAUAAUAUUUUAUCAUUUUAAUUUGAUAAAAGUAUAUUACCAAUAAAUAUAUUAUAAUUUUUUUAUUUAUAAUAAAUAAAUAUUUAUAAUUCCGAUUAAUAGUGGUUUUGUAUCAUGUAUUAUAUACAUCUAUUCAUAUUCUUACCAUUUUGCCAAUAAAAUUGAAUAAAAAUCUCGUUAGUUAACAUCAACAAUAAAAUAAAAAAAUAAUUAAAUAAAAAAAUACUUCAAAAUGUUAAAUACAAUUAAAACCAAAAAACUAAAAAAUUAAAGAAAUAAAAUAUUGAUUCUCUUUAUAUUUUUAACUAUUUUUUUUUUGUAUAUAUCUAUAUUUUCUACCAGUGUGUUUUAAUGAAAUGAAAGUUAAUAUUUUUAUUUUUUUUAUUUUUAGUGUUACUGCUUUUUAAAUUUUAAUUAUAUUUGAAAAUUUUAAAUUUCUUAUUUUAUUGAUAUCAAAUCAAUUCCUACAUUAAAAAAAUAUAAAAAUUGUCAAUUGGGGUUAUAAAUCAACAUGUAAAAGGGUUAUUUUAGUAAAUAAUUAUUUAUCUUAUGAAAAACCAUAUCUAUUUUAAAAUAUUUUAUAACUUGAUGAAAAUAAAACUAAUUUAUAAAUCUCAAGGUUAUUUUCUCUACUAUUUUUGCACUAUUUGAAAAACGUAAAUAUAAUCGCAGUUUGACAAUUUGACCCCUAUCAAAAAAAAAAAAAAUUCUACAAAACAUUUGCUAUAAGACGAGGAGAAAAAAAUUAAACAAAUGGGAAUUCUAUUUAAAAUAUGUUGGCUGUGUUCUUUUAUAAUAUAGUAAUGAUUUUUUUUAAAAGGAGAUUAUGAAGCAAAAAAACAUGCGACUUCCAUUGAGAGAUGGACUAUAAUAAUUUUUAAAACUAAACUUCAUAAUAUUUUAGAAAUUUUGACAAUCAAAUGAUUUGAUUAUAAGUUACAAAAGAGUAAUUAUUUUUAAACAUGCUAUUAUUUUAUCCAUUUUACUUGAAUGGAAUAAUCAUCUUUUUAAUCACUAUCUCAUAUUUAAGCACCUUAUUUUUUUAAAUAAGGAUAAAAGUGUUAAAUUAAGAAUAUAUAUAUCAGUUUUCAAGAUUAUUUUUCAACCGUGGAAAUUAUAUUUUAUUUGAUAACUGUUUUAAAAAAUAAUUUUCUAUUAUUUAAAACAAAAGACAUAUUUGAUGGGUUAGAAAAUAGAAAAUAAUUUUUUGUUAUUAAAAAAAUAAAACAUUAUUUUCAAAAAAUAUUUUUAAAAUUGUUUUCACUUGUUUUAUUGUUUUAAAAAAUAAUUAUACAAAUAUAAAAAAAUAAUUAAAAAUAAAAUGCUACAUAUAUGGUUAGUUUUAAAAUAUAAAAUAUAGAAAAUAAGUUAGAAACAAUUUUUGUUUAAAAAAAAAAUUUAUUUGUUCCCCCCUCUCCGAACUAAUUUUGGGUCUUCAAAAUUCCUCAAAUCCCACGUUGGAUAAAACCUAAAUGAAAUCAAAGACGUGAAUGUCAGAACAGCUUAUAAUUAAACCAUGGGCGCCAAACCUAAUAAUUUAUUUAGUCUUUUAGUUUUUUGAUUUUCUUACAGACAAGCGGAUAAGAAAUAUCCGAGAGCAGCCACCAUCCUCACCCUCCUCCUCCGCCCAGCUGCUCAAAUGGCGGUUGCAGCCACCACUUGCUCUUUCUCUUCUCUCGCCUCCGCCUACACUUCUCGCUAUUCUUCCAUUUCCUCCCACCGCCGCCACCUCUCCACCUUCUCCUGCAGAUCCGCUCCCAAAGCCAUCAGCCGCAGCAACAAGGGAGCUUCGUCAUCGCCCAAUAAGCCUCCCAAACAGGUAGAUAAACCCUAAUUUCUCCAUGUUUCUUUCUUUCUUUCUUUUUUCGAUAGCUCUUUGCUUAUCGCUGUUUUCUGGGUGAAGUUUGGUGGUGGAUCGGGAGAGGAUGAGAAGAGACGAACUCAAUCCUCGCCGUUCAAAUCGUUUGGAGCCCAGUCUCAGAGAAAGGACAAGAAGGGGGUUUCCUCUGACUUGAAAGAGCAGCAGCAGGUGCGUUCCAUUGCGCCAUUUCUGUGAAGUUCUUGUUGAUAGGGUCGAGUUCAAUUUUAUGUUCUUUUUUCUUCAAUUUAGUCAUAGUUAGUAAUGAUGGAGCAUUUUCUUCUGUUGAUGUUUGCGUUUCUUUUUGCCCCAUGUGUGUAUUUUUAUUGGUUUUUUUUGGCUCUUCUCUGUGAUGGGAUAUGAAUCUCUUGUGCUACCGGCUCCAAUUCUACCUUUUGAUUUGUACCCCUUUUAUAUUCCAGGUUGAAACAGGGAAUCUUCAAGAUGGAGCUUUUCUUAAUGCUGUGGUGAAGGUAUAGUUUUAUCCUUUUCUCUGCUUCCUGUUCUUUCAUAUGCAUUUUAGUUUUCUUUUCCUUCACCUAUGCUAAGUGUUUAAUAAUUUAGACAAUGCAUUUCAUUCUCAACUAUUUUCAUGUGUGGAUUUUACAUACAUUUAUAUUAGGAAUGGUUUAAAUGCAUGGCACUACUGUUCCAACGGGUCUAGCUCACCUGGUCUUAUCAUAUGUAUUGGGAGUCUAUCAUCACAGAAGCACUUGAUUGGAUGGUCAUGUCAUUUGAUGAGUACCCUUUAUUUUUCUCUGGAUAGUUGCCAAUCCAUUGUUCCAAAACAUCUCAAUAAGGUGAGGCGUAGCUGCCAAUAUAUUAUUCUGACAAAUCUCAAUUAGGUGGGCACUAAGAGUGAUAACUUUUCAGUCAAAUCCUACUACUCUUGUUUAGAGCAUGGGUGAUCAAAGCCUUUGCCAACAACUUGUGUUCCAACAACGGUGAGCUUCUUUGCAUGGGAAGCAGUUUGGAAAGGUAUUUUGACCAUGGGCAAUUUAAAGAGGAGAGGUUGGACUUUGGUGGAUAGGUGUUUUAUGUGCAAAGAUGAGGAAGAAUCUAUUGAGCACAUCGUCUUCCACUGUCCCAAGGCAAGAAUUCUAUGGCAGCUAGUCUUCUUAUUGUUUGGUAUUGCAUGGAUGUUGAGUUUUUCAGCGAGAUCAACUCUUUUAAGUUGGAAUGGUUGUUCUGUCAGGAAGAAACAGAAGAACGCAUGUAAAGCUACUCCUUUGUGUUUGUUUUAGACUAUUUGGAAAGAGAGACAGGAGGGUGUUUGAUAAUGUAGAGCUUACUGAUCAAGAGCUUAAAUCCCUUUUUAUGGGUAAUUUGUUGGAGUUGGUCAACGGGGGUUUAAAGGAUGUAUCCAUGUCUUUGGUAGAUUUUGUAGAUUGGUUAGGCUGUAAAGGGAGGGAUUGUUUUUUGUUUCCCAUCAUUUUGUUUUUUUCCUUUGGCACUCCCCGUAUACGUGUUGCAUGCUAUUCUUUUGGCGCUUUUUAAUAUAUUGUUUUCUUACUUAUUUAAAAAUAAGUUUGAUGAGUUGGAUCAUUUAAGUAUGUCUAAAUUUGUCUCUGUGGAACACCAAACUCCUAGAUUGAGCUCGUAAGUCAUUCUAGGCAAAAAAGCAAUAUGAUGUUCCAAAAAAUGUUUUUUUUUUUUUUUAUAAAAAGAAAGUCUUUUAAGUAAUUUUUAUGAUUUGUUGUAUAUGCUGUCAUUUCAUUUCCCAAGUGCUAAUCUUGCAACUGUCAAUUCGCAGUUGCAUUUAUUUGCUAUUUAUUGUUUGUUUGUUUAUUUGUUUCUUCUUCUUCUUUGUUUUUCCUUAAUAAUUUCAAUAUUGAAUAUUUUCUGUGUGUUGCUAAUCCUUCUAGCUUCUUUAAUACUUGUCUAGGUUUACUGCACCCACACUGCGCCUGAUUAUUCCCUUCCUUGGCAAAAGCAAAGACAAUAUACGAGUACUGGAAGGCAUGUUAGUUCUUUAUCUGUUUGAUACAUUUAAUUUUAAAUACAAAUUCUUUUUCUGUAAAGUCUUGGUUCUUUCAAUUUUUUGGAAUUCCUUUCCUUGGUGUUUUGCACCUUUUUUUUUGACAAUGUCCUUCAUCAGGAAAUAUUUGCUGAAAAUUUUUCUGUAUGCAGUGCUUUCAUAAUUGGGGAUGGGAAACUUUUGACAAAUGCACAUUGUGUUGAACAUGCUACCCAGGUAAUCCUCUAAAUUCUCCAACAACUGAUAUGGUUAUUCUUUUUUUGUGGAAAAGGCAGAAUGAAUUAAAAGAAAUGCCAGAGAGGGCAAGAUCAAUCUACACGUGCAGUGUACCAGAAUCACCCAGGAAAAAUGGGAGAGAGAAGAAAAAAAUAAGAACUGGAGCUAACAUUGAAAUUCUGCUCGUACAGUUAUGAAAUCAAGAAAGGAGGAUUCACUAUUCUCAUUAGAUUUAGCUGCCGGACAAAUAAAAUCUUGAUUUUAAAUGAUCUCCUUCUAACAUGGGUAGCUCAACAGCUUUUCUGAAAUUCUUUUGUUGCACCCUUUUUCAAUGCACCAAACUGAGCAGUGCACUGCUGUCCAUCACACUCUGCUUUUUCGCUUCUUAGCAAACCUGAUAUUCAGUCUUAAAAGGGCUUUCCCUACUAUCCUUGGAACGUUGUUGCUUACGGGAUUCAAAAUUUGAAACUUCCUUGACCAGAACAACUUUAUGAUUUUCCCUUAGGAAGUCCAGCCCACGGGAGUUGAGGUAUUUCCACUGACCAUUUUGACGAUGUGAAUUUGGCCUUCUCUAAACCUAAGGGUUUUGGGAAUGUGAUCAAUGCAGAGGCUCUAGCCCUUCUUGAGGGCCUUAGAGAAGCAAGGUAUGUGGUGAAUUGAUUUUUAGUGGAAGGACAGUUCCUUAUAAGGCCACAAUCAUUGAAUGAGCUUCAGAGAAUACUUUGUGCUCUUUGAGGUUAAUUUACACUAUAUGGGUGCUUGAGAGGCUUGUAUCAAGGAUAAUCGUCAGCUUCAAAUGGCUUCCAGGAUCUGCUAAUGAAGAGGCCAGUCUUUUCAGCUUGAAGGGGAGCCCUAAUGUUAGAAGAGUAUAGAGGGCAUUUUUACCAACCUUAAUUUAAGUUACGUGGUUUCUUUUGCCAUGAGAUUUAAUUCUUCUUCUUCUUUUUUCUUCAUUUUUGGGGCCUGUGGACGGGUGGGGGGUGUGGACAUUUCAUUUCAAUCCCCUUCAUUGAAGGGCUUCUCCUUGUACUCUUAUUUCAUUUCAGUUCUCUUUGUUGAAGGGCUUCUCUUUGUACUCUUGCCUUUUGUUUUAAUAAACCUUCAUUUUUUUUUUCAUAACCUUCAUUUUUUUCAUAUAAAAAUAUAUUUAUGAAAAAAUUGGUCUGCUAUUUUUUCAGCACUUGUUAAUUAAUAUAUUAAUGUUAUUGCCUAGCAAAAAAUAAAAAUCAAAAACAAAAAAUCUUAGUAUAGUGUGAUAGAGUUUUCAUUGUUAAUUUUCCUUUCUGUUAAGUGGUUGCAAGAAUUCCUUUCCUUUUAUGUUCCAAUCACUUUACAGCAUGAUAUGUAUGCCAUGAAUGCCUACUUAAACCAUGUUACUUUCAUGGCUGCAGGUCAAAGUGAAGAGAAGGGGAGAUGAUACAAAAUAUGUGGCUAAGGUAUCACUCCUAUGAUUUUCUGUUAAAGUUUAUGAGUAGUUGCUUCAUUAUUUACUCUCACAUUUCAAGUUGAUUAGAUGUUGCAGCUUACUUUCCUCUCAGUGAUCUAAUAAUGUACAGGUUUUAGCACGAGGUAUUGAAUGUGAUAUAGCUUUGCUUUCAGUAGAAAGUGAAGAAUUCUGGAAAGGAACUGAGCCACUCAAUUUUGGACGCUUGCCACGUCUUCAGGUUUUAAUUACCACUUUCUCCAGAGGGAUUGUUUCAUUGUGAAUCCUGUUUGUCCUCUUGUGUAAUGACUCUGGCUUUAUUUUGAAGUGUUCAUGUGCAUAAUUAGUGUAUGAAUAAGCAUGUAAAUAGACAUAAAUCAAUAUGUAAUUAGUUAAGAACUUUUUUAAGUCUUCAGAGUACCUAUAUCCUUUUGUUGAAGGAAUUUCCUAUGAAUCUUAUUUAUAAAGAUGGAUGACCAAACUACCAUGCUUAAUAACACAUCAAUGUGUUAGGAUGCUGAAUAUUUAGCACAUAUUUCAUGACCGUUUAAACUGUUAAAAAAUAAAUUAGAAUCUCUAACAUCAUGUUAGAAACUGCAACUGAAUGAAAUCUAAUUUAAUCUUAACAUCAAAUUUAAUGGGUUGAGGAAAGUCUUCUUAUGAGUUGUCUACAUGAUAAUUCCUCGGCAUCGUAUCUCUAAUUUGUUUAUGAAAUGAAAAACUUAGUGAAUUUUUCAUGGCUUAAAAAUCUAAUUUAAUCUUAACAUCAAAUUUAAUGGGUUGAAUAAAGUCUUCUUAUGGGUCGUCUACAUGACAAUUUCUCAGCAUCAUAUCUCUAAUUUGUUUAUCAAAUGAAAAACUUAGUGUAUUUUUCAUGGCUUAAAAAGUCUCUACUCCUAUAUUAUAAGUGUAUGUUCUGGGUGAAACAUUUUAAACUGUUUUUUGUGUUACUUCUCAAUUGGCAGGAUGCAGUAACUGUAGUGGGAUAUCCGCUUGGAGGAGAUACUAUUUCGGUUACAAAAGGGGUGGUAUCGCGUAUAGAGGUUUGAUCUCUCUCUGUGGUCAUUUCUUUGAAGAAAUCUUCUUUUCUGCUCUUUUUGUUCAGUUCUUCCUUUGUUGCUAAGAGGUUUGAUUUGUCACAUCAAACUGUUAAAUUAUCAUGCCUAGUAUUUUCUUGAUUCUUAUGUCAGGAUUUUCAGCUACUGUUUCUUUUGCUUUGUGUGUUUUUCACUUCUUAGUGAUAGGAUUCUCAGUCCUGUCAUCAUCUUCAUCUGGAUCAAACAGGAGUCUUCUAUUAAUCAUAAUACCCAUACAAGUGCAUAAUGCCCAAUAACUGCACAAUGCCCCAAUUUAGGCAUGCAGAAUUAUUAGUUAAAACAAGAACCAAUGUCUCUUAGAACUAGGGGCCUUCCAAUAGGAAAAAUUGACAUGUAAAUAUUUAUUCUGUUCAAUUUUGAUGGAAACUUAAGAGCCAAGUGAUGGAUGCGUAUUAUUUCAUUAAGCAUCUUUUGAUGGAACUUCAAAGUUGCUUGGUACUUUUAGGAUAUUACUUUCAUUUUGUUGCCAGUAAUCCUCAUUUAUGUUGUUGUGAUUAGAAUCUUGUUCAAAAUAUGCAUGCUAUUUCAAGUAGCUAAGCGUUUGCACUGUACCAACCUUUUCUUUUUGUCUCUUUGUUCAAGGUUGUUUUUGAACAAAAAUAUCAAGGUUCUUACGAAUUUUAUAUUCAGGUUACAUCUUAUGCUCAUGGUUCAUCUGAUUUGCUGGGCAUUCAAAUUGAUGCAGCAAUAAAUCCUGGUCAGUGGUGCCUAGCAACUAUAUUUCUAACUUAAUUUAUUGGAAGUUUUCUGAUACAUAUAUGUAUAUCAACAAAAAUAUAUAUCAGAAAAAUUUCUUUAUCUCCCCUUGAAAAAAUGAAUUUAUUUUAUUUUGUUAGGCAUGCUAUGAAACUUUAUGUCUUAAUAUUUUAGGUAAUAGUGGUGGUCCUGCGUUCAAUGACCAGGGGGAGUGCAUUGGAGUUGCAUUUCAGGUAGAUUUUCUGGCAUGCUAUGAAACUUUGUGUCUUAAUAUUAAUUGGUUCUAGAUUCUGGGAUUCAUGUGUAAUCUGCAAUGUGUGAAAAUUGACCCCUAUGGAUACUACCCUGGACAAAAAAUCCGGCAUUUUUUCUGAGUGAGGUCUUCUCAUAUUUUAGUUUUGUUAAUUAAUACUCUCCAUGUGUUUAUAUUUGUAAUUGUGCCAGUCACUCAUUUUAAGCAUGCUAUUUUUCCCAUCAUGAUGUUUUUACAAGAAAUUUCCUUUUAGGUUUUCAGAUCUGAGGAUGUUGAGAAUAUUGGAUAUGUGAUUCCAACUACAGUUGUGUCUCAUUUUUUGGAUGACUACGAGAGAAAUGGGAAGUACACUGGUAAGAAACUCUUAUUGACCACAUCAAACUAUAGGGACAUUAAGGGUUCUUCAUGCAGAUGACCUGCAUUACCUCACUUGGGAUCUGCCCUUAGAGUAUAUGUUGAAUCUUCACAAAAGAUUGAUAGUGCUCAUGCAUGUAGUGUGCUUUAAGGAUCAAAAUGGCUAAAGUAUAGACCUGUUAUGUUCAACUUUUUUCAAGUUAAGUUAAUUCUACAAUACUUUUUUCAAGUAUAGAUCUGUAUAAAAAUUCAUUUUGCAUGACUCUCGACGGUUGUUUUGAAUUCUAUUCAAUUGUUGGUAUUUGGUUUUACUUUUCUUUCUAAAUUAUCGGCCUUUGUCCUUAUUGUGAUUCAAAUAUUGUAAAAUUGAGCUUCCAAAGACAUGGAGUCAUCCUGACUGCUAAGUAAUAUUUUGCUAAUUAACUUACAGGUUUUCCUUGCCUUGGAGUAUUGUUGCAAAAGUUGGAGAAUCCUGCACUACGUUCUUGCCUAAAAGUUCAGUCGAAUGAGGUUCAUAUCUUUAUCUACUCAUAUGGCUCUUGGGAUCAGUAUGAUAUUAGGUUUUUGCAUGCUUGCAGUGAUAUCUUUCUGUACUAUAAAUCUUUAAUGUACAUUUCUUAAAUGAAAUAGUUCUUGAUAUUUGUUUGCAUUUUGUGGGGCGUACGGUCUUUUCUUUCCAUGUUAAAUGUUAAUAGAAUCAUGCAUCUUCAUUUUUUUCGUUAGCUUGUGAUAGGACUAGUGUGUUGCUUGUGGUGGUGAGAGUCAUGGGAUUUGCUUGUGAUGGAAGGAGGGAAUUCAAGGUUGAAAGGAAGGUGGUUCCCUGGAUUUUGUGUCUUGGAAAAGGUUUUAUUUAUUGACUCUCUUGAAGGUCUUUAAGGUGCUGAUUGAGUUGCAUCUAGGAGUGAGUCUAUCCUGCAGAGCAGCUUCUCACACUUCUGGGAGUGGAAUAUAGGAGAGGUCCGGGAGGUUGGACAUGGUUAGAUAUGGGGAUGGGGAAGCAAUUGAAAAUAUGAAAUUUGGGUAAUUAGAAUAUUGGGACAGGAUUGAGUGUAUCAUGAAUGACAAUGUGUCCUGCAGGGGAAGAGUGACCAUUUGUGCUGAUAGAUUUGUUCUUAUUGAUGAAGCUUGAGAAACAUUGAAUGCAUUAGCAUCUGAGUCUACUGCUCAAGCAUAUUAUGUCAUCAUUGUUCUUUAUAAAUGUAUAUUUGACCAACUCUAUAAUGAGUAAUAAUGUAAACAUAUUAUGUGCUCUGGUAGUGCCCAAAUUUUCGAAGUUCAUUUGUAUGUCAUCUGUUUCUACUAAGUGCUAAGAUCCGAGCUUUCUCACAACUUCUCAUAAUGACAUCUAUUUUUUGCAGGGUGUACUGGUGCGGAGAGUUGAACCCACUUCUGAUGCAAACAAUGUCUUAAAGGAGGUACAAUUGACAUUUUUUACUUCAGGAGCUUACAGUUAAAUGAGUUGGAUGCCUAGUUAACACUCGCCCAUGACGAUACCUUCCUUCACUUCCAUAGUGCUUUUUUUUUUAGGAUACUUCACUUCCAUAGUGGUUCUUGUCAGCAUAGUCAGUCCAAUGAAUAUUAGGAUAAUGACAAUAUUAUUUUUCAAAUACUUUUAUGUGGUGCUUGCAAUAUAUUGGAUGAAGGAAUUAACAUUCUCAGUUUUUCACCUGUUGACAUUUUAAUCACUAUGCAAUAUAACAACUUACAGUCUAUAGAAUUCUGCCAAAUAAACACCGAGGACACAAUAAGUGAGGUAAAGGAUUAGCUAUUAAGCCUGUAGAGAGUCAACAGCUAAUAAUAUACAGUGCUCUUUUGGUUUUGUAAAAAGUUUUUUUUUUGUUUUCCAAUGGUCAAUUUUUAUUUAUUUAUUUUUUAAUGCAUACUGCAAUUAACAUAGAUUAUUGGCAUCUUUCCUACAUUUUCCUUUUUCUGUAUGUUUACUUAUUCAAAUGUUCUUACAGUUCAUUUAGUAUCAGUAGCCUAAUAGCACAAUUAACUCAGGCUUCUGGGUUUUUAUAGCCCUAUUAACAACCUUUAAUAUUUAAAUAUUUGAAGUUCAGUAAUAGUUUUAGAUUGUAUGCUUUUCCAGGGGGACGUGAUUGUAAGCUUUGAUGGUGUUCAUGUAGGCUGUGAAGGAACAGUGCCAUUCCGGUCAACUGAGCGCAUUGCAUUCCGUUACCUCAUAAGUCAAAAGUAAAAAAUCUUAUCCUCUACAGAGCAACUGAAGUAAAAGCUGAAACUUCUUUAGAUCACAUCUUUUUGUUUGUUGUAUAUUGGUCUGUUAGUCCUGCUUUUACUUUGGGGGGUUCUCCAUUACUCAACUGCUCCUUUGGCAUGGGGUGCAGAGAGGCGAAUUGUUUCACUCCCACAUCAACCUUUCUUCUAUGGGGAUCCAUGCAGGGUUAAUUUUUGAUGGAACAUAAAAUGUGAUGUUGGCAGCUAGCCAUCUGAUCCUGAUCAAUCUAAUUCAUAGCAUCUUCAGAGGAUAUUGUACUUGUGGUUAGGGGCUAGCCCUGCAGUCAAGUGUUGGCUUUGCAUAAUCGGUUUGAUCGGACCUGGUUUUACCUCUUGUCGUUGAUACCUUUUAUGAUCAGCAUCUGUAGGCAUACCUAUUAGGCAAUUUAAUUUUCCAUAAACUACUAUUAUGGGGUUGCAUGGUUUAUCCUUAUUUUACAGUCUUAUUAAUUUUCUUCUUCUGGUUCCUCCUUCCCCCUCCCUCUCUCUUUUCAUUUUCGUUUAUGUUCUGUGUCUAACCUAGGUUCAGUAAAGUAACAAUUAUCUUAGCUGAGGGGUGUUCUAAAUUGUCUAAUACAGAUUUACAGGUGAUGUUGUAGAGGUGGGAAUUAUCAGAGCUGGUGCUUUUAUGAAAGUUCAAGUAGUUUUAGAUCCGCGUGUACAUUUGGUAUGCCAUUAGAAUCUUGCUUUAUUUCAAUAAUGAUAUUUUCAUAUUUCUAUGUUUCGUUGCUAACUAAUGCUCUGGAUCCUAUAUGCCUUUACCUCAAGGUUCCGUAUCACAUUGAAGGAGGUCAACCUUCAUAUCUAAUAAUUUCUGGUUUGGUGUUUACCCCCCUCUCGGAACCACUUAUAGAGUAUGUUGGUUUAGACUCCAGCCUCUUGAAAAUGCACUUUUAACUUUCAAUGUAUGUGUAUGCUUGUUGUAAUGCUAAUUUAUAUUUGUUUCUGUGUUGACAGGGAGGAGUGUGAAGACACAAUAGGAGUAAGUUUUGGAUAAUAGAUCACACCUUUAGGCAUGGUGUUUAUAUCAAACUAACAUUCUAUGACUUCUUGCAUUAUUUAUACUAUAAAAAUAGUUUUGCUUUCUUUUCCUCUUUUCAAGCUUAAGAGUUUAUUAGUCUUUUUCUUUCUGAUCAGUUGAAACUACUGACAAAGGCACGCUAUUCUUUGGCAAGAUUUAAAGGGGAACAAAUUGUGAUCUUAUCUCAGGUUAGUGAAUAAUUUUUCCAACAAGCACAUACACAAGAUUUGAGAUCUUACCCCAUGUUUCCCCUUUUCAUUGAUAGGUUUUAGCAAAUGAAGUAAAUAUUGGGUAUGAGAAUAUGAGCAAUCAGCAGGCAAGUAAUAAUUUAAAUGUUGCCCCCUUAUCUUUGAGAUGCUUUUGUGGAUUUGCAUAUAUCAUGUGACCUAAAAUGAUGGCAGGUUCUGAAGUUCAAUGGGACAUGGAUUAAAAACAUUCAUCAUCUGGCACACCUUAUUGAUUGUAAGUAACAUCAUCCCUAUUUGGUUAAUGUUCUUUCCUUCCGAAUUAUUGUUAUUCUCAUGAUUGUUUGGUCAUUGCACAGCUUGUAAAGACAAGUAUUUGGUUUUUGAAUUUGAAGACAAUUACCUUGCUGUUUUGGAAAGAGAGGCUGCUGCUGCAGCCUCUCCUUGCAUUCUCAAAGAUUAUGGAAUACCGUCUGAAAGAUCUUCUGAUCUGUUAAAACCAUACAUGGACUCCUUGGGAGAUAACCGAUCAAUAAAUCAAGAUUUUGGAGACAUCCCAGUCUCAAAUUUGGAAAUUGGUUCUGAUGGACUCCUGUGGGCAUAAUCGCCAUAACUUGAAAGGUCAACCUGAAGCUUCCCUUUGCAGCCACAACUGCACCACAGCCACAGCUUGCAGGCUGUACAAAGACCGAUUGGUGGCAUCACAGCUUCUGUUGACCCCUUGUGCCAUUAUGAAUAACAUGGGCUGUAACCUUAAAAAUUUUCUACAGCCUUUUUUUUCAAUACAUUUUGGGAGAGUGUAGAUGUGUGCAGAAGCAGCUGCAGUUCGGCUUGAAAGCAUUGUUGUAUUAAUGUUGGGUCCUCUGGAAAUGGUACUUAUUUAAGUAUUUUUAUGAUUCUAUCCAAAGAGGAAAUAAAAAUACACCAAAUUUUCUCAUCCAAAUCCAUCUGGGUUUAUGCGCUAUAAAAGUAAAUUACAGUAGUGUCUUAAUAUCAUUUGCUAUUUUCUCUGCAUCCACACGAGCUCCAGUCAAGCCUCUUCCGGCCAAUCCGGCACAAUAUAAACCCUUCUUUCCCUUCCAGUUGUUAGGAGGCAUGAGCCUUGCAAACCCAUUAUCAUCCAAAAGGUCAUCAUCCUGCUCAAAACAAAUGAAAUUUUUACCCCAGGAGGAUCAAGAAAAUUGUAUAACAAAUGGAUGCUGACUUGUAUUGACUCACCUUAAGCCACUUAUUUGUCGAUCUCUUAAAGCCAGUGGCGAAGACUAUUACAUCAAAUGGAUGUGACUCGCCGUUCUUAAAUACCACUUCACUGCCUCUGAUGCUUGUCAGUGCUGGCAAAACCUGGGUAUGUUUUUUUUUAUUAUACAAGCAAUUUUAUAUAAUCUGUAACUGAAUUUAGGAAGUGGGCAGCAGUGGAAGAGGUCUCUUGGAGGUACAAUCAAGAGAAUAAUUAUUAAAAAGGGGAAGACAAAAACACCAGGUUUUUAACAAAAGAAAGCUAUUGUUCAUGGAAGGGGAAACUAUUGGACUAAAAUUAAGGUAAAUAGUGAAAUGUUAUUGGAGGAUGUAGACAUAAAAGAAGGGAGUAUAACUGCUUUCCAUUGCCUUCUCCCUCCUUGAGAUAGGAGAGCGGGGACGGAAUAUUAGUGGGGUGUUUUUUUUUACAUUUUGGUGGAGAAAAUUUAGAGUCCUUGGAGUCUCAUUUCUUUGAAGAGAAAGAUUUUGUAGUCUUCUUUAGUUUGUGUGGGGAUAAAGCCCUUGAUUCAGAUCAUGGUUUUUUGAGAAUUGAGUUGGGAUUGGUUUGGUUUUUUUGUAGAGCUCUCUGAGCUAAGCUCAUUCAAAAGAAGCCUCAAUGCCACCUUUGUAGUGUUAGUUAAAAAAUAAAAAAAAAGUAUAAAACACUUGAAGGACUCAAACCUAUCAACUUAGUGAGGAGCCUACACAAGCUUCUUGCAAAGGUUUUGGCCAACAGACCUAAAAAAGGUGAUGUGUAAAGUGGUUUCAAGUUCAACUUCUUAGCAUGCUUUUGUGGGAGGCAAACAAGUGUGGGAUGCAGUUUUCAUAGCAGAAGAAUCAACUAAACAAGAGCUAUAGAAGUUGAGUCAUAUGUAAGUUAUAUAGCGAGAAGGCAUAUGAUCACAUCAAUUGAGGUUUUUUCUUAGUAGAUUUUAAAAAAAGAAAGAAAAAAAAAAAGGUUUGGUAUCAAGUGGAUAAGGUGGAUUAAAUGGUACAUUUUUGUCACUCAUUUUUUUAAUGGAAUGUUUUUGGAUUAUCAUUUUUUAUUCUUGUUAGAUUGUUAUUAUCGUUGAGUGGUGGUUAUUAUCGUGGAAGAAUAUUUUAACCUGGACAGAAGAAUACUCUAAAUAUCUCCCUUUUUAACUUCUCAACAAUGCAUUCCCCUAAUUAGGAAAGCACAGUUGAGCUAGUACGGAUCAUCUGCUAUGACAAAGGGAAAAAAACUUGGAAAACCCCUCCCUUGUACCUUAAGCUAGGGAAACACGAGAGCAUUUGAAAAUAUCGAAAAAGCGAAUUACACAAUCAAACAAUCAUUAUGUAUGAAACUAAAACUUUCACAAAUCCUCUCUGUUACCUGAAUCUCACCGGACUUGAUCUUCUUGUAGGUUCCGAGAUCAAUAAUUGGAUACUUUCCAUACUUGGCUUUGACAGUAAAGGGACCCUCUUCAUGCCUGAUUAUGCCAUAUUUGGUCAAGUCUCCAUACAUAAUCUUACUUAGCAUAACAGUCAAAUACUCCACCAUGUUAAAGGGAAGAUAUCUUGCUAGAAACAGCCCCAGAUGCAUGAUCUCCUUGGAAAGAAUAUGAACCUGCAUGACCAUUCACAGUAAAGGGACCUUUCACAAAAAUCAACAAACAAAAAGACCCAGAUGAUUAGAACACAAAUUUACCGGGCUGCGAACAACAAUUGAGGUCUUGGCUCCAUAAUUUGAGAGGUCUAAUGCAAUCUCCAUGCCUGAAUUCCCAGAUCCAACAACCAAAACAGUCUUCUCAGCAUACUCUUUUCCACACUUAUACUGAGUCGAAUGCAGAACCUCUCCUUUAAAACUACUCAACCCCUCAACCUCCGGGAUGAACGCAUCGCUGGUUUCCCCACUAGCCACCACCAGGAACCGACAGGAAUACUCCUCAAUCUCAUCGGAGCCACCAUUAAUAACCCUCACCUUAACCUUCCAUUUUUCAGUGACUUCAUCAAAACUUGCAGACUCCACCAAUCUAUGGUACACAGGACUUAUACCAAAGUGAGAGACAUAGUCCCUCAAAUACUGUAUGAACUGAAGUCUGGAGGGGUAUGUUGGAUAAGAAGUGGGCAUAGGCAUGUGAGCGAGCUCACAGGCUUGCUUAGGGAGGUGAAGAUGAAGGCGGUCAUAUGAUUUUUUCUGCCAGAGGGGAGCAAAACAAUCUUCUCUUUCAAGAACUAUGUUGGGUAUUGAGAGGAGGUUAAGGGAAGCUGCAGUUGCAAGGCCUGAAGGACCUGCUCCUACCACUAUUACGACAGUUUCCUGCAUUUUCUUGAAUGACUCUGUUUUUUUCACCUUCCUUACAUUUCUCAUCCAGAGAGAAAUGAAUUAGAACACUGAUAGGUGAACCCAAAAGUUUGUUAAGUUACUAUUUGAUGCUCUAGCGGCCUAGCCUUGUUUGAAUUGCAAUAUAAUAAAUAUUUCAUACACAUAUUAUUAAAAUUAAAAUAAUUAUAAAAAUUUAAGAAAAAACUUAAAUAUGUUGCUUCUACUAUAUUUAAAAAAUAAUUUUUAUGUUUAAAAAAUAAUUAUAUAAAAACAAAGAAAAAUAAUAUAAAAUAAUAAAAAAUAUUUUUUGAAAACAUGUAACUUUUAUUUUUAAUAAUAAAAAACAUAAAAUAGUUUUUAAUUAAUAUAGGUUUGUCAUAUCCUAGCAACUCAUUCUUACCAGGUAGGCCUCUCAAUGAGCCACUUGUCAACUCGUGGAGUGGGGGGGGGGGGGGGGGGGGGGGGGGGGGAAUGUUAACCGGGAACCCGAAGGCCCCGGUUAAAAAAAUUUUUUGAAGGGGGAAAAAAAACGGGGGGGGAAAAAAAAGGGUUUAAAAAAUUUUUUUUUUUGGGGGGCUUGGGGAAAAAAANNNNNNNNNNNNNNNNNNNNNNNNNNNNNNNNNNNNNNNNNNNNNNNNNNNNNNNNNNNNNNNNNNNNNNNNNNNNNNNNNNNNNNNNNNNNNNNNNNNNGGGGGGGGGGGGGGGGGGGGGUGGGGAGUGGUAGCUGGGAUCCGGAGUGCUGCGGUUAGAGAUAUUUUUGGAAGGGGGAAGAAAACUGGGAGGAGGAGAUGAUGGCUUGAGAGAUGUGUCUUUUUGAGGUGACUUGAGGAAAAAGAUAUCUAGGAGGGAAGGAUAGUGAACCAGUGGAGCAGUUCAUGGAUUUUCUGGAAAAAUGUUGGAGCAAGAACAGCUAGAGAUCCAACAUAACUUGUUGGAUAAGAUCGUUUUCAGCACAUUGAUCGUUUGAUGUUAAGGUACGUCCCGCUCUCACUUUGAUCAUUCUUCAUUGAGUGUUCUGAUUCUUACAUGUUCAUGAUCGUUCAGGAUAUUUAUUGAUUUACUCAUCGAUUAUCACGUCAGCUUCAUUUUAUUAAUAGAGACUCAACUUUAGGGACUUAGAGAGGUGCUACGGUCUUUUACUGUACCUUUCCGAUAAGUAACCUGACCCCGAACCCGAUUUUUCGUAGACCAUUUUUCGUAGACCAACCUUUUUCAAAGCAAGGAGUCACACUUAGGGUUUUCUUUCUUAUUUUGUUUACCCUUUUAAAAAUAAAACAAAAAGAAGUAGCGACUCCAAGUCAUUUUCAAAUAAUCAAUAAAAAUCAAUUUUUCAAAUAAAAAUCGAGUUCGCCACCAAGUGGGACAUGAACCGAAUACGGGGUCCAUAUAUAUAUAUAUUUUGGCGAAAAUAAUUAUUAAAUAUAUCCUUAAUUUUUUAAUAAUAAAAAUAAUAUUACAAAAAGUAAAAUUAAAAAGGAAAUCAGAAAAGUGUAGACACCCUCCUCGUCAUCCGAACCCAACUGGUGGUGCUCAUUUCUCCUCUAAAGUCUCAAUCCACGACACAAAAGCCACGUGUCAACACUUAUAGGAAGGGCCACGACAGCUCUCACCAAACCUUACUUGUAGGUGCACACCAAUGACCAACUGAAAACGACCUCAAGUCCACUACCCUCCAUUCACGGCCAAGAACACCAGGUCCACCACCAUCGCCAUUUCCCACAUUCGUCAGGAAAGUGGUAACCCACAGCCGCUGAAGACAAAAAUGGUGCGGUCCCAAAGUUUAGUUGCAAUAUCCCUCGGCGAACCCAACGAUGGGGUUUCGCAUGGACUUGUCACAAUUAAUUGAGCCUUGUACGCCUUGACAAUCUCAUUUGAUUCGGUCUUCGACGAUAAGUUUUGAAAUUUUUUUUAUUUAUAAAAAUUAUGAAAAAAUAAAUAGAAGCAUUGAAACGUUACAAACGGACAUAAUACUUUUUUUUAUUGAAGAGAUUUUCUAUCUUUUAUGGUUCGAGAAAAUGCCACGAUAGAAAAUGUAUAGUUUUUUUUUAUUAUUAUUUAUCAUUCAAUUAAUGAAUAAAUUUUUUAAAUUUAAUAUUAAAAUAAAUAUUAUGUUUAUAAAUAAAUUAAAUAUAGACUGAAAUAAAUUUCUUUUAAUUUUAAAUUUUACCUUAUUUAUUAAGAAUAUCAACAUAAGAAAAGACUCAAUAAACUAAAAUUAAUAUUUGCUUUAUGCCUAAUAUUUAUUUAAUUGUUUUGAAUGAUAAAUAACCCGAGAUAAUAUACAUUUUUGAAAAAUUGAAUUUGAUUUCACAUCUUUUUUUAGAUCUCCAAUACUUCUUAUUCAUAUAAACACCAUAUAUUAAAUCAAAUAUUUAAAUCAUAUUUAUCAUGUAUUACACCAUAAAUUUAAUCAUAAUGUCAAGGGUUGCGGCAAAAGCAUCAUUGGUGAUGUCAUUGAAGAGGAAAAAAAAUUUCAAGCCACCACAAAAACUUGGAGAUGUCAUUGUAGACAAGAAAAACUUGGGCACCACUCACGACUGCCAACAAAACCCUAGCCACCACUAGAGAUGUCCUUAUAAAUAAGAAAUCUAAGAAGGGAAAUAAAAAAAGGAAAAAGGAUUUUGUGUGGGAAUUUAUUUUUGAAACUUAUCCGGUUAGUAUUUCGUUUCAAGAAAUCGACAAAAUCAAAUGAUCCAAGCUGAGUCAAUGUUAAAUUAUAACUUGGUUGUCGAAAAUGCUUUGGACAUGUCUUAAAGGAUACCACUCAAUCAAAGCAUAUUGGAGUUAGUUAAUACUUUGAACUUUGAUAGUCAAUAAUAUUUCCCUUAUAGUAAUUGGACAAAUAAAACGACAACUAAAUAUUGAGCAUGAUUGAAAGGUUGAAAUAUAGCUCUUGUGGUAUAAUUUCAACCAUCAAAAGUUACAUACGUCAACUAAUCUCCUACUUUCAUAAUCAUAAGGGUCUUAUAAUUGUAUGUUUUAUUGUGGUUCCGACAAAGGGUAUCAUAUAUCAAAUCAUUUCAUAUGGUCCUCGAGUUUAAGACAGUUAAGUGAUGUUUGUUUUUUUACUUAAUUCUAAAUACAACAUUUAUGCUUAAUAGUGUUAAAUAUUAGGUUGUUUGUUUUUAUUGUAUUUUAUUUCUAUUAAGUAGUAAAAAGUAUAGAAAAAUUAAUAUGUUAUUUUUUUUAUUUAAAAAAAGCUACAUAUUUUGGUUUUUUCUAUUUAAUAAAAAGUUUAUAAUAAGUCAUAAAGAAGUAGAAAAACAAACAACUUAAAUUCUGAAAACAAAUUGUUUUCAGCAAAAAGCCAAAAAAAACAAAUACUACCUUAGUGAUGAUUAAAAUUUUAUCACAAUUAUAGUGUCAUGUAAUUGCACACUUCGUUUAACCACGACCAUAAAUUAUUAUUAUUUUUUUAAUGAUCAUUUAAUUGAGAAUCAUAAUACCACAUUCACAUAUCCCGUUAAAACUUUAUUGAUAUUUCAAAUAUAAUUCAAUCGUGACUAUAAAACUUAAAAAAAGAAAAAGAAAAAAGAGAAAAACAUUUGUCCUAGGAGUAGUCCUUGUUGGGUUGUGAUCCAAGAAGCCCAAUUAUCACUUUGCAAGCCCAUGCAAGUUAAAAGGAAGGCCCAAGUAUCCAUGGAAAAGAAAUGCUGGCCCUUCAAAGGCUAAGUUAGGGCAUCUAUGAAAAAUGAACAAAAUCUCAUACAUUCGUUGGCAUAGUAAAGAUGUGUGCAUUGAUUUAGAGUCUAGACUCACCUGUCAAGAAAAUGCAUGAAAAAAAAUAAACAAUUUAUAAUGAAUUAAAACUCAAGAUUAUUAAAUUUACCCGAGAAAAUAAGUCUACAGUAAAACUUAGCUUGGUAAUUUGUGUUGAUGGAUUGUAUAAGUGUUGUGUUAAAAUUUGUGUAUAAAAGAGAACAUAUGCAAUUAAAUCAAAUAUGAAAGUAAUUUUAAAAUUGAACUAAUUGAAUAAUUACAUUCAUUAAAUAAAAUAAAAAUUUAUAAGUGUAAAUGAAAAAUUAUAUAUAAUUAAAUUAAAUGAGAUAGAAAAUGUAAAUAUAUAUGUGAAUAUGGAAGUUUGUAUAAAAUAGUAUUAAAUAAAAUUUAAUAUUAAACUAAUUAUUGACUAAAUAAAUUAAAUAUAAUUUAAAUAUUAAAUUAUAUGUACCACUUAAAUUAUAACUAUAAUGAUAAAGCUUUUAAAUAUUAGUUUUUAAAAAAGGAAAAUCAAAUUGAAGUGCUUUUAAAUAUUUUACUUGGGCCCAGUUGGACUAUGGGCCGGUCCGUAGUUGGCUCAGUUAUCUAUCCUUCAUUUCAGUAAUCCGGCCCAAUUUUGAGCCCGCUAACUGCUAUCCAUUCCAGAUGUGGAAUCAGCUGAUUAACCUUAUUUUAUGUCACAAUUAUUCUUAUGACGAAAAGCUAUACAAAUGAAUUAUAGAAGAAAUGAAACAACUUCCGACCAAAAUAAAUUAUUCUCCAAAAAAGGGAGAGUUUUAUUCAGAAGUGAAUACACUUUGGAAGCAUCACAGCUGUGUCUUGAUAUCAUUAGCUAUGUUCUGGGCAUCCAGGGCCGAUCCAUACAGGCCUCUUCUUGCCAGUCCAGCACAGUACAAACCAUUCUUUCCCUUCCAGUGAUUAGGAAAACUUGGCUUUGGAAGUCCAUCCUCGUUCAAAAGAUAAUCAUCUCCCUAUCAAAACAAUGAAGGUCUUAGACUUAGAGUCGAAUCAUCGGGUCGGGUCGGGUUAGGUUUGGGUUUCCAUAAUCGACCCGGUCAACCUAAAUUAAGAAACACUCAAUCUUUUUUCAUUCUAAUAUAAAGUACUUUGUCCAAGUUUAAAUUUUUAUUUAUUUGGAUUUGGGUCAAAUUAGGAUAAAUUCCAUAUAAAACAACGGUUAAUUCCAUCAAUCUAAACUGAAGAAUUAAAUGGAGGAGGAUUGUCUUAAUGAAUUUACCUUAAGCCAUUUGCUUGUGGAUCUCUUAAAUCCAGUAGCAAAGACAAUAGCAUCAAAUGGAUGUGAUUUGCCACCCUCAAAUACAACCUCAUCACCUCUGAUGCCUAUCAGCUUCGGCAAAACCUGUCCGAAAUUAAGGAAUAUAAGAUCAAGAAUAUUGCUAGAAAAUACUUGGUUGCUUUUAUAUGAUUCAAAAUUUUUGGACCUCUGUCUCUCUCUCUCUCUCUCACCUGAAUCUCGCCGGACUUGAUCUUGCCGAACGUGCCAGUGUUGACAACAGGGUACUUUCCAUACUUGACUUUCAAAAAGAAGGGACCCUCUUCAGGCCUGGUUAUGCCAUACUUGUUGAGAUCUCCAUAGACGAGCUUGCUGAGAAUCACCAUCAAUGAGUCCACCAUGUUGUAUGGGAUAUAUUUCAACAACGCCAGCCCCAGGUUUACCAUUUCCCUUGAGAGCAUAUGAAGCUGCAUACACCCAACAUACAGUUUAGUACCAACCAUGGAGGAAAAAAAGAGACAGAUCUAGAUAAAAAACAUGUAGAAUUACCGGGCUUCGAACAACAAUCGAGGUCUUGGCACCACAAUUUGAUAGAUCCAGUGCAAUCUCCAUGCCAGAAUUCCCAGACCCAACAACCAGAACCUUCAUGUCGGCAAACUCUUUUCCAUUUUUGUAUUGGGUCGAGUGAAUAACCUUUCCGAUGAAAGUACUGAGCCCAUCAAUGUCCGGUACAAACGCAUCGCUCGUUUCGCCGCUGGCCACCACCAAGAACAGCCCGGAGUACUCCUCAAGCUCACCGGAUUCUCCAUUUCUCACCCCAACAUUCCAUUUUCCCCUGGAUUCAUCAAAGCUCCCGGACUCCACCGAUCUCCUGUACAUAGGACGAAUGUUGAAGUGGUCGGCAUAGUCGUCCAAGUACUGAACGAACUGCUGCCUGGACGGAUACUUGGGCCAAUCUGCCGGCAUCUCCAUGUGCGGGAGCGUGCAAUACUGCUUCGGCAAGUGAAGAUGAAGCCUGUCGUACGCUUUUUUCUUCCACAAAGACGCACAGCAGUCUUCCCUUUCGAGGAUAAGAUACGGUAUCGAUAGUUGGCAUAGGCACCCCGCCAUGGCUAACCCAGAUGGGCCGGCUCCUACAAUAAUCACAGCUGCUUCCGGCAUUCUCUUCCAGUACAAGUAUCUUGAUGACAAAGACUAAUGGAAGAAACAACCAAGAAUGUGAAAAGGAGGAGAGUUGAAGCGGAGGUAUUUAUAAGGGUUUUGUGGACAAUAUCAUAAAGGAAUAGUCAUAAACUGCUGGAUAUGUUCCUUGACGUGUAAACUAGAGCAAUUAAUACUAUAAAAUGUGAAAUGAGAAAAAGGGUUGGUUGAAUUUUCUAAAAGAAGAAGUGGAAGGGUCCUCAACUUUUUGUAGUAGUUGAUCUAGAAUUCUUAUGACCCUGAUGUUGAAAUGCAUGGUUUGCAAAUGCUAGGGUUAAUAGUUAUGAUUGUAUGUGGGGAAGGUGAAUACUCAAUCAAGGGAACAUCAUUAUUGACUCUCUUUUUAUCUGCAAAGCAACCAUACUUGGUUUCAUAUUAUAAAGAUUUUGUCAAGUGACUUUUGGUUGGUCCCCUAGUUAAAGAGUGGCAUGACACAUGAUAAAUCAUUUUAGAGAAGGGCUUAUCAGAAUGGGAGGAUUACCCUCAUGUUUAUUGUUGUUUACUGCACCCCUCAAUUGCCAUUUGUGAAAAAGAGCGUUGAAUAUUUAAUACUCUUCAUUUGUUAUUGACCACCACCUGACCACGAAUUAAUUCUAUUUUUCUAUGAAUUAGUGUCUAUUAGAGAAAUAUUUAAUAAAUGAUUCUCUUAAAAACACUUCUAAGUAAAAACAUUAAUAAACAUGCUUUUAUUUUGUUUUAUUUUAUAAAAAUAUGGAUAAAAUGAUAUUUAAUUAUACCUCACCAAUGAAGUUUUGUUGGAUAACUUGAAAAUGAAGUGAAGAGAAAAAUUCUAAGGCAUCCAAUUCAUAUCCACCCAAAUUUGGAUAUGGGCAAUUAAAAGUAUAUUAAAAAAAAAUUGAACAAAUAUAUAGAAUUAGAGUAUACGUAAAUAAGGUGGACAAAAAAUGGAAUCAUAGUACAAAUAAUGAAAUAAAUGAAAAUUUUGAACAAAUCGGUAAAAUUAGAGUAUAAGUAGUAAAUAAUGUAAAAAAAUAAAAUGAAAUCAUGGUACAAGUGAGUGAAAAUUUUGAAUGAAUAAGUAAAAUUAGAGUAUAAGUAGUAAAUGAGGUAGAAAAAACAAAAUUAUCGUACAAAUAAAUGGAAAUUUUGAACAAAUACAAUAAGAAUAAAAGUAGCAAAUAAGGUGAAAACGUAUUUUCUUUUUGAAGAAAUUUUCGAAAAGCUAUUUAUCAUGAAAAUUUUUCAAAUUAGAAAGUUGUUUCGCAUUUUAAAAUGGAAAACAAAAUUGUUUUAAGUUUUGAAUUUGCAUAGAGGUAGUUAGCUCAAAUUACAUUAAAAUAUGAUAAGAAUAUUUCCUAAAUAUGAGCAUUAGAUUAUUUCUAAAGGGGUUAUUUGGAGGGAGUGGUAAAAAUAAUCACGAAAUUAGAAAUUUGACUCCUCAAUGAAUUUUUCAAGGCAUGAUCAUUUUUUUACUAUUUGUCCUUUUGAUUUUCUUCCAAAAGUAUGCCAAUUUCAUUUCAUAUUUUCAUCAUUGUAUCCAACUUUCUCUCUAUAACCCACUUUAAUUUCUUUCCCGUAAAGUGCUAGCAUACUUCUAUUUCCAAGUCAAUCUCUUUUUGUUGCCACCAUCUUUGUCAUGAAAGACCCACCAUAGUCUUGUCUCUAAGUUGGUAGUUCUCUCCCCACCACGUUAAUCUUUCUAUUUCUUUUUCAAGUUAUGAUGCCCUAUGAAGACCCGACUCUGUCACAAUUUCUCCUAACAAACUCUGGUGGACUUGACCCUUAAGGUCUUUCUCUUGUGUUUUAACAUGGUACGAAACUUUACUUGCAAAGAAAUAUAGAUAAAAGAGGGGAUAUAAUAUUUACAAAGUUUUUCUUCCGUUUAAUAUAUUAUUCAUUUAUAUUAAAUUCUGCUUAAGUUGCAUCUAAAAAAAGAAGUAAAAAUUUUAAUAUGAAUAUUUACUUGGAUUGUGUCGGAGAUAAGCUUAUUUUAGAUGACGUAAUUGAGAUUAAGAUUUCAAUUAGAAUGCUUAACUCAAUUAUACUAAGAUUAAGUUCAAUUUAAAAAUAACUUAAAUGAGAUGAAAUUAUCAAUAAAAAUGUCGGUUAAAUUUUAUUUUUAAACUUUAAUUGGAACUGAGUUCUUAAUCAAAAUAUUCACUUGAACUUAAUUAUAGCUGAUUAGGUUUUCGUUCCAAAUGUUUCAAAUCUAUCUAUUCUCUAAUUGAUAUAAAAUGUUGAGAUUGAACCUAUUAAGUGAAUUCAACUUGCUAGGUCAUAAAAACAUUCAUAUAUAUAAAUAGAAAAGAAGGUCACAAUUUUACUUAAUCGGAAGGCACAUAUUUUCAAAGAUUUUAUAUUAAUCAACACCUACUUUCUUCUUUUAUGUCUUCAACAAAUUGCCUUGUGCUCCUUAAUAGAUCACUUUAGCUUUGUAGAAAGAUGAACGGGCUAAUGCACCAUUAUACCCUUCCAUUGAAAGGACUUUUAAGAAGAUUUCUUAAAAGAUUUUGAGAGUUUGAAUAUUAGGGCAAAGUAAUGGCAAUAUACUCGAUUACGCGCAUUAUCAUUCUAAGUCUUAAACUUGGUAAUUUAUGGUAUAACCCUAAUAGAUCUAGUUAAAGCAACUUUAGAAAGAGUUCUUUUAUCAAAAGACAAUUGUCGAAUCUUAAGAAAUCAUUUUAUUUAUAAAAAAAAAAUCCCUAAUCUUCCAACUGGCUAAAGAGGGAUGUUAGAACCAUGCCCAAGCAUUUGAAUGCUACACAGGGGGUUGUUCCUCCUUUUUCCUCAAAUUUUUGCUUCAUUUCUAAUUCUUUUUACUUUUAACUUAUCAUUACUUUACUUUAUAUUUCCAAACACAUUUACCUCAUCCAAACUCAAUUGUUGAGUGUUUUUGAAAUCAAUCAAAAUCAUUAACGUCCAAGAAAGUAAGCUUAAUCAAACUAGUGUAUAAUAGGAAUAAACCUAUCAACCUAAUCUAAAACACUAUUAUCUAUAACUAUUUAUAAGAAAUAUAUAUGUGUAAAGGAACAAAAAACAUCAAUUUCACCAUUCAAAAUUAAUAACUUAGAAUUUUUAUUAAGUAGUUUAAAUUUAUGGUAUCAUAGUUCCACUUCAAUUUAAGGUUUAAUUAUAAUUUCUUCUAAUACGACUCAAAUUUCAUUUUGAAUGAGUAAAAUGAUUUGCGAUGCACAAACUGAGAAAAUUGAGGGAAUCCGAUCAAAGUAUAUGCUUCAUAGGUAGAACAUUUCCUAAACUUGUUUCUUUUAACUUCAACACCCUUUUGUAGAUCAAAUAAUGUUAUUUUUUAACAAAUUAUUUUCUAUAGAUACCUUUUGAAGUCUUCUAAACCAUCAAUAAGUUGAACCUAGUGUAAAUGCAUCAGAAGGGAAAAAAAAAUCCCUUACCUAGUAAAACAUGUUCAAGAAAGCAUAAAAUUGUCAACUUCACUAUACUUGGUUGGAAAUUGAUUUCUCUUCUAACUUUGCCUCCUUUAUUCUCUUUAUCAUUUUUUGAAUUACAUUGAUAUAAUAACAUAUGAUAAACAAUUUGAGAAAAAGAUUUCAUAUUUGUCAUACCUUAGAAGUAGCCAAAGCAAAAUAUUUUAAACAUUUCUAAUCACAUUCCAACCAAAUUCUUGAUCUUGGUAUUCUCAAUGGCAACAAUAUGAUUGUAAGUAACUUUGGAAGGAAAAUGACCUUUUUAUUUGUAUAUUCUAUACAAAAAUUAUUAAAAAAAAAUUGGUAGUAUACAAGAACACAUAUACUAUGCUUUCCCAUUAGGAAAAAUAUAUUAACAAUUAAUAAACUUAAAUACAUAUGACACUACCGUAAAACCUUUACAAACACAUACACAACAAAGACAACAAAACAUAUGCAACAACCUUCUAUGUAAAUAAAGAUACGAGGCAAUCUCGUCUUCUUAUUAUCAAAGAAAUGGGUGAUGCAAAAGUUAUGUCUUUAAUAAGUAAUAUGACUAAUAUAGAAGAAACAAUAAGUUAAACAAAAUUUUGCAGAAAUGAUAAGCAAUGAAUGUGACGUAAUAAUAACAUACAUUAUAGAUUAUGUAAAUGAUUGAGUCUGCUUAAAAAUUGUUUUUCUUUGUUCUUAGAAAUAAAAAAUGGUUUUUUAGACUCAAAAACACUUUUGAUAACUUAUUCUAAAAAUAAGGUAAUUUUUGGUAACACAUUUUAAUUAUUUUAAGUUAUUUUUAUUUGUUUUCUAAAAACUGUUUAAAAAAAUAAUUAUAUAAAAUGAAAAGUAAUUAAAAAUAAAACAUUACAGAUAAAAAUUGUUUUUAAAAAUAUUUGAAAACAUACAAAAUAAGUUGAGAAUAUUUCAAAUUAUCAAAUAAGCCUUUAUUAUAAAAAAUAUUGUAAAACUAUUUAUAAAAACUGUUUUAAAAAAUUAUUUUUGAAAUUUCUCAUUCAUGUCAUGGUUCGAAGAUUCAACUCCGCAUGUAGCACAAAGUAAAUUAAAGCUAUUAUUUUGGCCACUUGAUAAGAAGGUGAGCCAUCUUCAAAGGAGGUUCUCCCCCACUAUGUAUUAAAUGUAACCGAACAUGCUCAGUUCUCCCCCACUAUAUAUUAAUGUAAAUGAAUAUGCUCAAUACCAUUGGCAAAUAUCAAUGGGUCGUCAUUAUAUGAAUUAGGUCUUGUUUAACAACUGUUUUCAAGAACAAUUUUAUGUUUUUUAGAAUAAAAAAAAUUAAAAAAUAUGUUUAACAAUCAGAAAUUGUUUUCUAUUUUCUAAUAAAAUAGAAUGUUAUCAGAUAACUUCUUAUAAUUGUUUUCAGUUGUUUUUUUAUAACUGGUUUAAAGAAUAUAUAAUGAUUAAAAAUAAAGUUAUAUACAUAAAAUUUAUUUUCAAAACAUAUUUAAAAAUAUUAAAAACAAGUUAAAAAUAAUUUUAGAUUUCUAAACAAACUUUUGUUAUAUAAAACAUUAUAGAACAGUUUUCAAAAACUGUUCUAAAAAACAAGGCCUUAAUAUUUUAACAAAUAGAUAACUACAAAAAGUGAAUUAAGGCCCACUAAGGCCAUGUUUGGAUCCAUUCUAAGAAAAUAAAAUUUUGGACAAAUUUACCUAAUUUUGGUAGUUCCUAUAACAUGUAUAACUUUACUUAGAAUCAAAUCAUCAAAACAAAUUAAUAAUAGGUAAAAAAAACAAAAACAAAAACUCAUCUAUAAUACUUUCUUUGGAAGAUACUAAAUAGAUAGCACCAAUCAAGUAGUUUGCUUAUUUUUAUUUUUUUUAUUCCAAUUCAUUCAAUAUCUUAAGAUUUGAAUUACACAUCGAGAUGACCCACCUUCAUUUAGAACUGUUGGGUGGUGGUGGCGGCUAUGAGAUUAGAUUGGUAGGUGGAAAAAUAUCUGAUCGGAUUAAGGUUGGUUGCAGUGUGACCGAUACCAGAGAGAUUCAUGGUUGGAAUUCAACAGAGACUCAUGGCUAAAAGUCAACAUUGAAAUCCUCAGAAUUCUGGGAUUUGUACCUUUGUUUUUAGGUUCCCAUUUGGUGGGGCCAUGACUCUCAAAUCUCCACACUCCUCCUCGGCUAUCGAUUGAGGUUAAAAGACACGAAAAGGGGAUGAAAAAGCUGAAAGAAGACUUGGAAAAUGUGGAAGGAGUAGAUAAGGCUUACAUAACUUCAAUGCUAAGAAAGUAGCGCGUCAAUGUAAAGUUCUAACUUUUAUUCUUAUCCUAGAUAGUUUUAUUUUUAUUUUUAUUUUUUUUUCUUUUUAAUUUCUAUCAUCUCAUUUAAAUAUUAAUUAAUAUUCAAUAAGGGUGACCCAUUGCACUUGCCUAUCCUACCAAGUAACUUCUAAUAUAAAAUUUAUUUUUAAAUAAUUUUUUUCAGUGUUUUUUCAUCAUUUUAUUUAAAAAUUAAUUAACUUCCUAUGGAAAGUCUGAUUUUUCAAACUUUAAAGUGCAAAGUUUUUGUAUACAACAAUUUCUAAUAUAAAAUUCAUAAAAUUUCAAUUAGUUGUAAUAAUUUUUUUAUAAUUUUAAAAAGAGAGUGAAGGGGUGUUUGGUAAAAUUUAAAAUUUAUUAUUUAAUAACUUAAAUUGACUUUAUGUUAAAUUAUAAUUAAGUUAUUAAUUUAAAACUUAUUACUUAAUUUAAAUAUUAAGGUUGUUUGAUAAAAUUGUAUUAAAAUUUAUUUUAAAUUAUCAAAUAAUUUAUUUAUUUUCAUAAAUUAUAAUUAAGAUAAAUGAGAUCGAGUAAUGAGGGAGGUCAUAGCAAUAAAUAAUGAUAAAAAAAUAUAAAAUAAAUAUAUGGAUUUAAUAAUAAGUUAAUUGUUUGUAUUUGUUACUUAAAGUUUUUUUUUUUUUUUUUUACUUUUAGUUAUACAAUUAAGUCAUUUUAUUAAAUGUACUUAAUUUAUUUAAUGAUUUAAAUUAAAUUAUUAAGUCAUUUUAAGUAGUUAUUAAGUUGGUUUACUAAACAUCUAUUUAAAAGGUGGAUGAAAAUUUUAACUUUUGUAAAAUGUAGAAAAAAAGAAAGUUAUUUCUUUUAUGUUGAAAAAUGUAUUUUUAAAAUAGUUUUAUUUAAAAAAUAUAUUUUUUAGAUUUUUUAAAAGGUCCACUGAAGAGACCAAUUCUUUAGAGUUGAAUGAUAUGUAACCUAGGACAGGGCGGUCUCCUAACUCCUGACUGUAUUAGGGCUGGCCUGGCCUGUAGUAUAAUGAGGGUGCACCCCAUGUGAAAACAUGUCCCUUGUGCAGCCCCAUGAAAAAACUAAUCAACUACACUAGCUUACAAAUGAAGAAAACACCAAACAAGGCAUUAUUUAUUUUUCUGCUUUUAGUCACAAAAUAAAUAAUUUGUUCACAAUUAUUUCUGGCUUUUUUUUAAUCCUUUUCAAUUGUUAAAAUUGCUGUCUAUUUUAAAAUAACAAUAAUAAAAAAUUAUAUUCUAACAUGUCCCUUUUAGAAUCAUGUUAUAUAAUAUUUUAUUUAUAGAAAGAAUAUUAAAAAUAUAUUUAAAAUGAGAUGUAGAUAAAAAUAAAUUAUAGAAUAAAUGAUAUCAAAAUAUUAUUUUUUGAUGUAAAAAAUAUCCUUUUAUUUAAAUAAAUAAAAAAAAUCUAAGUCUCAAUCACGUGCAAUUAUAAUAUGAUAUGAGAUCAAAUAGACAAAGACGGGAUUGAAUGAGUCAAAUAGGCAAAUCUAGAAUUAGGGUUAAACUAUACCAAGGGCUCUUACGGUUUAAAAAUAUAUUUACGGGUAUUUUCCAUAAUUAUUGGCAAUCAAAAAAAUAUUAAUAGCAUUUGAUAUCAAUGAUUAUCUAAAAGAAUAAAAUAAAAGCCCAAGUCAACCACACUUUUUACACAAAAAAAAAAAAAAAAAAAAACAAGGAAAAAGAAUAUGAUUUGAAUUUGAACAUCAUUUUACUUGUGUUUCAACUAAAAUUGAGUGCUAUAUACAUGAAAAAUAGUUAAGCAAAAGCAACCAAGCGUGACUUUGAAGACAAUACAUCCCUCAUCAAAACCCUAAAAAGACUAGGAGAUUAAAAUACCCUCUUUAUAUUUAUUUAUUUAUUUUUUUAAUUUAAUACUUUUUGGGUAAUAUAAGAAGUAAUAUCCAUCUGGUUAACUUGUUGUUUCAUGUAUAAAAAUCAAAUCAAUUUUUUCUUGAGUGCAAGUCCCUUUCCUUUGGUUGUGUAGACUUUUCUUCAUUAAAAUUUCAAAAUCAAUGACAGCUCCUUUCCAAUCAAAAGGAAAAUAUCUAUAAAAUUAUGUUUGGCUGGAGAGAAUUUGAAGGAUCCUCUUCAUGUUCAUGAAUCAUAAUAAACAACACCCAUUUUUUUAAUUUAAUUAUUAGCAUGAUGUGCACUGAUACCUAAAAAAUUGUCCCAAGGUUUUGACCCACUCAACAUGUCAAAAAAAUAUUGCAAUGUGUUAUUAACUUCCAAUUUUUAAACUUGAGACUCGAGAGUUGAACGUUAAUAAUAAAAGCCAUAAUUUUUAAAAUAUUAUGUUUAUAUUAUAAAAUUUUUAUUAAAUAUAAUUUUUAAAAAUAAAUAAAAAAUAGAACUUCUAGAGGAGCUGACUUUUACUUUUAGCUUUUUUUUAAGCCAUUUUUUCGUGUAUAAAAUUAAAUAAAUAAAUAUAAAAUAGCUUUUAAUUUUUUAGAAGCCGAUUCAAAUUGAAUAAGAUAAGAAUAUUUUAAAAUUGUCAAACUUUAGACCGUAUCACCUUAGCUUUCUUUUGAAUUUCAAAAUAAGGAUUAAAAUAUUAAUGUAACUUAAAGGAAGUUUUAGAAGCAAUCAGAACAAUUAUUAGUAAAUAAAAUAAUUUAAAAUUUAUUAAUAAUAAUAUUAACAUAUUUUGGAAAGAAUAAUUUUAUUGUCGUUGUCAUUAGUUUUGACCUUUUGAGAUGACUUCUUCGAGCCAUUCACAAGCAGCAACCUGCGCGCUCAACUACUACAUUUUUUAUUCCUUCUACGGUUGUACCCACCAUUGAAAAAAUAAAAAAUUCUUUUUCAUUUUCAAAUAAGUCAUACCCUUUUAAUUUUCCACUUGGAUCUUACUCUAUUGCGUCGAUUCUCGUGGUGCAUAUGCUACUAAUUAACUAAUAUUUUAACGGAUUGAAAUUGUAAAAUAAUGACUUAUAAUAUUGUUUAAGAAUUUUUGGGGUAUGGCGAUAGUGACCAAGUGAACUGAUCCGAUCCUCAUCCAAUAAAAUGAGAAAUGGGGAAAUAAUUUAUAAGAGUCAAAAACUCUCUUUCUAUGAAAAGUCAGAAAGAAUAUCGCUUUGUAAGAAUGUUUUCUCUUUUAAAUUUCACCAGUUUUUUCUUCAUGAAUAAAUGUUAAGAUAUUUGUGUUGUAAAAACAUAGUGGUUCUCAAUCUUUUUUAGUUUCAUUCAUGAUUUGAGACAUAAAAUUUCACUGAUUCUAAAUUGAGUUUAAAAAUAAAAUUUAAUUUUAUAAAACUACAAAUAUUGUACUAUAGUGCAAAAUUGUUUAAAGUAUUAUCCAUAUUUUCAAUAAUUGAUUAAACCGCUUUACAAAAUACAAUUUAAAACAUUUCAAAAUUAAUCUACAAAAUAAAAUAAAUUUUUCUUUUUGAAAAGCUCUUAAACUUUUAAGUUAAAUAAUUGUUAAGAACAAAAGAUUGUUUUUUACGAAGAUUUUCCAUACAUGCCUGAUAUUUUUUUCAAACUAUUUUCAUAAAUAGAUUAAUAUGUCAUCAUUUUUUGUAAAAAUUAAAGGAUAUUUUUGCAUUAGACCUCCGGAAAGAUCGCAUAUGAGAGCGUUCCGUGGUUUGGGCCGCCAAUCAGUGACAUUUAAUAGGCCGAAUGGGCCUAGCAUGAUUGGGCUUCCAACUUUACAUGCCGCCGACACACUCUCAGACUUGAGGCCGAGCCCAAAAUUGUGGUGCAUUUUGAACUGGAUUGACCCACUAGCGAGGACCAAUCUCAUUGGGUCUUCAUUCAAAAAUGACAACGCCCAUUGGGUCUUGUAAUCGUCGCGGCUUCCACGUGACGGGAAAACCUUAUCCCAUGGUGGGCCAGACCUGCCUGAGACGGUUCUAUUCGGCCGGCCCAGAUAACUGUUAAAUUGACUGGGAAGGUAAAAAGCAAAAAUCGGAACGGACAAAUGAGGAGAAGCUACGUGGAAAUAACUGCACGAAGGACCAAACAAAAGAGUGAGUUGUGAAAUUGUAGUUUUUGACAGACAGGUUAUGUUACUAACUUACUAGUAGGAGGCAGUUCCUUUCCGAAGAAAGGUGACAUUAGUCUCUCCUGCUCAAUCAUUGGAAAGAUGGAUAAUGGAUAAAAGAACUCUUCAGGUUAGUGACUCAGACUAACUCAAGGUUCUUGAAUGAGGGCAUGUUUGGAAGUUCCAAACAACAAAAAUGGUUUUUUGAUUGAAAAACACAUUCGACCAAAACAAUUAUUAAAAAUUAUUAACAGCCCUUCAAACAGUGAUUCUGAGGAGCGUUUUUAAUAUUUUUAAUAUUUAAAAAUUUUAUAAUUCAAGUAUUAAAAAUAUUAAAAAUAUUUUCGAACUUUAAAUAAAUUAAAAGAAAUAUAUUUUUUUAUAUUUAGGUUAUUAAAAAAAAUUAUUUUAAAAAAAUAAUAAAAAAGUGUUUUUAAAAAACUUUUUUUCUUAGAAUUGUUUUAAAAAUGGUUUAUCAAAUAAAUUCUUAAUUUUUCAAAAUAUUUGGUUUUAGACGUGGAUUUAAAAAAUAAUAAUGGAAAAUUUUAAAUAAUUUGAUACAUGAUACUGUUUUGAUUUUAUUAUUUUUUAUAAAUAAUUUUUUUUUUUAGAUUUGAUUAUUAUCUCAAAAAUUAAAUAAAAUAAUGAAAAUAUUAAUUCUCACUUAAAUUUAAUAAUUAUAAGAAUAAAAAAAUUAUUAAUUAUCAUAUAAAAUUUAUCUUAUUAUAACCAUAACUUAUCCAAGCCAUAUUUGAUCGAUUGAAAUUUUGAAUAAAUAUUUUAAUUAAAUUAUAAACUUAGUAAAUUGGGGAUAACUUAAAUAAGAUUUAACUCAAUAUGAUUACGUUAAGGAUUUAAUAAUUUAUAUAGUGUUUGGAUUGAUUUAUUUAAUCGAAUUUCGGACAUAAUAUGAAUCAAAAUAAUUUUAUAUUUUUAAAUCCAUCAUUAUUUGUAUCGUGUUUGAAUUGAUCUAUUUAACACAUUAUGCGAAUCAACCACCGACAUGAAUUGGAACUCUAACAAUGGAGUUUCAUAUGCAGGUCCAGCAACACACGUUCACGGGAAGGAACAGAGAGAGGACUUUUCUCAAUAGUACAGUAAUUUAAAAAAAUUAUGCUUAAAUUACUGUACUGGAAGAAGUUAUUACAAAUAUAGGGUAGUUUUUGCCACAUAGGAGAGAGGAGAGAGGAAAGAGGAGAGAGGAGAGAGGGUGAGAGAAGAGAGGAAAGAGGAGAGAGGAGAGAGGAGAGAGGAGAUAGGAGAGAGGAGAGAGGAGAGAGGGUGAACUGUUAAAAAAAAGCGAACUCGUCUCUUGAAGAGACGAGUUCCAUGAAAAAAAUAUAUAUAUAAUUUUAAAAUUAUUCAAGGAAACUCGUCUCUUCAAGAGACGAGUUCCAUUAAAAAAAAAAAUAUAUAUUUUUUAAAAAUUCACAAAUUAAAAAAAAAAUAAUAAAAUUUGGAACUAAAGGGAACUCGUCUGAAGAGAUGAGUUUCCAUAGGAAAAAAAAUAUAUUAUUUAUUUAAAAAAAAUCCCAAAAAAAAAAAAAAUUCCCAAAACUGAAGAGACGAGUUCCCUUAGGAAAAAAAAUAUUUUUUUUAAAAAAUAUAUUUUUUAUUUUAAAAAAUCCUAAAUUAAAAAAAAAAAAAAAAAAAACACAAUUCCAAAGGGAACUCGUCUCUUGAAGAGACGAGUUCCAUGUAAAAAAAAUAUAUUUUUUUAAAAAUAUAUAUAUUAAAAAAAAAUCCCAAAUUAAAAAAAAAAUAAAAAAAAAAUAAUUCCAAAGGAAACUCGUCUCUUCAAGAGACGAGUUCCCAUGUAAAAAAAAAUAUUUUUUUAAAUAUAUAUAUUAAAAAAAAAAAAAAAACAAUUCCUCAAAAUUCCUAACAGACGAGUUCUCAUGUAAAAAAAAAUUUUUUUUUUUAAAUAUAAAAUUUCAAGAGACGAGUUCCUUUAGGAAAAAAAAUAUAUUUUUUAUUUUAAAAAAUCCCAAAUUUAAAAAAAAAAAAAUUCCAAAGGGAACUCGUCUCUUGAAGAGACGAGUUCCAUGUAAAAAAAAAUAUAUUUUUUAAAAAAUAUAUUUUUUAUUUUAAAAAAUCCUAAAUUAAAAAAAAAAAAUUCCAAAGGGAACUCGUCUCUUGAAGAGACGAGUUCCAUGUAAAAAAAAAUAUAUAUAUUAAAAAAAACCAAAUCUAGACCACUAGUCAAGAAAAACGAGUAGACUAGAGUGUAAGAGGUAGAGAGAGAGAGAGAGCGCUCCUCUUCCUUUCUCUUUUUUCCCUUUUGCUUUUCAGCUCUGGGAAGACGCCCUCUCCCUUUCUCUCCUGUCCUACUAAAACAUCAAAAUAUCCAACGGCAAAAAGAAAGGGAAACGUAAAAAAUGGCUGAAGACUUGAAGAGAAACGACGCUUUAGCUCUCUCCUUGAAGCAAUCUUCCGAUGAUCGGAAGCUUUCGUUGGCGGCAUCAGCCAGCAAGAGGGUCAUCAUCAAGUGCUC